rnacentral:lncRNA from 1 species
CUAAUCUUCUUUAUAAAUUUGAUUGGGAAAUGCCGCCUGGAAUGAAGAGCCAAGACUUGGACUUUGAUGUUCUGCCGGGAAUUACUAUGCAUAAGAAGAAUGCUCUCGCUCUUUUGGCUAAGUAUCAUGAGUAGGUAAAUUAAGGCACCUCGGACCAACAAAGUGUUGGCUCCACUGGCAAUGGAGUCCCCUUAAGUGGCUUGACUGGGUUUGCUCCCCAGUUCGAGUCACAGGGAAGUCGCCUUUGUUGGGAGAACCUGUGCCUCCCGGUUCAAGCGGGGACUUCUAGUCUGGGUUGUGGUACGGGCUUAAAGGUGCCUCCCACAAUUGAGGCCCUCCCCAGGAUACCUCGUGAUUAAUAUAAAAAAUAAAAUAAAAAUUAAGGCACCUCGGACAAUAAGAGUUUGAUCUAAACUAAAUAUAUGUUAUAGAGAUUGCAUGUAUGUCCUCAAUUGUGCUUCUCAUGUUUCCUUUCUUUCUUCUUAUGUAUAAUGAAUGUUGAUGUCUAAGUGCCCACAGGCUGAGUGGUUUUUAAUAAUUAAUCUCUUUUAUUUCAAAAUUUUGGGAGAUAAGGACUAGAGAAUAAUGGGUACUCUGCCCACUCUCCUAUACUAAAUUGAAAAAAAAAGGUUGAUAUGAAUGUGAAUAUUAAUCUACUACGUUCAUUUCGUCUCAUAUUUUUUCUCCUACAUUUUUUGCUUUAAAUUUAACUUUUAUCACUUAACCUGCUAUCUUUUUAUAUGAUUGGAUAGAGAUUGAAAUUUUUGCUGUUCCAUCUCAAUGUUAAUGCUUAUAUUAUCUUCACACCUUUACUGUAAUUUACUACUUUUACUAUUAGAUGCUGAUAGGGUCUUUUCUUGGAGAUUGCUUCACAAAAAAGUCUGAAAGAAGAUUUUGUCGAUCGGAUAGCAAGCUUAUCCAUAUAGUUUAAUGGAUUAUCUGCAAGAGCUCUUUUUAGUGUGCAUACAGUUGUCCCUUCAUGUUAGCAUAUUUAUUCUGUCGUCAAUGAACUUUUGCAUUUAAAUGGUAUCAGUUCAAUGGGUUUAAAGACAACUUGAGGUUAAUGUGGGACCAUUUCUUGUCAUGCCAGCAACUGUUGACAUAAACAACAGGCUGCAAGCUUCCCCUACUCCUGUUCAUAUUUGCAUUUGUGUGCAUCUUGUACUUGUUGUUGCAGAAAGAUGAAUAUGUAAGAAUAAGAUCGUGUUUGUAUCCAAUGGUCAAAUGUUUUUGCAAAAAAUGUCGUUGCUUGAGUUCCUCAAUUCUCAUGCUGAACUUCUAAUUUUGUACAUUUCUUUAACUUAAUUUUUUUUGUAUAAAUUUGGUAGUUUCUGUGUAAAAGUGUUUUAUAUUUUCAUGUGUGGAAUAAAUAUCAAUGGCCAACAACAGUAAGAGUUUGAUUUUAUUUGUAAGACAUGUCUUUCAAAAUUAAGCUAGUGACAUACUUGGAUCACUUGGGAUCCACUUGCAAAUGUAUUUUGAAGAAAAGUUUUCUCCCCGCCUUUUAUGUAAUCACACCCACCAGUAAUAUGGUAAUUUAUUGAAAGGUCCUUGAUGCCCGGUUAAAGUUAUAAUUAAAUUAAUAAACGUAUCUUUUUAAAUUAAUAAACUCAUCUUUUUGAAUAUGUUCAUCGUUUUGUACGUAUAUUAGUAUUUUUUUUAAAUUCCUUCUAUUUCUAUCCUAUUGGUUAGAAGCAAAUAUUUCACUGUAAUCUCCUGUCGACCAAAAGGAGAUGCCUUUCCCAAAGCAAGAAAAGAAAACACAAAAAGCCCACUUCAAAAACUUGUGCAAGAAGGAGAUGUGAUUACGCUGUCUUUCUGUUUCUUGGUGCGUGUAUAGAUAUAUACAUACACACAUAAGUCUGAGGAUCAGCUGAGCCAACAGCCCACUAGGAAGCAAUUUUAAAAUUUUUGGUAAGUAUUGUUCUUUAUAUCUUAUGAAUUUUUCCUUCAAUUAUCAUAUUUUCACUCAGUUUUGUUUUUGGGCACUCGUUAUGUGAUUUUCUUUUGAUGAUUUCGGUGGCUUCUUUUUAGCUCUUAUUUUACUGUUUCCACUGGUUAGUUUAGCUGCUGUCUACUGAGAUAAAAUUAUUUGCUUGAAUAACUUAGUCUUUUGCUAUUUUAUUACGUUCAGUUUAUAUACAGUUGAUUCAUUGUAACAAAUGUUAUCAUAAAUGAUUCUUGAGUAAUUUCAUUUAUUUACUUUUUCUUCUUUCAUAGUUGGCCUGUACGGUAUCAUUUACUUUUAUCUUUUUUCAAAUUUCUUUUAAUCUAGAGAAUGUUAUCAUAAAUGUUUGUUUUACUUUUUCAAAUUUCUAAGUAUUUUUGUUGCUUGUUUAUCGGGCAAUACUGCAACAGUGAUUUCAACUCACAAAAUUCUGUAAAUAGUUAUUAUUCUUAGUGCGGUUUUAAGGUAGAGUGAAGUUAGUAAUUAGUAUUAUCAUAAUGGCUUACAUCCCUCCACAUAUGAGGCAUACGAAGGACCCCCGGAGGCCAUCUCCAGUUCCAGAGAUGAUUGUGCCUAAAUCCAACAGAAAAUUAAACUUGGGAUCAUCCAAGCAUAAUGCAGACAUGAGUGGAAAGAUCGUGUAUGCAGACCCUGCCAUACACAGAUGGUUCAUUUGUGGCUUGGAUAAUGAUAGCAGCACUCCUUCUGUCCGCUUUGUGGAGUUUUCAGACGACCCUGUUGAGCAUAAAAGAUCGACGACCAUUAAUCUGUCUCGAGGUUACUGAUCUGCAUUUGUAAUUUAAUCUUAAAUAUGUUCUACUUUCUUUAUUUAUAUGCGGUGCUAACUUUAGUUAUAUUGACAUUUGGAUUUUGGUUUGGUAGAUAACGAUAAAUUAUGUGGGAAUACAUCAAGAAGCCCGUGGGAAUCGAUAGCAGAAAAUGUAUGGCCAGAUGUAUUGAGUGCUUGUAAUAUUGUCAAGAACGAAAUGGAGGAAAAGCCAACAAUGGUUGCUAGAUUUGGCCAUCAUCUUUUCCGUGAGUAUGUGAUCUUGUUCCAUUGCUGUAACAGCUUGAAUUUUUUAUUAGGUCAUUCCUUUUCUUUGGACUUUGAAAUUAAAGCAGAAAAAAUGCAUAUUCAUACUAAAUUCUGACAGAAAUCUUCUGGUCAUAUAAGUGCUGACAGCUAAAAUUAUGAGCUUUACCAUUAACCCUACCACCAGCUGUGGAUGACUGUAAAUCGGAUCUCCAAACCAGGGACAAAAGUUAAAAUUGCUUUUAAAAGCCAAAGAGGAAAAGAUUUGUAGAAAGAAGGAAAAAGCAAAUCGCAAUUUAUAGUGCAUGCACUUCUUUCAGACUUGUAUCUAAUGGAAGCUUUCAUGGCAUCUAGAAUUUGGCUUUGGCUUUGCGUAGGACAUUUCAAUUGUUGCUCGUGGAAACAAAUUUAUUCAUUAUCUUAGUAUUGCUUGAUUUCCGGUGCAAGAAACAAAUAAAUCUAUUGCCGUACGUGGCCAAGUUUUGUUGUUUGAUAUUUCAUUGGGACAACAAAGUAUACCAUUGCUUCGCCUAUAUCUUACAUCUUUGUAUCAUAUAUUUCCAUUCUUCUAUCGCAUCUUUGAAGCUUCUACUAGUUUUCAUAUUAGAAGUGCCUCAAAGAAAUAAUUAUUAUAUUAUUUGUCUUAAUGAAGGAGUGACAUACUGAGCUUAGAAAAUGCAAAAGAAGGUCAGGUUGCUGAAUCUGCUUUGAGCCCACUGAGGAGAUGCUUUUACACUGGUGUCCCUCCAACAUACAUGGAAAAAAUUGCAAAUAAAGUUGUGCCAAAAAUUGGGGUUGGUUUGUAGAGAACAAGGAUAUAUACAAUGUCAAGGUAGUUCUCCUGCUAAAUACUUUAGUAGUCAUGACCAAGUUUCUUUUAUCUCUCACUUAAUUAGCCAUUGAUUCCCCCCCACACACCCCCCCCCCCCCCCUUUUUCUUGUGUAGUUGUCUGAUGGCACUCGACAAAUUACGUGCAGAUGUACUGUUAAAGAAGAUAAAAAGCUUCAUCUCUAUAAGGCAAGUCUUUUGCUACUGGCUGAGUAUUAUUUAUGGACAAUGGGUCCUAGAUUAUAAGUUUCCUCUUGUGUUAAGGAGACUUUUGCUAGUGGAAACAUUGGAAACAAGACUUAUGAUGUUUUGAAUUGAAUAAUAUAAUAUUUUCACUGUGAAUUAUGAAGGAGCUGUCGAAAUAUAAGCGAUAGAUAUCAAGAAAGAGACGAAACCUUUGUGUCUCACAAGAGCCUUUUAGAAGUCUCUCCAGGAAUUAGGGAUGGCAAUGGGGAGGGGAGGGGAGGGGAGGGGACCAACAUCCCUACACCCAUUUAUGAUAUUCUGCAUAUAUCCCCGUCCCCAUUAGAAUUACUUGAGAGAAUCCCCGUUCCCUCCCCGAAUAAUAAGAGGGGAUCCUCGAGGGGUCCCCGAUCCCCUAAUAACUAAUACGUUUUUAAAUUUAAAUUCUGAACUUGAUUUAAUUAUAUAAAAAUAAAAAUUUAAACAAAAAUAAGGUUUGACAAUAUAUCUUACACUAAAAUUAAUCCAUUACAAAAAUCACACUACAACUUACAAACCAUCAGAAUAAUUAUUUUCGUCAAUCUUCAUAAUCCUAUAACAAAAAAAUAUGUUUUUAUCAAUAAUGAAAUAAAUGAAAUGAAAUAUAGAUACUGAAAUUAAUAUUUUUAAUAAAAGUAUUAACUCUUACACCUCAUGCUCCUCCUGUUCUUCCUCGAGUAAUGUGACAAAUUGAGAGAUAAUUACAAAUUUAAAAUCUAAAACAAUAAAAAUAAUAUAAACAAUAAGAAAAUUAUCAGUCAUAUACCCUUAAAUGACAUCCGUAUCAAACGUGUGUGAACACUUUUUAAGUGUAUCACUCAUAUACCCUAAGUUGACAAAACACUUCUGCCGUCCACCAAUCUGUUAACUUCCGUUAGAAAGUUAACAGAAUUGUGGCAAAUUGACUAUUUUGCUCUUGAAACUCAAAAUGAGGUAAAAAUAUAAAUUUACCCCAAAAAUUAAUGUAAAUUUUCAAUACACAAUUUUUUUAUUUUGUUAUUAACAAUACAUUUUUUUAUUAAAAAAGAAUUAUUAAUGGUACAUAUUAUUAACAUUUAUCCAUAAAAAAAUAUUCAUAUUAUACCAUAAAAAAUUAUUAACAACAUAUUAUUUACAAUUAUAUAUAUUAUACCAUAAAAAUUUCCAGUUGGAGCUUGGAGGAGUAGAUCUUCAAAAAUUUAGGUUAAAUUUUGGAGGAGUAGAUUCGGUUGUAAAGUAGUUUUUUUUAGCAAUUAUUAAUUAUCCGAUAAAAUGGGAUGACAUGUCAUUUUUAUCAAUAUAUAUCAUAUGACAUGUCAUUGUUUACUAGGUAAAUGGGAUGACAUGUCGUUUGUUUAAUCAAAGUUUCGUCAAUGUUAAAAGACUAAAUUACCCUUAUGAUGUCAACUCUUGCAAACGGAAGUUAACGGAUUGGUGGACGGCAGAAGUGCUUUGUCAACUUAGGGUAUACGAGUGAUACACUUAAAAGGUGUUCACACAUGUUUGAUACGAGUGUCAUUUAAAGGUAUAUUACUGAUAAUUUCCCUAAACAAUAUGACUCAUAAUCUAAAACAGUAUUGGCCCAAGGUCUUUAAAAUAAGGUCUGGUCAAAUAGUAAUUCAAGACUACAACUAGUUAAGUAGGCUCGAAAUUUUUAUAGCUGAUCUGUAUAAAUAUUUUGAUAUUUGUUAUUUAUACUAAUAUUUAAUAUAAUUUAAAUUUCAUUAUUCAUUUAUUAAUAAUUCUAAAAAAUAAAAUCAAAAUUAAAAAUUAAUACGAGGAAAUGGGUAGGGGAUGGGGAUUCCACCUCAUCCCCGUCCCUUCCUCGAAUAAGAAACUAGGUAAAAAAUUGUCUCCGUCCCUUCCCCGAAUAAGAAAUUGGGUAUAAAAUUGUCCUCAUACCCUCUCCGAAUAUGAAAAAUCCCUAAGGGUGCUCGUCCCCGUGGGGAUUUUUGCCAUCCCUACCAGGAAUAAUCUCAGUUAAGAGGAAAAGAAUUUAAAAUGAAAAGAAGGAAGAAAAUUCUCAAGAAGUAAGACUAAUUCUACAUCAAAUUGAGGAACAGGCUUGUUAAUUUAACAAGGAAAGCUCCAGUAGCUAUUUAUUAUAAACCAAUUAAAAAUUGAAUUAAUUUAAUAGUUAACUUGUAAUUAAAUGUCUAAUCCAACAAACUAUGCAUAAGAUUACAGAUGUAACUAUGUAAUACAAAAAACCUCUGCUUAUUGUAGACCAAAGUGAAUAUGCCAAUAUUUAGGAAUUUCUUUCAGCAUCAUGGGAUUUAGAUCCCUAUAAUCUUUUUUUAUUUUAGUGUAGUGACAUCCGGAAGACCAGAAUUAUCACGUACCUCGUAGUAGUCAUUUUAUGUCUUUUAAAGCGCCACAUUAUUUCCCAUACAGUCAUAAUAUAUCUAUUUGUUGUUUAUUUAUUGUUGUCGUGUGUGGAGUCUCAUCUUGAAUAUGAACAUUUUUCCGGUAGGACGAACUGAACUCUGUUCGUCACAUGGUAGCAGACAUGUUAUGCGUUCAUAAAAAUCUAGACCUGAGGUUGGCACUAUGUUCAAAGAGUACCUUUUCUGCUCUCUCGGUGAGUCAAUCUGCUACUCUGUGCAUGUUUAGCUGGACUUUUAAGUUACACCUUCUUUUUUCCCCUUUUUAUUUUUUUUGGUCAUUUGCUUGUUGGAAUUAUCAUCAUUACAGAAUGAGGAAGAAAAAUUCAAGACCAGGGGAAAUAAGGAAAUAUUAAACUUAUAGCUUUUGUUUUAUCAUAGAAAGUUUACUUUCAAGGGGUUGAGAAAAAAUUUAUAUACACACACACACACACACACGACAAGCUUAUAACGGUUAAACAUUAGCAUGCAUGAUCCUUUUCUUCAAAACUGAAACUUUACAAAUGUUAAAAAUAGAAUAACAAAUAAAUUAUUAGAUUUCCAAAAUCAGUUACCCGUUAUGUAGGCUUAAAACAAAAGUUAAAUAUAAGCUCUUUUUUUUUUUGGGAGGGGGAUGGGGGGGGGCGUGUGUGCCUAUGAGUAGUCCCAGCAAAUGAAUUCUAUGAUCAAACUGAAAUUUUUGAAUUUUCAGGAUGAUGAAAUGAACAGCAUUAGAAUUCUGAUUAAUUCAGCCAUUCCGGAUCCCGAAGUCAAGGGUGGGUAAAGAUGGCCCAUGGGGAAGUCAUAUUCAGGGGAUUACACAAUUGUUGGGGUUUGGCACAAUGAAUUUAAAUCAUAUAAAAGCCCAUCACUAAAGCUUAAGGUAAGAAAUGUUGAUCGAUUUAUUUUCAAGACUGGAACUGGGGAAGCUACGAUUGAGAUUAAUCUAAAGUUGAGAAGACUAGUUUCAGAGAUUCAGGUACUUGCUGCUUUUUGCUUUAACUUUUAUCACAUAACCUACUAUCUUUGUGUAUGAUUACAUGGAUCUUGAAAUUAUUGCUGUUAUGUCAUAAUGUUAAUGCAUAUUUUGUCUUCACGCAUUUCUUACUGAACUUGUGUCUUGAGCUGUAAUUAUAAUUUCCAAUUUUUAUUAUUAGAUGGGUAUUUUAUUGGAGAUUUCUUUACUUAAAAAAAAAAUGUUUGACAGAGAAUAUUUUAACGAUGAGAUUGCAAUAUUGUAAUAGAUAAUCUUCAGGAACGCUUUUUACCUUUUGGUAGUUAUGCAGUUGCUCCUCUGUGUUAGCUUAUUUAUUCUAUCAUAUGUAACGAAUGACUUUUUACCAAAUUUGAUUUCAAAGCUGAGCUUCCAGCUUAUGACUUAUAUUUGUGUCUUGCACUUUUGUUUUACAAUCACCAUUAGAUGGAAGAGUGCUUAGAGUUUGUUAAUUGAUUCAAUCCCAGGAUUAGUCUUUUGAAACAUAAAAUUUAUCGGCUAAGCUAUAUAAAUCUGUUUCAUGUUUCUUAUCGCACACUAUUUCGUAUGGCUUUGUCUCCAUGCUCAUACAAAAUUAGUGUUGUAUUAGAUGUCUUCUGUCUUUCAUUCACAUGUACUUACUACUUUUUCUUUCAAUCGUCAGGAUGGGGAGAUUGAUACUGAUUCCAUCUACAAUGGGUUUAAAGACAACUUGAGGUUAAUAUGGGACCAUUUCUUGUCAUGGGAGUCAUAACUUUUGACAAAAACAACAGAUUGCAUGCUCUCACCGCUCGGUUCAUAUUUGCGUUUGUGUGCAUCCUGCAGUUGAAGAUGUAGAAUGAUGUAAAUGCAAGAAUAAGAGCAUGUUCGUAUCCAAUGGUAAAAUGUUUUUGCUAAAAUGUAUGGACCUGUAACAGUUUGUUGCGUGAGUUUCUCAAUCUCCUAAACCUCAAAUUUUGUCCUAUUUUCACCCCGGCUUUUUCCCCCCGUCCUCUGUAAUAGUUAUAUUUGGUAUAAUUAAGUUUGGCAGUUCCUUUGUAAAGUGUUUUGUAUUCAUGUGUGGAAUAAAUAUCAACAUCCAGAUACAAGAAAGUUUGAUUUUAUUUGUAAGACCUGUCUCUCAAAAUUAAUCUAGUGACAUGCUUGAAGCACUUGGGAUCCACUAGUUGGAUGUAUUUUUGUUAAGAUUUAUUUAGCAUUUUGUAUGUGUAUCAGUGCGUUUUUUUGUUUUUAAACCGUUGGUUAGAGGGCAAACAUUUCACAUUAAAGUGGGGUCUGCUUGCCACCAAAGGAGAUGCCUUUCCCAAAGCAAGAAACGAAAACUCAAAAGCCCACUUCAUAACUUGUGCAAGAAGGAGAUGUAAUUGACAUAUGCUGUCCUUUUUCUUGGUGUGUGUAUGUGUAUACACACACUUAAUUCCGAAGAUCAACUGAGCGAACAGCCAAAACUUGAAAGCAAUUUUAAAAUUUUCGGUUAGUAUUGUACUUUAUAUCUUAUGAAUUUCUCUUUAAUUUAUUAUAUUUUCACUUUAGUUUUGUUUCUGGGUACUCCUUAUGUGCUUUUCUUCGAUGAUUUUGGUGAGCUCAUAUUUUACUAUUUCCACUGGUUAGUUUAGCUAUUGUCUACUAAGAUAAAAUUAUUUGCUUCAAUAACAUAGAGUAUUGAGGUACUAUAAUUUAAAAAUUUAGAAAAAAAUAUACUUAUAAAAUAAAAGUUAAUAGUAUGUGGUAAAUAUAAUUUUAAAAUAAUAAUUUUAAUAAAAUUAGUAAAGAUAUAAUAGAUUUUCAUCAUAUAAAAAUAAAAUAAAAUCAACUUAAUUUCUAAACUACAUAAAAUAAUGUUUAUAAAACACUUUAGUGUUGUAACUACCAAACCUCAAUCUAAAGUAUGGCCUUAAUCGUUUGCUAUUUUAUUAUGUGAUUGUAUAUAGAGUUAAUUAAUUGUAUCAAAUGUCAUCAUAAAUGAUGCAUGAGUAAUUUCAUAUUGUUUUUUCUUUCCUUCAUUGAUAAUUGGCCUGUCGGAUAUCUUUGAACUUUUUUUUUUCGCCUCAAAGUUCUUUUAGUCUGCAAAAUGUUGACUUUAGUUUCGAUCUUGGUUAUUGCAAUAUUUCAUUCGUUCUUUCUAAGCAUAGUGGUUUCAUUUCACAAAAUUCUGUAAUAAGUACUUAUUGUAGUUUAAGGUUGCGCGAAGUAAUAUUAUCCUAAUGUCUUACAUUCCACCACAUAAGCAGCAUUCUGUAAUCAAGACUGCAGAGAAUCUCGCAGAUAUGUUGACUAAGGUGGUGACGACGAUUAAGUUUGAGCAUUGUCUAAACUUGAUUAAUAUCUUACAAGUUUGAAAAUAGUCAGGGAAGACAAUGACUGGAGGAUGGUUUGUUGAUAGUCGGCUCAGAUUUACUAAAUUUUCGCCAAGGUAGAGAAUUGUUGAAAAGUCAAGCAUGCUUGCAUGAGCCAGCUAGCAUGCAAAUUUCAAGCACACCAAUGUUCAGCUAGCUUGAUCCAAUUGCAUGUGCUAGCAUGAUCUCUUCAUCAAAAGUCACACCAAAGCCAUUAAAAUUGAAAAUGGCCAAAUUUUUUUUUUCAUGCAUUCAUAUUGCAAGCUUUGCCUAUAAAUAGAGGAGUAGAAUGCAUUUGUAAAGCAUCCCAAUUUGUGAUAAGCAGAGAGCAAUUGCAAGUGAGCUCUUUGAGAGAAUUUGAGAGAGCUUCCACUUUAGUGUUCUAGUGAGGUUCCAUUUAGGUGUAUUGGGGUUGUGGGUUUUGUGAGUUUUUCCUACUUUUAUAAAUUCUCAUUACUAGUAAAAUUAUCUUCUAGUCUUUGCCCGUGGAUGUAGGCAUUACGCCGAACCACGUAAAUUAUUAUGUUCUAUUUUUUUUGUAUUUGUUUGUCACAUUUAUAUUUCUCCAAAAGUUACAUUCAUCGUAAUAUUGGUAAUUGCUCAACUUCGCACUUCCGCAACAAUUGGUAUAAGAGCAGAAGGUUCGUACUUGGGGCAUACGACAUUGUUCACGUAUACGAAACUGUUCACGGAUACGGUAUUGUUCACGUAUACGGUACUGUUCAUUGAUACGGUGGAGAUGACCAUUUAUACUUGGGAGACAGUCUAUUGUAAGUAGUGUGUAUUUUUGCAUGUCUAGGAAAGUUCUGUCAACAAGGCGAUAAGAGACUAAGGAGUCUGGGUUUUAAGUGGGACCGUUGUGACCCCUCCAUUCUCCUAGGAACUUUCCUAGUGCAUUUAUUCAUGCGAAAUAAAUAUCAUAGAUGUUGUUUUUCAAGUGUAAAUAGUUGUUGAAGAAACUGAUCAUUUGAGAUAAAAAGGAUGGCAAAGGCAUCGUCGCCGUCUUCAUCAGCAAGGACUACUGUGACUAAUGCAAAGUUUGAAGUGGAGAAAUUCGAUGGUACCAAUAAUUUUGGUAUGUGGCAAUGUGAGGUGUUGGGUUUCUUAUGUCAGCAAGAGUUGGACGUUACUCUUGAAGAAAAGUCUGACAUGAUGGAGGAAAAAGAGUGGAUAAAGAUCAAUAGACAGGCAUGUGGUACUAUUCGACUAUGUUUGGCUAAAGAUAAAAAAUAUUCUGUCAUGAGGGAGACAUCGACAAAGAAAUUGUGGGAGACAUUGGAAGAAAAAUAUAUAAAGAAAAGCCUUGAAAAUAUGCUUUAUAUAAAGAAGAAACUCUAUCGAUUCACAUAUACACCUGGCAUGUCAAUGAAUGACCAUGUGAGUUCAUUCAACGAAAUAUUGGCAGAUUUGCUAAAUUUGGAUGAGAAAUUUGAAGAUGAAGAUAAGGCACUGUUGUUUUUGAAUUCCCUUCCUGGUGAAUAUGAUCAUCUCACCAACAAUUUGCUUCAUGGGAAGGACAUUGUCACAUUCGAUGUUGUAUGUAGUGCAUUGUAUAACUCUGAGAUUAGAAAGAAAGACAGAAAAGAUCACAGAGAUACAGUUGUGGAAGCAUUGACAACUAGAGGUCGUUCAAAAGGCCGUAAACCUAGAAAAAGAAGCAAGUCUAAAGGGAGACCUACCAAAGAUGAGUGUGCUUUUUGUCGCGAGAAAGGGCAUUGGAAAAAAAAUUGUCCUAAGUUACAAAAGGGCAAGGCUUCUUCUGAUGCAUGUGUAGUAGAGCAUGAUGAGGAGUCAGACUUUAGUCUGGUUGGCAUGACGUUGACAUGUUACUCAAAUGAGUGGUUUUUAGAUUUGGGUUGUACUUACCAUAUGUGUCUUAACAAUGGCUGAUUUUCUAGCUUUAAGGAGCUGGACGGUGGAGUUGUUUUUACGGGCAAUGACAAUGUCUGUAAAACCUUAGAAUAGGUACAAUCUAAUUAAAAAAUCGUGACGGUUCAAUCAAAGUCUUGACGGAUAUUCGUACGUACCAAGUUUGAAAAAAAAUCUCAUCUCAUUAGGAGUCCUAGAAUCUAAAGGGCUCACAAUCACUCUGAGAGAUAGAUUAUUGAAGGUAAUAGAUGGCGCACUAACGGCGAUAAAAGGCACAAGAAGAAAUAACUUGUACUAUUUUCAAGGGAAUACAUUUAUUGGAUCAGCAUCAACAAUUUCUGGAAGAGAUGCAGAUUCAGAAGCAACCAAGUUGUGGCAUAUGUGUUUGGGACAUGUUGUUGUGCAAAUUUUAUUGAACUCGCAAGUGCACGAAUCUAUUGUAGAAUAGACUAAUGGUGACGAGUGUCGAUCCCACGAGGAGGUGGAUUUUAAUUGUGUGUAGAAUUAAUUUUGUAAAUGGGUGGUUGGAUUUGUGGUGAAAAUGAUUUGGAUUAUCCUAAAAUUGGAAUUGAAAUGACGAGAAUAAAUUGAAGAGAAAUCUAUUGAGAUGACGUACUUGGGUAUCUGGAUCCGUAUCAACAUGCAUCAUGGGCUAAAUAAUCCUUAUUAAUGCCAAUUAAAUCAUGAGGGGGGAAUCCACAUCUCAUGAACCACGCUAUAAUCAAUAUGGUGCUAAGGGCUUAUCGUGCCAAAUAAUAAUAACCUUGUACUAGGGAGCCGGUGAAACCAAGGCGGUACUAGACAAAAUUAAUAUUAUUUGUCGGCGAGAAGUCAAAACAUCCACAAAAAUUAGAGGCGAAGAUAAAAUAAAUUUACCAAAUAAAGCCCAUGACACAUGUUGAGACUUCACCUUCAACCCAAGCUUGAAAGAAAAUUAGCCACUCAUAAUUGAACUAGGGGCAAAAUAGGAAUUUAUUAAAAUACGUAGAAAAUACAAGAUGGAGAAGGAAUUACAGAAAAUGGAUCCCAAAAAUGGAUUCAGAGAUAUCAAAUUAGGGGGGGAGGCUCCCUUUUUAUAGAUACAUCGAGUAAAUCAUGGCCAUCGGAUUAAAAACAGUUCGGACGUUCAAGAUUGCGCCACGUCAUCCGUCAACAGUACGUGUGAAUAGUACGCGGUUUGACCACGUGGAUGAACAGUAACACGAUUUGACCCGGGUGAACAGUGACACGGUUUGGUUGAAAAUAAUCCUGUGUGUUGCAUGUACCGUACGUGAGAUUUUUGGUCCACUGAUAUGCUGCCACGUCAUCGAUCAACAGUGCAUAAGAAUUUUAGUCCAACAGGAUCGUGACAUCUCAUCAGUCAAUGCCACAUCAUCGGUCAAUGCCACGUCAUCGAUCCGUCUAUGUGAACAGUGUCGUGAACAGUAACGUAGACAGUACUGUACAUGUGAAUAGUACCGUACAUGUGAACAAUACCAUUUUUCCUUUUAUGCUCCUCCUAAGGUUUUCGACCGUCUUGAGUUCAAAAGUGAUGUCCGUUUUGCCAUCUGAUCUCUCGUUUAUUGUGAAAUGACUAUGACGCCCCUAAAAUACAUAAAAUACUUAAUUAAAAUAAAACACACAAUUAAAUUCCCAGAAGCUUAAACACAUAAAAGUAAGGGUUGUUAGUAAGACGUGAAAUGUAAAAUGACAAUUUUCUCCUUUAUAAAUAUGCAUUUUCUAACACUCAACACACCCCCCAACCAGCUUAUUGCUAUUCCCUAGCAAAUAAAACGAAAACAAGAUUCAAAUCUAAUUUUUUUUUUUAAACACUCGUGUUUAUUCAAUCAGACUAAUGAUAACAAUCAAAUAAAAGUAUAAGCAUUAUCUCCAGUCUAAAGAAACAUCACACCCACAUCAACCAUCCAUAUGAAUCAGCCUAGUAGACUUUGUCAUAGCUACCUUCAAGAAUGACAUGUCAAACCCAAAAUCUCACUGGAAGUAGUGACACUCUCACAAAGAAAUUAAACCCAAUAAAAAUAGUCACUCCAAUGAAUGGUAAUUGAGAGAAAAUAAUAAAGAAGUGAUAUCACAUGCUCUCACCAAGAUGAAAUAAAUAUGCCCUCAGCUUAGAAAUAAUACGAUCUCAAGUCAAAUAAAAAUGCUAGUCAACCCAAUUUAUUUAUUUUUAUUUAUUAUUUUUUAAUGCACCACUACAUCUUUUUAGCCCAUUUAACUAGCUUCUACUUCAGAUUAUAGUUCCCUAAAAUCAAGAAGGACUUUUAUUAGGACGUAACGUAGGCUAGGGACAUGGCUAAUAAAGAAGGGAAAUAAGGAAAACAAAGUGUAUGUUUGAAAAAAAUACAGAGGAAUUUUUUUUUUUUUGGAAGUUGCAAGGUGGAUUUCACCUAUUAUUGUUAUUUUUUUAUUCUUUUUUUUUAAACAACGUUUCUUUUUUUAUUUUUUUUUAAACAACAAUUUCUUUUUCUUUUUUUUUUUUGCUUUUGUUGGGCAUAACUUCACUAUACAAAAUAUUUAUUUACAUUUUUCUCAAACAUAAAUAGGUGAUGGAACUUGUAAGAUGUUGGGUAAUACUCCAAAUCGGAGUGGGUCAAGAUGAUAAGUUUAACAAAGAAAAGUUUUUUUUUUUUUAAAGGCUCAAAAGGGUUAACUAUGGAUAUUUGAUAAAAGGGAUGGCUAGAAAGGCUCAAAUGGAUCAAAGAUGGCCUUUCCAUCGUCUUUUAGGGCUCUGAAUAAUCUUCCAUAUUUACUAGUUAGAUGGGCCUCCAUAUGUAGCAACACACAUUUUUUUUCUUUUUUUUUUUAAUUUUACAAUUUUUUUUAAGGGUUAACUCAAAAGAAAUUUAGAGAUCGUGUAUACAAUAAUAAACUGCUAAGCUGUAUAAAGAAUGGGCAAAAGGGUUACUCUCCAAGAAAAAUGAUAGUCUCAAAAACUCACUUGGUACUUAUUAUGACAUGUUCAUUCCUUCAAGCAACUCAUAUUUGUCUUCGACAUCAACAUGUAGAGUUGCAAACGUAGCGUAACAUCACUUCAGACUAAAGAUAAUACAAAUACUAAAAUUUGAAAUUCAUCAUGUCAUCCAACGUUAAAACAAAUCAAAAAUAUUUUUUUUUCAACAUCCUACCCCCCAACCUAUUCUAAACAUGAAAGGAAAAUAUACAUGCAGAAAUGUGAAAAUGAUGCAGAAAAACUAAUUAGAAAAUGAUAGAAAACGAAAAUGGUUUUUUUUUUUAAUUUAAAAAGAUGCGUUUCUAGAGGCACUACACUCCAUAUUCAGCCAUCUUCGACUCAAAUUUUUUUUUGAAAAUGUAUAUUUAUAAAGGAGAAAUUAAAAAGAAGAAGAAAAAUGAACAUCAAAACAUAAUAGAGAAAAAGAAAAUGUCUGAAAUUUUUUUUUGUUUUUUUUUUCAAACGAUGAAGAUGCGUUUCUAGAGUCACUACACUCCAUAUUCAGCCAUCUUCAACACAAAAAGUUAGCAACAAUUAGUUUCUACAACAAAAAAUUAGUAAAAACUUAACCAAGAUUCCACAAUUAUCGACUAUUCCCUCCCCCCAACCAAAACGAAACAUUGUCCUCAAUGUUUUAAAGGAAAGAAGUAGAGUUUAGAAGAUAUCACCUGGGUGGUGCAACACAGAAGAAAAUAUUUACAGGCAGAGAGUUAAAUCUAAUUUGUACUUCUUACUGCGGCUACUGUUACCAUCAUUAUUUGAACGCUCCAACACAAAGGUCCAGGGGUCUGGCUCCGGUCUAUAAGCUUGUAACAGAUCAAGUAGCUCAUUAGCAGUGUUAGCACAAAUAAAAAUUUUUUUCGCAUUGGAAGGAAUGAAGUAGUUUUUUAUUGCAUGGUUAAGAAAUGCGAUGAAGCCAUCAUAAAAAUUAUUGACAUUUAACAAAGCGAUGGGUUUAUGGUGAAUGUGCAGAUGGGCCCAAGAUGCUAGUGUGAUAAGUGCCUCUAGUGUUGCAAGAUCUCCUGGAAGGAAAAUAAAAGCAUCAGCAUGAUUAAGCAUUUAAGUUAUUCGUUCUUGCAUACCUGAGACGACUAACUCUUCUCCAGUCGAUGAGUCAGACAAACUGCCCAAAGGUUUUAGGACUCUUGGGAUGAUGCUUAACACUUGGCUUCCUCUGAUAAAAACAGCUUCUGAGACUAAUUUUGAUAACCCUCGGUUACCUUCUCCAUACACCAAGUGUAAUUUUCUCUCUGCUAUGGUUCGACCAAGAUCUAUGGCUGCAUCAACGAACUCUUUAUGUUUGCCAUAGGUAAAUCCAGAAAGCACACAAAUGUUCUUGAAUUGUCUAUUAGGAGUAGCUGCCAUUAGAAUAUUUCUCAAAAAUAAUUUGUGAGUGCUUAACAAAAAGUCAUAUUUAAGAAUCUUGGUGACAGUGGAUCACAACUGUGUAUGAGGUGGUAUGUCAGUGUCAAAUAACGCGUAAAGCACAUGGCUCGAUAGUCAAAAAGCAAAAAGGGAAAAACAAACAGUAAUAAAAUUAUUAAAGACAAUAAUACAAAUAAUAAAACAACAGUGAAAUGAAAUAAAAUAACAGUAAAGUAAAAGGAUAUUUACAGGUAGUUGCGACUGUGGCUCACAUCUUCCUCUGGUUUUACAUCCAGAAACGGCUUGAACGCCCUCUAUGGGUCGAGGAUAGGCUUCCCAUCCAGUUUUCUUAUAAACUGGCAAACAUGGUAGUUUAUAGUCAGAUUCCCAAGACUAUAUCGUGCAUGCUCUUUCUGGAAUAAUGGCCAUAACUGGAGAAUCGCUCCUUGCACAUAUCCACUGGGAUGCGUUUCAAGAGACAGAAGGAUAUCAUCCAAUGACUCCUUAUUCAAGCCAUCCCUAAUGAAUUGAAUCUUAUCUUCCCUGUUAUCAGACACCAUUCCUAAAGAACAUGGGUUUUUAUCGCAACUCAUUCUGGCACACGUGUGACAAGCAACAGAAAUUCUUCGAGCUCGUCGUUUUCUUGCAUAAUUUCCUUUACCACAACCAGACAUGUAUGCAAUAAAUUUUGGAGGUAACUCACCUGCCAAUCGUACUUUAGCCUCGAUCAACCAACGGAUGUCAGCAGGUAUGUUAUUCCUCAUGAGCAAUCGCAUGCGUUCGGACCGGGCUUUAUAGAUUGUAAGGAGGGCAUUCUGAGGAAGUGAAGGGAAUCGCUUGUGAAGCUUCGCUAGAAUCUCAUUUCUGACCAUACCUUCGCCUCAGAAUAUCAGUUAUUAUGGGAAAACUGAAGUAACCGACUUGAUUGUCACGGAGUACCGUUAUCCGCCACUUCACUGGGGUAACACACUAAAGCACACAAACAGAAAAACAAAUUAAAACACACAAAGAAAAUUAAAAUCGUCCUCUUAUUGAAUUUACCUCAAGCUCCAACUGGAUGUCGUAAACACUUCUCUCAAUGUCUCUGAGUUGGCUUUCUAAACCCUCAACACAGGAUACUAACUAUGGUGGUUGCAGAGCCCAAAUACGAUGUGUUUUACAAAAUUGAAUCUGCCUUUUGAGAUGAGUUUUAACACGUUGAAGUGGUUUAAGAAUGUUCAGGAGGAACGAUCUAAGUAUAGUACUCAUGAUUAACAAUGAUAAGAGAAAAGGUAAUAGUUAAACAAACACACUUAUGCAAAAGAAUAAUAUAAAGAAAGAAAAACAAAUCAAAUCACCGAAAAGAAAAAAAAAUCAAUUCAAAUUUGGUGGGUCACUCAAAUUUAUUUCGGUGUCUUCUCCAUGUGGUUGGUACUCUAGAUAUGGCUUUAAUCUUUGACCAUUAACUUUAAAUGUGACACCGUUCUUUGGGUCCUUAAUUUCAAUUGCCCCAUGUGGAAAAACAGUAUGAACAAUAAAGGGACCAGAACUUCGAGAGCGUAACUUACCUGGGAAUAGGUGCAAGCGAGAAUUGAACAAAAGCACUUUCUGACCUGGAGUGAAAGAUUUUCUCAUAAUUUGCUUAUCGUGAAAGACUUUCAUUCGUUGCUUGUAAAUCUUGGCAUUUUCGUAUGCAUCAUUGCGAAUUUCUUCAAGUUCUGCCAGCUGUAAUCUUCUUUCUGAGUUGGCUUGCUGCAUGUCAAAAUUGAAUUUCUUGAUGGCCCAAUAUGCACGAUGCUCGAGUUCCACAAGUAGAUGGCAAGCUUUUCCAUACACUAGCCUGUAGGGUGACAUCCCAAUCGGGGUCUUGAAAGCCGUUCUAUAUGCCCAUAAUGCAUCAUCAAGUCUUAAUGACCAAUCUUUUCUGUCUGGCCUCACCGUCUUUUCUAGUAUGUGUUUUAUUUCUCGAUUGGAGAUCUCAACUUGGCCACUGGUUUGCGGAUGAUAUGGGGUCGCCACUUUGUGAGUGAUUGAAUACUUUGUCAAAAGAGCUUUGAAUGCUUUGUUACAAAAGUGGGCACCACCAUCACUGAUUAUCGCUCGAAGGAAUCCAAAGCGCGAAACAAUGUUGCUUUUCAAAAAUCCUAUCACCACCUUGUGAUCAUUGGUUCUGCAUGGAAUUGGUUCUACCCAUUUCGAUACGUAGUCAACAGCAAUCAAUAUGUAUUGAUGGCCAAAAGAAGGGGGAAAGGGUCCCAUGAAGUCGAUACCCCAUACAUCAAAAAUCUCAACCACUAAAAUUGGAUUUAAUGGCAUCAUGUUCCUUCGUGUAAUGCUCCCCAUUCGUUGACACCUAUCACAUGAAGAACAAAAGGUGUAAGCGUCUCGAAAUAUAGUUGGCCAAUAGAAACCACAUUGUAAAACUUUAGUAGUUGUUUUCUUAACACUGAAAUGGCCUCCACAAGCUUGUUCAUGGCAGAAUAAAAGGAUAUUUUGAAUUUCACUUUCUGGGACACAUCGUCUAACAAUUUGGUCUGCACAAUACUUGAACAAAUACGGGUCAUCCCAAAAGAAAUUCUUUAUUUCUGCAAAGAAUUUAGCCUUGUCUUGCUUGGUCCAAUGCUCUGGAAGUUGACCUGUAACAAGAUAAUUAACUAUAUCAGCAUACCAAGGUAAUACUUCCACACUCAUUAAUUGUUCAUCUGGAAAUGACUCAUUCAAUGUUAAUGGCUUUGUAAUUGUGUCAAAAUGGAGACGAGAGAGAUGGUCAGCUACAACAUUCUCAGUGCCUUUCUUAUCUUUAAAUUCCAAGUCGAAUUCCUACAAAAGUAACACCCAACGAAUUAGUCUAGUUUUUGCAUCUUUCUUUGUGAGAAGAUAUUUAAGAGCAGCAUGAUCUGUGAAUAUAAUUAUUUUACAACCAAUGAGAUAAGAUCGAAAUUUCUCUAAUGCAAACACUACUGCUAGCAUUUUCUUUUCAGUAGUUGAAUAGUUCAACUGUGCAUCAUUCAAUGUCAUACUAGCAUAGUAAAUAACAUGGGGAAUUCGAUCAACUCUUUGUCCUAAAACUGCUCCUACUGCAUAAUCAGAUGCAUCACAUAUGAGCUCAAAUGGUAAGCUCCAAUUUGGGGGCUGAAUGAUGGGUGAUGAUGUCAACAAUUGCUUUAAUUUUUCAAAAGUCACAAGACAUGAAUCAUUAAAGAUAAAAGGUACAUCCUUAGCAAGUAGAUUGCAUAAGGGUCUAGAAACUUUGCUAAAAUCUUUAAUGAAACGUGUAUAAAAACCAGCAUGCCUAAGGAAAGAUCUUACUUCUCUGAAUGUUUUGGGUGGAGGAAGAUUAGAAAUGAGAUCCACAUUGGCUUUGUCAACCUCAAUACCUUUGCUCGAAAUGAUGUGACCGAGAACAAUACCUUAUUUUACCAUAAAAUGGCACUUCUCCCAAUUUAAGACUAAGUUCUUUUCGAUACAUCUCUGUAGAACUAGUGUUAGAUGAUGUAAACAUUGAUCAAACGAGUCACCAAAGACAGAAAAAUCAUCCAUAAAGACUUCAAGGAAUCUGUUAGAGUGCAAUUUAUGCACUAGUUUUGCAUUGUUUACUUCCCUUAAUAUCAAUGUUUUGCACUUAAUAAUAGUGAUUUACUUGUGUUUUACUUUUGUAGGUGCAAUUCUAUUGAUUGAUGAUAAAAUUGAGCUAUAAGAUGAUGUUUAAGGAUGAUUGUUCUCUUGGAGAAAUUAUGAGCGUCAGAAGAACUUUGUUGAUAAGGCGUGGGCGCGUGCUGUCAACUGCGGACCUGCAGUUUUUAGUUUAACGUGUUUUGUAUUUUUGGUUAUUUUUGUAAUUACGAAUUUAAUAUUUUAGAUAUUAGUAUUUUAUUUUAAAUAGAAUUCUAGAGGAGAAGAGAGAGAGAGUAUUUAAGGGAGGAAUCUAUUGUGAAAAAGGGGGAUUUUUGAAUUGGAGAAAAAGAAACCCUAGAUCUAAUUUUUCUCUUCUCUCUAUGAGGAACUAAACCCAUUCUUCUGGUUGAAGGUUAAUGAAGCUUUGAUUCAUCACUACUGUGAGAUCUUUCUUGUGCUUUAAUUGUUUUAUUACUUUUUGGGUAUUUGUUUAUUCUCUGAAUUAUUUUCAUGAUUAUGUUUGUUAAUUAGGUAAUUGGCCACUAUUUAAUUAUCAACUUAAUCUAUUGUCAAUUAAAGGAUUCAUCGUAUGAAGAAUUUAAUGUUUGUGACAAAUAACAUAGCAGAGAGUUGUGUUGUGAGAAUAAACAAUCUAAUUUAAAUGAAUCAUCAUAUGUGUUAAUUAGGAUUUGGGUCUCUCUGGUUUUUCAGGCUGUCAAUUGAUUAAAUCCUAUGAUCGUAUCUAGGGUUGUCUAUUGAUUAGGGAAAUAUCCAACGGUCGUACCUUGGUUAUCGACUAGUUAAGGAGAGAUUGGCUAUUAGAGGGUCUCAAUAGCUAUAACCGGUCUAUUCAUAAGUAAUAAUAAUCUAUAUUUGAAUCAAUGAUCAGUAGUCGAAUCAAGCUUAGUUAAUUCCUUCAACCAGAGCUUUCUCCAAUUUGAAUUACAACUUUAAUUUGCAUUCUUUUUAUUUAAUUUGAUUUUUAUUAUUGUCUACAAUUCCCCCAUUUUACGUUUUACGUUUCAAAAUGAUUUAAAUAAUUACCGAUCUCUGUGGACACGACCCUGCUCAAUCACUAUACACAAUUUAUUUAGAGUAGGAAUUUAUUUUUGUUGGCUUCGACACCUAUCAAAUUUUGGCGCCGUUGCCGGGGAUUGGUGUCAUUUAUUUAAUCCUUUUUACGUUUUACUUGGUGUAUGGUUCGUUCUUCUCGUACAGGUACACUUUCGUUUGAUCCUGAAAUUGAGAAGACAGCUCGCCAGCUGAGACAGCAGACGAAGCGAGCUAAGCAACGAUCCUCAUCGCCUUUGCUUUCUGAAACAGAUACGGUGCCUAAUUUAGUUGAAUCAUCUAGUGAUUCAGAAGAACAAGUGAUGGAUAGACCUGCACCUAUAGAAAGAACUCUUAGAGAGUUAGCUGAACCAGACUUGAAUCAGCAACCACUCUGCAUUCAAUAUGUAGAUUUAGAGGUAAAUUUUGAAUUAAAGUCUGGUCUUAUUCAUUUAUUACCCAAGUUUCAUGGUUUUGCAGGUGAAGAUCCUCAUAAACAUCUCAAGGAGUUUCAUGUUGUGUGCUCAAGUAUGAGGCCACAAGGCGUGACUGAAGAGCAGAUUAAGCUGCGUGCUUUUCCGUUCUCUGUAGAUGGGCUAGCUAAAGAUUGGUUGUACUACUUGCCUCCUGGAUCGAUUACAACGUGGAAUGGUUUGAAGAAGCAGUUCCUCGAGAAGUACUUUCCUGCUUCAAGAGCUGCCAACAUCAGAAAAGAUAUUUGUGGGAUCAGACAACUUCCUGGGGAGACUUUGUAUGAGUAUUGGGAGCGAUUCAAACAAUUGUGUGCCAGAUGUCCUCAGCAUCAGAUUUCUGAUCAACUUCUUAUUCAAUAUUUUUACGAAGGACUAUCAUUGAUGGAUAGGAGUAUGAUAGAUGCUGCUAGUGGAGGUGUGUUGGUGAACAAGACUCCUACUCAAGCAAGGGAGUUGAUAUCAAAUAUGGCUGCCAAUGCACAACAAUUUGGCAGCAGACAAGAUGCCACCUUAAGGAAUGUGAAUGAGGUAAAUAUUUCUUCUAUUGAACAACGUUUAGAUAAACUCACUUCUCUUGUGGAAAAGUUUGUUGUAGGUAAUGUGCAACAGGUGAAGACUUGUGGUAUUUGUUACAAUAUGGGUCAUUCAACUGAUAUGUGUCCUACACUUCAAGAAGAACCUGUUGAACAAGCCAAUGCAGUUGGAGGAUUUCCAGGCAUGCCUCAGAGGAGGUAUGAUCCUUAUGCACAAACAUACAAUCUGGGAUGGAAGGAUCAUCCGAACUUCAGCUAUGGAGUUAGGCCGUCAGGAUUCCCACAACAGUAUCCACCAAGACAACCAACACCUCCACAGUCAAACUCCAAGUCAGGUAUAUCUCUUGAAGAAAUUGUUAAAUCACUUGCGACUAACACUCAACAAUUUCAGCAGGCAACUACAGCAAGCAUUCAGAACUUGGAGAACCAAAUGAGUCAAUUGGCGACUACAGUAAGCCGUCUGGAGUCUCAAGUAUUAGGAAGAUUGCCUUCACAAUCUGAGGUGAAUCCAAAGCAAAACGUUAGUGCUGUCAUCCUUAGAAGUGGGAAGGAGUUGCAAGAGCCUAGUAAGAAAGUGACAAAGCAUGUAGAAGAUGAGCUUGAGAAGAAUGAAUUGAUACCUAAAUCUCAAGAUGCGCAACCCACCAAAGCGAAACCCCUACCUAUUGUGAUACCUCCUCCUUUUCCAAGCCGAUUUGCAAAAUCCAAGAAGGAGGAACAAGAGAAAGACAUCCUUGAGACAUUUCGCAAGGUUGAGGUAAAUAUUCCUUUAUUAGAUGCUAUAAAACAGAUACCUCGAUAUGCUAAAGUCCUUAAGGAACUGUGCACCUCCAAGAGAAAAUUAAGAGGAGAUGAAAAAGUUCACAUGGGGGAGAAUGUUUCAGCAAUUCUCCAAAAGAAACUACCUCCUAAGUGCAAGGAUCCAGGUAUGUUUACUAUCCCUUGUAAAAUUGGUAGUGUUAGAGUUGAAAAGGCUAUGUUAGAUCUAGGAGCUUCUAUUAAUGUCAUGCCUCGUUCUAUUUAUUCAUCUUUGAAUGUUGGUCCAUUAAAAGAAACUGGCGUGAUAAUUCAACUAGCUGAUAGGUCUAAUGCAUAUCCUGAUGGGGUAUUAGAAGAUGUCUUAGUACAAGUUAAUGAGUUGGUUUUUCCUGCUGAUUUUUAUGUACUUGAUAUGGAAGAUGAUAACUCCUCUAAUUCUGUCCCAAUUUUGCUAGGAAGACCUUUUCUUAAGACUACUAGGACUAAAAUGGAUGUACAUAAAGGGACUCUCACUAUGGAGUUUGAUGGAGAAGUUAUAGAAUUCAAUAUGAAUGAUGCCAUGAAAUAUCCUAGUGAGGAACAUUCAGUAUUCUCUGUGGAUGUUAUUAACCCUAUAGUGCAGGAAGUUUUUUACAAGAAAAAGACGAAGACAUUUCAUGAUAGAAUGAUUUUGAGAAAGGAGUUCUCUGUUGGUCAAAAAGUUCUUCUUUUUCAUUCUAAGCUUAAACUUUUUCCGGGUAAAUUACGUUCUUGCUGGGUUGGACCUUUUAUUGUUACUAAUGUUUUUCCUCAUGGUGCAGUUGAAAUUCGGAGUCCGACCUCUGACAAAGUUUUUAAGGUUAAUGGUCAUCGCUUAAAACCUUUUUAUGAAGGUUUUUCGGUGAAUAUUGUGGAGGAUGUGGCUCUCGAGAGUCCCAAUUAUGGAGAUUGAUGCAUAAAUGUGUCUAGCCAAAGACAUAAAACAAAGGCGCUUUUUGGGAGGCAACCCAAAUGAUUUGUUUGUUUUGGUUUUUGUUAUAUCUUCUUUUAAUUUUGAUUCAAAAAAAAAAAAAAAAUUUUGCUUAUUUUGGUCAGAAGAAAAUUUUUGAUAAGGCGUGCUCACGUCUUAGCUAAUAAGUACUUCUGUAAUUUUUAAAGUAACAUAGUUUUAAGGCGUGCCCACGUACUUAAUAGAAAAGUACUUCUGAAAUUUAAUGUGUUUGCUUAUUUUGGUCAGAAGAAAAUUUUUUAUAAGGCGUGCCCACGUACUUAUUAGAAAAGUACUUCUGAAAUUUUUAGUGUCUCAAAGUGAUUCAUCACUAAAUAAAAAGAAAGAAAGGAACGAAAAAAAAAAUUAUUUAUUUAUUAUUUUUUUUUCGUUCCUUUCUUUCUUUUUAUUUAUUUAUUUAUUUAAAAAAAAAAACCAAAAAUCGAAAAUCACUGUUCACUAUUCACUGUUCACAAAAUCCCUAAUUUUCCAGAACUUGUUUUCUUCUCCAGCCGCUUGCAGCACACCAGCAGCAAACCAGCCCGCCGAAAAACGCACCAUCCCGUGAGCGCAGCACCAGCAUCCCGUGUCUCGCAGCCCAGCAGCGCGCAAUGAAGUCCCACCAGUGAAAGCAGCCGCGCGCAACGCAGCAAGCCCCAGCCAUCACCAUCGUGCGAAAUCAGCAGCAACCGUGCGCGCAACACAUCCCGCGAAGCAGUAGCAGUAACGCCCCGCAACGCAGAUCCUCAGCUCCAGCCCGCGCGCACAUCGCAAAUCAAUCCAGCAAUCACCCUCGUGAAGCAGCAGCAGCAACGCCUCGCAACACAGCCACGCACCAGCAUCCCGCACGCAACCAGCAGUGUGCAACUAGCAACCAGCAGCCCCAGCGCGCGCGCGCAACACAAUCAGUGCCAUCCCGCGUCCAUCAAGCAAGCUCCAGCCGAGCAGAAAUCGCAACGCAACCAGCCUACGACCUGCAUUCCAGGCGCGUGAAUCGAAAUCCGUGACAAGAUGGAGCAGAAUUUGGCCGCAUACUUCAAGAGUGUGGGAUUUAUCCCACCAUUCCCGCCAAGCCCAUAGACGUUAUGAGGAUCAAAGCUCACAAUUCAGGGAAGUUUUUGCCCUUAAUCUUUUAUCCUUACGCUUUAAUUUUUAUGUGAGCUUUGAUUAUCUUACAUUGGGGACAAUGUCAGUUCUUAGUGUGGGGGAGGGAUUUUUGCAUUAUUGAUGUCUGGAAUUAUUGUUUUCACUCUACUCAUCCUUAAAUGAUUUUGGAGUUAGUAUGCUUCAUAUAUUAUUAAUUUUUUAUUGAUGUCUGGAAUUAUUGUUUUCACUCUACUCAUCCUUAAAUGAUUUUGGAGUUAGUAUGCUUCAUAUAUUAUUAAUUUUCUUUUCCUCUCUCUCUCACUACUCUUUUCCCAUCUAUCUCAAAUUAUUUACAUCUAUUUUUAUUCUAUCAUACUCUUUCAUCACUCACAUUUUAUCUUUCACUUUUCAUAUUACUACAUACAUCUUUCUCACUUCUUAUCAUUUUUACCUUUUCUUUUAUAUAUCACUCAUACCUUCUUCUCAUUCUACACCACUAUUGAUGGUUGAUUCAUUUGAAGAGUGUACAUGAUUUGAUGGCAAAUUUACCAACUUUGUGAGGAUUUGAGCCUAUGAGCAACCACUUUGCUCUAAUAUUUUUGUUGUGUGAAUAUCAAUCUUAGUUUGUUUAUUCUAGAACUUGCUUUGUUAUGCAUGUUGAAGCCGCAUUACGGGAUUUUAUGCAUUAAAAUGAUAAGGGCAAACCCUUUUCCAUUUUUCUAUUCUCGCAUUUUUUUUUCUCUACCCGAAGACCUUUAUUUGCUAUCUUUAUUUGAGCCUUAACCAUUACCCAUCUAAUUUUCUCCGUCUACUUAACCAUUUUUCUUCUUUUUGAGCCUCAAUUUAAGGAGAUUUUUGGACUCAUUGUGUGGAUAUAUUUUGUUGCUUUUUCUACCUUGUAUUAAAGUUUCUCAAUUAGAUCAACAAGCAUUAUGCUUGAAUUAAAUUGUGCAAGGUUCGUUUCUUUUAUUUGAUUCAUCAAAAAAAAAAAAAAGGGAAAAAGAAAAAAAAAGAAAAAAAGAAAAAAAAAAGAAAAAAAGAAAAAGAAAAAUCGAAAAAAAAAAUGUUUACAUUCGUGGUGACUUGAGUAGAAAUAAGCAUUUUGAUAUCAUAAGUUUAUUCAAUGAGUUCAUUCUUCUCAUUUUGAUCUCUUUUUCUUUCAUAGACCUUUCUUUUUCAUUUAACAUAUUUAACCCCAUUACAACCCUUUUAAGACCCUUAAAUUUUUACAUUUUAUUCAUGUUUUGUGGAUUGAGAUGUGAUAUAUGAGCAAGCUUAUGGUAAUAGCAUUCUUUGAUUUGAUUUGAGUGCAUAAAUGAUACCCUAAACACUUUGAGUGCAUGGAGUGAAGUCAUUGAGAGGGCUAUUAAAUCUUGUUGCACUUGAAUUUUGAAUGGAUCUUCUUGGUGGUUGAAUGUUCUUAUUCUAUCUUAUGAGAUUUUAUGCUUUAAAAUCCUUGUCUCUCGAAUGUUGAUCGACUUAAUUUCUUGAGGUAUGCUUGCUUAAAAUUAUUUUUGGAUGAGUUGAGAUGAGAAUUGAGUGGAGAUUUGGGAUUAAUCUUGAGUUAUAUGCUUGAGGACAAGCAUCAUCUUGGUGUGGGGGAAUUUGUUAGAGUGCAAUUUAUGCACUAGUUUUGCAUUGUUUACUUCCCUUAAUAUCAAUGUUUUGCACUUAAUAAUAGUGAUUUACUUGUGUUUUACUUUUGUAGGUGCAAUUCUAUUGAUUGAUGAUAAAAUUGAGCUAUAAGAUGAUGUUUAAGGAUGAUUGUUCUCUUGGAGAAAUUAUGAGCGUCAGAAGAACUUUGUUGAUAAGGCGUGGGCGCGUGCUGUCAACUGCGGACCUGCAGUUUUUAGUUUAACGUGUUUUGUAUUUUUGGUUAUUUUUGUAAUUACGAAUUUAAUAUUUCAGAUAUUAGUAUUUUAUUUUAAAUAGAAUUCUAGAGGAGAAGAGAGAGAGAGUAUUUAAGGGAGGAAUCUAUUGUGAAAAAGGGGGAUUUUUGGAUUGGAGAAAAAGAAACCCUAGAUCUAAUUUUUCUCUUCUCUCUAUGAGGAACUAAACCCAUUCUUCUGGUUGAAGGUUAAUGAAGCUUUGAUUCAUCACUACUGUGAGAUCUUUCUUGUGCUUUAAUUGUUUUAUUACUUUUUGGGUAUUUGUUUAUUCUCUGAAUUAUUUUCAUGAUUAUGUUUGUUAAUUAGGUAAUUGGCCACUAUUUAAUUAUCAACUUAAUCUAUUGUCAAUUAAAGGAUUCAUCGUAUGAAGAAUUUAAUGUUUGUGACAAAUAACAUAGCAGAGAGUUGUGUUGUGAGAAUAAACAAUCUAAUUUAAAUGAAUCAUCAUAUGUGUUAAUUAGGAUUUGGGUCUCUCUGGUUUUUCAGGCUGUCAAUUGAUUAAAUCCUAUGAUCGUAUCUAGGGUUGUCUAUUGAUUAGGGAAAUAUCCAACGGUCGUACCUUGGUUAUCGACUAGUUAAGGAGAGAUUGGCUAUUAGAGGGUCUCAAUAGCUAUAACCGGUCUAUUCAUAAGUAAUAAUAAUCUAUAUUUGAAUCAAUGAUCAGUAGUCGAAUCAAGCUUAGUUAAUUCCUUCAACCAGAGCUUUCUCCAAUUUGAAUUACAACUUUAAUUUGCAUUCUUGUUAUUUAAUUUGAUUUUUAUUAUUGUCUACAAUUCCCCCAUUUUACGUUUUACGUUUCAAAAGGAUUUACAUAAUUACCGAUCUCUGUGGACACGACCCUGCUCAAUCACUAUACACAAUUUAUUUAGAGUAGGAAUUUAUUUUUGUUGGCUUCGACACCCAUCAGAAUCGUUCAACCAUAUCAGAAAAAAUGCUCAACAUGCAUAGUUGAAAUGUAGCAGAUGCAUUACAUAAUCCAAAUGACAUUCUCCUAUAUGCAAAUGUGCCAAAAGGGCAAGUGAAAGUAGUUUUCUUUUGAUCUUUUGGUGCUAUGGGAAUCUGAUUAUAUCCUGAGUAGCCAUAUAGAAAGUAAUAAAAUUCAUGGCCUGCCAAUCUAUCAAGCAUUUGAUCGAUAAAUGGUAAAGGAAAACGGUCUUUACGUGUGACAGAAUUCAACUUUCUAUAAUCAAUGCAUACACGCCAUCCUGUAGUCACUCUAUUGGGUAUCAAUUCAUUAUUGGCAUUGGUAACUAUUGUGACUCCUGACUUUUUAGGGACAACUUGUACAAGACUGACCCAUGAACUAUUAGAAAUUGGGUAAAUGAUACCUGCGUCUAAUAGCUUAAGGACUUUAGUUCUAACAACUUCUUUCAUGUUAGGAUUUAACUGACGUUGCAUUUCCCUAGUAGAUUUAGCAUUUUCAUUAAGGUGAAUGUAAUGCAUGCAGUCUACUGCGUUUAUACCUUUGAUGUCUACUAUGGUCCAUCCUAAUGCUCCUUUGUGCUCUUUUAAAACAUCCAACAACUUACCUUUUUGUUUGUCAUUGAGGGAUGAUGAGAUGAUUACCGGCAGAGAACUUUCUUCUCCCAAAAAUGCAUAUUCCAGAGUGUUGGGCAAUGGUUUGAACUCGAGUUUCGAUGGUGAUUCUGAUGAUGGGAUGAGUUUCUUUUCUGAUGGUGCUAGUUGUUCAACUCUUGACUUCCAUUUAUUAGUGUCCAUGGAUGAUGCUGAGUCAAGUAGAGCGUUGACCUCAUCGACUGAUCUGUCAAUAUCAAAAUCCAAACCAAAAUGAGUUAAACAUGUUUGUAAAGGAUCAUCACUAAGAUUUGAAACAAAAGUAUCAUCAACUAAUGCUUCAAUUAAAUCCACAUCAACAAUUCCAUCAUCUGCAUUGUGAGGUUGUUUGGCAAUGUUGAAGAUGUUCAGCUCCAUAGUCAUGUUGCCGAAGGACAACUGCAUAUUUCCAGUCCUGCAUUGAAUGUGAGCAUUUGCAGUUGCCAAGAAAGGUAGGCCUAGAAUAAUGAGGAUGUGCUUCUUUGAAUCAUGUAUUGGUUGAGUGUCAAUUACAAUGAAAUCAACAGGAAAAUAAAACUUGUCUACCUGGAUAAGCACGUCCUCCACAAUACCACGAGGUAUUUUCGUGGACCGAUCUGCAAGCUGUAACAUCACUGGAGUUGGGUGUAAUUCUCUCAAUCCAAGUUUUACGAAAACUGAAUAAGGCAACAAAUUUACACUAGCUCCUAAAUCCAACAAAGCAUUCUCAAUUGUGUGGUUCCCUAUACUACAUGAGAUAGUGGGGGAGCCUAGGUCUUUGCAUUUUAGAGGAAUUUUAUGUUGGAGGAUAGAACUAACGUUUUCUGUUAAAAAUGCCUUCUUUUGAACAUGAAUGUUUCUAUUUUUAGUACAAAUGUCUUUAAGAAACUUGGCAUAAGAUGGAACUUAUUUUAUAGCAUCAAGCAAAUGGAUGUUAACACUUACCUGUUUGAAGAUUUCAAGAAUCUCACCUGUGGAUUUCCCUUUUUUUUCCUUUAGCUAACCUCUGAGGAAAUAGAGCUUUGGGAACAUAUUCUCGUGGGUUGGUUUCUUCUUUCUCCUCCGAUGGUGAGUCCUCAACAUUCACAGGUAUAAUUUGAUUCUCUUUUGUCACCGGCAUCUCCACUUUAUUGUCGACUUCUUUUCCUUUUCGCAAGGUCAUGACAGCUUUGACCUCUCCAUGCUGUUGUGAUGAACUGGUACUUGCUUCAUGUACUCCUUUAGGAUUAGGCACUGGUUGACUUGGAAACUUGUCUUUCUCAACAGUCAUUGCCAAGGUCUGAACUGAAGAAGCAAGCUGUCCCACCAUCUUCUCGAGGCUUGAAACUGAUUGGGCUUGUGAGUUGAAGCCCGCUCUCAACUCAUUUUGUAGUCCAUCAAUGGUGCGGUUCUGUUGCUCAAUCGUGGAAUGAGUAACAUUCUUGAAAUUCUGGAAUGCAUCCUCCCAUGGUCUGGGUUGAUAGUAGUUCUGGUUCUGAUUGUAUGGUCUAAAUGGUGGCUGAGAGGCUUGAGGAACUUGAGGAAUUUGUUGCAUUGGUGGAGCUGGAGCUGCUGGUCCAUUCUGUUGGAAUCAUUGAGACCAUAAAAAAUUGGGGUGGUCUCUCCAUCCAGGGUUAUAUGUGUUGGAGUAUGGGUUGUAAUUUGAUGGUUUUCUCAUUACACCUAUGGCAUUGGCUUGAUCUGAGUAUGAGUCAUGGUCAUGUGGUUCUGUUGAUUUAGCAGUCGAUAACGAUGCUAUUUGUCGAGCGAGACCUUCAACCAUCUCCUUGACUUCUUUGAUUCCUGAAGUUGACUCGCCAAUGUGAACCUCAUUCACUCCUUUAAUUCUUCUAGUAUUCCUGAGUGACCGACUCCGUUGUUAGGAAUUAUCCGCUUGUCGCUGGAAGAAUUCCCAAAUUUCUGAUGCACUUUUUGACAUUAGCUCUCCUCCACUUGUUGCCAUUAGUCAUUCUUGCACAUUCGGCAAUAAUCCCUCUAAAAAGUAUUGGCAUUGGUGCCAUUUCUCGUACCCAUGAUGUGGACACUUCAAGAGUAGCCCAUUGAAUCGCUCCCAUGUUUCGAAAAACUGCUCAUCAUCUCUCUGUGUAAACUCUGAAAUUUCCCUGCGAAUAGCAUUGGUUUUAUGCACUGAGAAAUAUUUAUUCAAAAAUUUAGUUACCAUUUGUUCCCAUGAUGCAAUGUUAUUAGCAGACAAUAUAUUAAGCCAUGAACGAGCUCUAUCCUUUAAAAAAAAUGAGAAUAGUCUAAGUUUUACAUCAUCAUCUGAAAAAUUCUCAUAUUUAAAUAUUUGACAAAUAGCAUGAAAAUCAUUCAAAUGAUUAUAUGGGUCCUCAUUUUCUAGGCCAUAGAAUGUUGGGAGACAAUUUAGCACGCUAGGUUUUAGUUCAAAACUCCUAGCAACUACAUUUGGGUAUCUUAUGCAUGAUGUGCUCAAAUUAGCUAAAGGACUGAAGUAGUCCUUAAUUGGCCUCUCAUGUGGUUGCAAAUCCAUUUUAUUUUUAACUUGUUUGUGUGUGCGAAGUGUUUUCUCAAGUUCAAGAUCUAUAGGUUCAAGACUAGGUAAUAAUGACCUUCGACCAUGCAUGCAAAACAAAUAAAAUAAAAAUAAAGAUGGGAACAAAACAAAUAAAAAUAAAAAAGAGGGAGAAAUUACGAUACUAACCUUAUACGCUGUUAAAACAUUUCUAUAAAAAUACACAAAAAUAAAUACGUGAAAUAAAUUAACUAAAAAUAAAUUAAUAAGAUAAAAAAAAUUUACAAAGAUAAAUAAAUUGAAAAUUAAAUUGCAGAAUUUUAAAGAAGAGAAAAAGAAAAGAAAUACUAACCUUUAAAUGUAGAUUCAUUUUCUUUCUUUUUUUUAAUAAAAAAAUACAAGAAAAUAAUUUAAAAGAAAUUAUUCACAAAACUUAAUUCUAUGAAUUAAAAUUACUUACCUCCCCGGCAACGGCACCAAAAACUUGUUGUGCAAAUUUUAUUGAACUCGCAAGUGCACGAAUCUAUUGUAGAAUAGACUAAUGGUGACGAGUGUCGAUCCCACGAGGAGGUGGAUUUUAAUUGUGUGUAGAAUUAAAUUUGUAAAUGGGUGGUUGGAUUUGUGGUGAAAAUGAUUUGGAUUAUCCUAAAAUUGGAAUUGAAAUGGCGAGAAUAAAUUGAAGAGAAAUCUAUUGAGAUGACGUACUUGGGUAUCUGGAUCCGUAUCAACAUGCAUCAUGGGCUAAAUAAUCCUUAUUAAUGCCAAUUAAAUCAUGAGGGGGGAAUCCACACCUCAUGAACCACGCUCUAAUCAAUAUGGUGCUAAGGGCUUAUCGUGCCAAAUAAUAAUAACCUUGUACUAGGGAGCCGGUGAAACCAAGGAGGUACUAGACAAGAUUACUAUUAUUUGUCGACGAGAAGUCAAAACAUCCACAAAAAUUAGAGGGGAAGAGAAAGUAAAUUUAACAAAUAAAGCCCAUGACACAUGUUGAGACUUCACCUUCAACCCAAGCUUGAAAGAAAAUUAGCCACUCAUAAUUGAACUAGGGGCAAAAUAGGAAUUUAUUAAAAUACGUAGAAAAUACAAGAUGGAGAAGGAAUUACAGAAAAUGGAUCCCAAAAAUGGAUUUAGAGAUAUCAAAUUAGGGAGGGGAGGCCCCAUUUUUAUAGAUACAUCGAGUAAAUCAUGGCCAUCGGAUUAAAAACAGUUUGGAUGCGCAGGAUGUACGCGGUUUGACCACGUGGAUGAACAGUAACACGGUUUGACCUGGGUGAACAGUGACGCGGUUUGGUUGAAAAUAAUCGUGUGUGUUGCAUGUACCGUACGUGAGAUUUUUGGUCCACUGAUAUGCUGCCACGUCAUCGAUCAACAAUGCAUAAGAAUUUUAGUCCAACAGGAUCGUGACACCUCAUCAGUCAAUGCCACAUCAUCGGUCAAUGCCACGUCAUCGAUCUGUCUAUGUGAACAGUGUCGUGAACAGUAACGUAGACAGUACUGUACAUGUGAAUAGUACCGUACAUGUGAACAAUGCCAUUUUUCCUUUUAUGCUCCUCCUAAGGUUUUCAACCGUCCUGAGUUCAAAAGUGAUGUCCGUUUUGCCAUCUGAUCUCUCGUUUAUUAUGAAAUGACUAUGACGCCCCUAAAAUACAUAAAAUACUUAAUUAAAAUAAAACACACAAUUAAAUUACAAGAAGCUUAAACACAUAAAAGUAAGGGUUGUUAGUAAGACGUGAAAUGUAAAAUUACGAUUUUCUCCUUUAUAAAUAUGCAUUUUCUAACACUCAACACAUGUUGGUGAAAAAUCUUUGCAAACUCUAGUGAAGCAAGGCUUAUUGAAAGGUGCAAAUUCAUGCAAAUUAGAAUUUUGUGAACAUUGUGUUUUGGGCAAGCAGACAAGGGUAAUGUUUGGUUCAACAAUUCACGAUACAAAAGGGAUCCUGGACUAUGUUCAUAAUGACGUGUGAGGUCCUACCAAAACAACUUCUUUAGGAGGUAUGCACUAUGUUAUUACUUUUGUUUAUGAUUAUUCAAGAAAAGUGUGGGUGUAUUUGAUAAAGAAUAAAAGUGAAGUUUUAGGCACAUUUCUGAAAUGGAAGAAGAUGGUCGAGACUCAGAUUGGUCGAAAGGUCAAAAGACUUUGCUCAGAUAAUGGUGGUGAGUACAAGAAUGAUCUAUUUCUACAAAUAUGCCAAGAUGAGGGCAUUGUUUGACACUUCACUGUUCGAGAUACACCACAGCAGAAUGGGGUGGCAAAACGCAUGAACCAGAUAAUAUUGGAGAAAGUUUGGUGUAUGUUGUCCAAUGCUGGAUUGGGCAAAGAGUUUUGGGUUGGGGCAGUUGUAUAUGUGUGCCAUUUAAUCAAUUGUGUGUCAUCAACUGCAAUUGAGGGUAAAACACCUAUAGAGAUGUGGACUUGUAAUCCUACUAGUGAUUAUGAUUCUUUACAUGUUUUUGGUUCCACUACUUAUUAUCAUGUAAAGGAAUGUGUUAGACCUAAGAACAAAGAAAGCAUUGUUCAUGGGUAUAACUGAUGGAGUAAAAUGAUAUCGUCUUUGAUGUCCUGGUAAAAAAAAGAUUAUUUUCAGCAGAGAUGUAACUUUUGAUGAAUAAACCAUGUUGAAACAAAAAGAUUCUCAAGAGAAUGACAAGACCAAUAGCACUUUCCAGCAGGUAGAGUUUGAAAAAGUUAAAACUGAUCCAGCUGAUGUCGAUGUGACAGAUAGUGAUUUUCCAUCGAUCGAAGAUGAUGAAGAGGUUCUGACCCAGGAACCUUUAGAGCAACAAGAUUCAAUUGCAUGUCGAAGGCCACGCAGAGAGAUUCACAGACCUGCUCGCUUUGUUGAUAUGGUGGCAUAUGCACUUCUAAUUGUAGAUGACGAUGUUCCUUCCACUUACAGAGAAACAAUAAGUAACCCAGAAAGUAUACAAUGGAAGAGAGCAAUGAACGAAGAAAUGCAAUCUCUUCACACAAAUGAAACUUGGGAGUUAGUUAAACUGCCAAAGGAAAAUAAGGCAAUUGGGUGCAAAUGGGUAUAUGCAAAAAAAGAAGGAUUUUCUCGUAAAAAUGAAAUUCGAUACAAGGCUAGAUUAGUAGUGAAAGGUUGCACUCAGAAUGAAGGAAUAGACUAUAAUGAGGUAUUUUCGCUAGUUGUGAAACACUCAUAUAUUCGAAUUUUGCUAGCCAUGAUUGCGCAAUUUGAUCUUGAACUAGUUCAACUUGAUGUAAAAACUGCAUUUUUACACUGUGAUUUGGUAGAGGAAAUCUACAUGAUUCAGCCAGAUGGAUUCAAGGUUGCUGGAAAAGAAAAUUGGGUUGCAAAUUGACAAAGUUGCUUUAUAGAUUGAAACAAUCUCUGAGGCAGUGGUACAAGCGAUUUGAUCGAUUUAUGAAAGGGCAAUGGUAUACAAGAAAUAAAUUUGAUCAUUGUGUAUAUUUUCGCAAGCUACAAGAAGGUUCUUUCAUUUAUUUGCUAUUGUAUGUCGAUGAUAUACUAAUAGCAUCCAAGAGUAAAGAUGAGAUUGAGAAGUUAAAGACUCAAAUCAAUCAAGAAUUUGAAAUGAAAGAUCUAGGUGAAGUUAAGAAGAUUAUUGGCAUGAAGAUAUACAAAGAUAGAGCUCGUAGCAAAGUAAGCUUGUCUCAGAAGCAAUAUUUGAAGAGGGUACUACAGCAGUUUGGCAUAACUGAGCAGACAAAACCUGUAAGUACCCCAUUGGCUUCUCAUUUCAAGCUUUCUGCACAAUUAUCUCCUUCGAUAGAUGAAGAAUGAGAAUACAUGUUACAAGUUCGGUAUUCAAAUGCAAUGGGUAGCUUGAUGUAUGCAAUGGUGUGUACAAUGACUGACAUUUCACAUGCAGUUGGUAUAGUGUGCAGGUAUAUGCAUAAUCCUGGUAAAGGACAUUGGCAAGCUGUGAAAUGGAUUUUACGGUACAUUCAGAAGACCAUGAAUAUUGGUUUACUGUUUGAGAGAGACGAUACAAUUGGUCAAGGUGUGAUCGGGUACAUUGAUUCUGAUUAUAUUGGUGAUUUGGACAAACGAUGGUCAACCACCGGAUAUGUAUUUACUUUGGCUGGAGGGCCAAUCAGUUGGAAGUCUACACUAUAGUCUAUAGUUGCAUUGUCGACAACAGAGGCCGAGUACAUGGCGAUUACAGAGGCUGUUAAAGAGGCUAUUUAGUUACAAGGCUUGCUUGAAAACUUAGGAUUUGCACAAAAGCACAUUAAUGUGUAUUGUGACAGUCAAAGUACUAUUCAUUUAACAAAAACAAGUUUAUCAUGCGCGUACGAAGCACAUCGACGUAUGUUUUCAUUUUGUGCGGGAAAUUGUUGAUGAGGGGAAGAUAGACAGAGACUAGAGGAUGGUUUGUUGAUAGUCGGCUCAGAUUUACUAAAUUUUCGCCAAGGUAGAGAAUUGUUCAAAAGUCAAGUAUGUUUGCAUGAGCCAGCUAGCAUGCAAAUUUCAAGCACAUCAAUUUUGAGCUAACGUGAUUCAAUUGCAUGUGCUAGCAUGAUCUCGCUACCAAAAGUCACACCAAAGUCAUUAAAAUUGAAAAUGGCCAAAGUUUUUUUCAUGCAUUCAUAUUGUAAGCUUUGCCUAUAAAUAGAGGAGUAGAAUGCAUUUGUAACGCAUCCCAAUUUGUGAGAAGUAGAGAGCAAUUGUAAGUGAGCUGUUUGAGAGAAUUUGAGAGAGCUUCCACUUGAGUGUUUAAGUGAGGUUCCAUUUGGGUGUAUUGGGGUUGUGGGUUUUGUGAGUUUUUCCCACUUUUGUAAAUUCCCAUUAUCAGUAAAAUUAUCUUCCAGUCUUUGCCCAUGGACGUAGGCUUUAUGCCGAACCACAUAAAUUAUUGUGUCAUAUUUUCUUUGCAUUUAUUUGUCAUAUUUAUAUUUCUCCAAAAGUUACAGUUAUCGUAAUAUUGGUAAUUGCUCAACCUCACACUUCCGCAACAUAAAGCUCUCUUUGAUGUUCCCACCUAAGCAUGAUUAAUUUAAUAUAAUUUUAUUCGCUUUAAUUAAUUUAAUAUGUAUAUAUGCAUGUUUUAUGCUUUGCAGAACGUAUUUGCUGUUGGAACAAACACAAGUGCAACAACUAUGGUUUGGUCCAUGACCUACCUAAUGAAUAAUCCUAGAGCAAUGAAAAAAGUUCAAAUGGAAAUCAGAUCAUUGAUUGGGGGCAACAAAGGCUUUGUAAAUGAAGAUGACGUUCAAGAAAUACAUUAUCUUAAAGCAGUAGUGAAGGAGACGAUAAGAUUGCAACCCACAGAGCCGUUACUACUCCCAAGAGAAACAAUUGAGAAGUGUAUAAUAGAAUGGUAUGAAAUACCAGCUAAAACACAUGUUUUUGUAAUUGCGUGGGCGAUAGGACGAGAUCCUGAAACUUGGCAGAAUCCUGAGGAAUUUUAUCCCGCAGGGAUUAGUUGAUAGUUGUAUUGACUUUAAAGAGCAACACUUUGAGUUAAUACCAUUUGGUGCUGGCAGAAGAAUUUGUCCUGAUUUGAAUAUGGAAAUUCAAAUGUGGAUCUUGCACUUGCUAAUCUUCUUUACAAAUUUGAUUGGCAAAUGCCGCCUGGAAUGAAGAGCCAUGACUUAGAUGUUCGGCCUGGACUUGCCAUGCAUAAGAAGAACAUUCUUUCUAUUAAUUUAGUCAUAUGUUAAUGUUUUUUUUUAUAUUGUUAUGCAGUGAAUCAAGAGUCUAGGAAGAAAAAAUUAUGAUUUUGAACUUUCAUAAAGAUUCAAUAGCUCAGUACAUGUUUGUUGGGAGAACAUGUACCUCCCGGUUCGAGCGGAGAUUUCUAGUCUGAGUUGUGGUGCGGACUUAAAAAUGUCUCCCACAGUUGGGGCCCUCCCCAAAAUACCUCGUGGUUAAGACAAAAAAAAAAUAUAAAGCAAAAACCAUAAGGGAACGAGAUUUAAUGAAGGAAUUAGCAAGUGACGAAUAUUCCCAACACAAACAUGGGCAGGAGCUUGUCACUUAGUUAUAGUUCAUUGUCUUCGAUAACGUGAGAAACAUAAAUGCAGGCAUUUGGAGACUGAUUGUUUAUACAAAACAAGACAUGAUUAUUCUCUCUCCCUCUUUUGUUAAACAUUUUACAUUGUUUAUUGUGAAAUAUAUAUAUUCCAAUUCAUCAUCAGUGGCUAGGAGAAUACACAUGCAUGUGGAAAUUUUCUAAUCCCAUGCAUGAGAGAGGAUAUAAUUAAUGUGAUCAUAUAUUAAAUAUCUAACAACCUAAUCCUAUACAUUUAGCUAGAUGAGAUUAAUUAGUACCAGAUAUCAUUAGCAUAACAUAAAAAUAAACCAAUAAUAAAAAGGAAGACAAUAGAAUAAAUAAAAACUCCAAAAGUUAUACAUUACCUAGUUUUUAUGUGUCAUCAUUAAUUGGCGAGGCAUCAGUAUGAAUACCCUGUAUGAAUUUCUACUCCUAAAUUUUUGGGCUAAUAGAAUCUAUUCGGUUUUUUUAAUGUCCUAAAUAAAAAUUUAGGACUUUAAUUAGUUAAUUAGGCCUAAAAGUUUAAUAAUAUAAAUAUUUUGAUAUUUUUUAUUUUUACUAAUUUUUAUAAUUUUAUAAUUUAAAUUUUAUUAUUUAUUUACUAGUAAUUUUAAAAAAUAACAAUAAAAAUUAAAAUUAAAAUUAAAAUGGGGAAAUGGGUAGUGGAUGGGGAUUCCACCUCAUCCCCGUCCCCUCCCCUCAUACCCUCUCCGAAUGGGGAAAAUUCCCGAGGGUACCCAUCCCGUGGGGAUUUUUGUCAUCCCUAAGUAUUUUUAAGCAAACAAACACGUGCUCUCCCCGUGACCUUUAAUGCUCAUAACGCACCAAAACGCUGCCAUUUUAUGUCUGACGCGUUUGAUUCACCAGCAGGCCUCACAGCUCACAACCAUUAUUUGUAGAAUUGGUUUUGGCAAGAGGUACGUGAAGAUGAAGCAACAAGUGAAAGAAGUAGAUUCCAUGCCUUGCUUGUAAGCUUCUUUGUUACAGGUUAUUUUCCUUUCAUAGGCUGGAUUGAUAAGCUCACAGGAAUGUUGCAACGCCCGCAAAAUAACUUCCAAGAAAUCGACAGAGUCUACCAGGAACUCAUAGACAAGUUUCUGGAUCCAAACUGAACAAAAAUAGAACAGCUGCAACAGGAGGAUGUAAUUGAUGUUUUACUUCAAAUACGAAAAGACCGUGGAUUUAAAGUUGAUCUGACUAUGGAUCACAUCAAAGCAGUGCUCAUGGUUGAUAAUUUUAUAAAUAGUUAAUUAUUCUAACUCAUGCUUAGGGGCGGACUCAAAAAUUUUGUGCAGAUACCCACUCUUACGGUGUUGUAGAACAUUUUACAACAUUUAAAGUGCUCUCUGAUGUUCCCAUCUGAGCAUAAUAUUUACUAAGAAAAACAUGUAUAUAUAGUUGACUGAAAUAGAAUUCAAGGAAGACAUUACAUAGUACGAAUUUGAUUUAUUUCGAUGGAGUUUGAUUAAUGAAAGUAUAUGAAAGUGUAAAGAAAGUGGUAAAAAAAUUUGGUUAUGUAAAAGUUAUAUAGGCAACAUAUUAUUGUCAUAUUCCUAUUAAGGUACAUUUGAUUGUGAUGAUUAUGCAAAUAAAAUAGAUCCAUAUAUGUCUUUAAAGAUGGUUUUGACUUAAACUCGCGGAGUGUUGUAUGCUCAAUUUUGAGUUCUAUUAUUAGCCUUGCACCUAUCCUGGAUUAUUUCGAGGGUAGAUAAAAUUAAUUCGAUUAAUGCUAUCAUGUUUUCUUCUUCAAAUGAAUCGAAUAUUUCUGGAUCAUUAAUUCCUUUUAUUUCUUCAUUGUUUGCUUGUAGUUAAUCUAGUUUUAACCACAAAAAUUGUAUAACCAACUUGAUAUUCUUGACGAAAGUCUAAAUGAUCAAUUGCAUCUAGAAAUUUAUUAACAGAUCUUUCCAUUUUUAAGAAAUUGAGUUACUCUUAUCACUUCCUAUCUUAAAACAUCUCCGAAAGUAAACAAGGCCUAACAUGCUUCCAUUUGUGGCUAAAAUAAAAGAAGAGUUCAGAUCACUAACCAGUGUACUAUCUCUCGAAAUUUUAAAAUAGACUCACUAAUUACCUCCAACCAUAGAGAGAUUCAUGGUUGGCACUGCCAUAGCUCCACACAUCAUACAAGAUCACUUCAGUGAUUGUUCCACACAGUCCAACAUAACACACAACAGACUGACCUAAUAGGAUAUGUCUAAGUGAUUUCCUUGCAGUUGUCUCUGGAAGAAUGCUUAGUAAUAGAAAAUCUUCUUCAUUUAGCACAAGUAUUGGCAUGUAAGUUUCCUGGUUAGUUUUCAAAGGAUAUAUAAGAUAUUUGGAAGAUGAUAAUUUCACUCAAAAGAGGUUUAUUUAUUUCAUUAUUGAAAUUGUUUACAGAUGAUGGUUACAGAGAAUACAAAGAUAGGUGAAGGUUAGACAUAUGAUGUAUUUUCCUUCUUACAUGUUUCUAUUUAUCCUCUUAAAGAGAUAAGGUUAUCUCUUUUACAUGACAUAUGUUCAAAUUUCUUAGUGGAUCGUGGAUUCCCUUUUGAUAAGGUGACCCCUAUUUUUUUUAUCAUUAAAGACAGUAGUUGUCUUUUUUUCCUAAUGGCAGACAACUUUAUCUUGUUGUGGUGAGCUUUAUCUUUUUGGAAUAUUUCUUUUUGAAUUUUUUAUGCUUUUAGGAUAGCAUCUUUUAUCUUUUUCAAUGGGCCCUGUCACAUGUCAAUUAUUAGAUCUUCAUCUAAAGACAUUUCUUCCCCAUAAGAAUCUCCUUUUGAUCCUUCGUAGCAGUAGGAUGACUGAUACUUUAGCACCUUGCAUAUCUCGUGGUGCAUCUAGAGACAUGUCUUCUCCGCUAGAAUCUCCUUUUGAUCCUUCGUAGCAGUAGCCACAUGAUGACUGAUGCUUUAGCACCUUGCAUACCUUGUGGUGUGUUAGUAAGCUGGAUUCCACGAGAUUUUCAUAUAUAUAUUUUUUUUCUUUUUAAAUAUGCCAUGUCUGGCUAAAAUACUUUCUUUUCUACUCAUAGAAAAUAUUAUAUGCUCUUUUGUGGCUUCGUGAAGCCAUAUUUUCUCCUUACUUAUCUUCUCAAGAGAUUUAUAGAGGACUUUCAUUCCUAUGGUCCUUUUGCUAGUGAGAGCUUUGGGCUUGAAUAAUUCAGGAUGAUAAUCAUUGUAGACUUGAUGAUUAAACAAUUGUUUCGUCCUUUUUUAUAUUUUAAACCAAAAACUUGGCUCUAAUACCAUUUUUGAGGACAAAUUCAACCCAAAAUCCAAGUAAGGAUGUAUAUGAUUAAUUUUCAAGAUUUUAUGAAAAUUUUGUAAUUAUCCUUUUUCAAAACUCACCGUUUUGUACAAACUUUUGUGCAAUCCUCUGUGAGGAUGUCUUUUUCCAAUCUUGUUUUAUCCUUGCGCCAUCUUUUACUGCUGUCUUUUAGCCCCGGACAUCAUUAUCAUUUUUCAACCGUUUCAACAGGCUGGCCACCACAAACUGUUUUAAUGCAUUUAUCCACAUCCGUUCUUUUUCGGAAGCAAAAUCAAACGUUCAUCAUUUCGUGUUUGUUGCAUACAUUCGCAUGUAACGUAGCAGGGGCCUUUUUGACAUAUCACAACAGUUUUUCCUUUUCCUUUUUUCUUAAAUGAAAUACUGUUGUGUUAGAAUUUACGUUCCACGUAAAGUUGACGGUAAAAACUAAAUUCCGAUUUGAGUAUUGAGAUCCCGUUUCGAAAGGUAUGAGAUUCAAUGCUAAUUUUUAAAAUCGAUUUGGAAUUGGUCGGAAUUUGAGACAAAAUUUUGUGUCUAUUAAUGAUUGGGAUGGGAUCGAGACAAUCAACGAAGUCGUUGCUAGCGAUUACAGGCUCAGGCAUAAUACUUUUACAUCCAGCUUUUUCUGAUUUUCUUUUAAGUUACAUUAUACGAAAUACUUGUGACUGCACUGCGCAUGUGUCUUUGAUAGUUCAAUUAAGGCUCCAUAACUGAUGGAAGCCCUUGGAAACUGGUAAUUUGAGUCAUUUGCAGUUGAUGUUCCAGAAGGAAACGCCAAGGUUGAGACAUGUUACUUUCGGAUGCUUUUCCUUUAAGGCCUAUUUUUUUUUUUUUAAUUUAUAGCUUUUAAUAUCAUUUUAAAUUUGUCCGAAAGUAUCUUUUUUACCAAUAAUGUUUGUAAAUCAAGAAAUAGUUAAAAUUCCGCUAGGUGAAAAUACAAGUUUGGAAUUUUAUUUUUGAGUGCAGACGAAUUUUAUUUUUUAAUUGUGGCUGAGUUAGGUAUAGGUAAAUCUAUACUGAAACAGUAAAACUCACUCAUUGCCAUCCGUAAGAUUGCUAUAAGGUUAAAUAAAUAAAAGAAAUUAAAAGAAAAUUCUGUCUGAGGAUACAAAUAAAAUCGGAGCCUUAACAAUCUUCGUUGGAAAAAAAAAAGAAGAAAAAAAGAAAGAAACACUAUACGCAUCCUUUACUCCACUUAAUUUUUCAUUUAAAAGUCUAUUGUAGGUGUAAAUUACGGCACCUCCACCAAUAGGGGUGCGAUCUAAACGUAAUAUACAUUAUAGAGAUUGCACGUGCAUCAUCAAUCCUGCAUUCAGUGCUUCUCAUGUUUUCUUUCUUUCUUAUGUGUAAUGAACGUUGAUGUCCAUGUGCUCCCACAGUUUUAAGUAAUUUUUUUGCUUAUCAAAAAAAAAAAAAAAUUGUUUUUUUGAAUUAACUAUCCAAGUCCGAUAUAUCCGAGUGGGUAAUUGCACAUUAUCUAUUCCCUGAUGUCACAUAUUUUUGUCUUUCACUGUCCUUAAAUUACAAUGAAAUGGAAUAAUAUUGGCAACAGUAGAAAAUAUAAUAAGUAAAAAAUUUAUAAAAAUAAUGUUUUGUUUUAUACUCAAAAGUUUAAAUAGAAAUAUGAAAGUAAAAAGUUAAACACAAAAUAAAAUAAAGAAAAAUAAAAGAAUUUUUUAAAAGGAGAAAUAUAUUAUCUUUAAUUAGAAAAUGUUUCAUUUUAAAUAAGAACUAUAAUUUGUCAUUUUGUUAUAUUUGAUUUAGUUUAAUUUGAUUGUAUUUAUUUCUUGGAUUAGGGAACGAUAAUGAUAUUCAUUCCUUAUUGGUAGUGCUUACUUGCAAAAAAUAUGAAGGAAUAAGAAUAGAUUUUGGGUGGAGUCCAUAAAUUUGAAAAAAAAAAGAAUGAGAAUCUCAUUGGCAUGAGUAGAGGUGGGAAUAAAAAUUGGGGAAUGAAUUUUUAUCUUUAAAAAAAUAAAAAUUCCUUUUUUAUCUCAUAUUAAUAUUAAAUAAUAAUUAUUAUUGAUGUUAUUAUUUAUACUAAAAAUAUUUAUUAUUUAUUUUGUUAGUGAACAAAUACAUAACUGUAACUAAGGUCAUAUAAGUAUCUUACAACAAUUUAUUACGAUUAUAAGAUAAAAUAGACACAUUAAUUAGAAUAUAAUUUAUUCUAAUUCUGAUUCUUGCAGUUCAAGUAUAAAUUUAUUCUAGUUCUUAUUUUACAUUUUAAUUCCCGUAUAUUUCGAUAUUAGCCUAUUCUAAUUCCUAUCUAUUCUGAUCCCGAAAAAAUAAAUGAUCUAAUUCAAUUAUAAUAGGGGCAUUAGAGGCUAAAUUUAAACUUAAAGAGUAGUUCCGAUAUUAAACCAUAUUUUAAGGACAUCAAUGAAAAUGUAAUCAACAAAAAAAAAAAAGUUACACCAUCAUCGUUUUGUUGGCAACAAUAACGUUGAAGUGGUCUGUCUCCUUGCGAGUUGUGCGACCCCUUCGGUCGCAAGGAGAUGCCAAUCUUUUCAAUUUGUCGAUUUGCUUUCCUAAAGCAAUAAAAUAAAACUCAAAGCCGCACUUCAAAACUUGUGCAAGAAGGAAAUGUAACUGACGUAUGCUGUCUUUCCAUUUCUUGGUGCAUGUAUAUAUAAGUCUGAAUAUCAGCUGAGUCGGCCAACACCUGCAAGCAAUUUUCGUUUUUCGGUAAGUAUUGUUUCCUUAUCCUAUGAAUUUAUCUUCAAAUUUAUUAUAUUUUCACUUCAAUUGUUUCUUAGUUUGGUUUAAUGUAGUGCGAAGUUAAUUUAUCAACAUUCCACCACAUAAGCGGCACUGGAAGGACCCACAGAGGCCAUCUCCAGCUCCACAGAUGCUUGUGCCUAAAUUCAACAGAAGCUUAAACUUGGGAUUGCCCAAGCUUAAUGAAGACAGGAGUGGAAAUAUUGUGCAUGCAGGGCAUGCCGUAUUCAGGUGGUUUGCCGUAGGCUUGGAUGGUGAUAGCGGCUUUCCUACUUCUUUCCAAUCUGAACCGUCCUCAGUGGAGCCUGUUGAGCAUAAAAGAGGAGUAAAGCCGUUAGUUUUAGUGAACAACAAUCUGGCUGAAGGUUAGUGUUCUGCCUUUUUUUUUUUGUUUUAUCUUAAUUUGUUCUACUUUCGUUCUUGAUUUAUGUCUGGUGUUAACUUUGCUUAUGUGGACAUUUGGCUUUCUCGUUGGUAGAUAAUGAUGAAGUGAGGGGGAAUAUAUGAAGAAGCCCAGGGGGACCGGCAGCAGAAAAUGUAUGGCCAGACGUGUUGAGUGCUUAUAAGAUUGUCAAGAACGAAUUGGAGAAAAAGCCAACAAUUGCUAGAUUUGGCGAAGUUCAUUUCCAUAGAUAUGUGAUCUGGUUCCCAUUGCUGCUACAGCGUGAAUGUUUUGUGUUAGAUCAUUCCUCUCCUUUCUUUCGACUUUGAACUUAAAGCAAACAAAAAUGCAUAUUUAUACUAAAUCUGACAGACAUCUUGUGUUAGUAUUACUUGAUUUCUGGUAUGAGAAACAAAUCAAUCUCUUGCCGCCGUGAGUCCGUGACCAAGUUUUAUUGUUUGAAUUUUCAUAGGGACAACACAUUAUAUCAUUGCUUGACCUUAUUUCUUGCAGUAAAAAUGAUUCCAUUCUUCUAUCACAUUUUUGAAACAUCCAUUAGUUUUUGUAUUACAAGCGCCUCAAAGAAGUAAUUAUAUCAUUCAUCUCGAUGCAGGAACAAUUUACUGCACUUAGGAAGUGAAAAGGAAGGUCAGGUUGCUGAAGAAACCACUUUGAGGCAAAUGAAGUGAUCCUUUUACUCAAAUGUCCCUGCUACAUACAUGGAAGACAUUAUAAAUGAAGUUAUGCCAAAAAUUGGAGUUUAUUUUGAAGAGUACAAGGAUAUAUAUACCAUGUCAAGGUAGUUCUUCUGCUAAAAUCUUCAGUAUUAGUGAUCAAGUUUCGUUUAUCUCCCACUUAAUUAACCAUUGAUUCUUCCUACUCCCCGCCCCGGCAGUGUAGUUGCCUGACAGCAGGCGACAAAACUCAACUAUUUCAUGCAAAUCUACUGUUAAAGAAGAUAAAACACUUGAGCUCUAGAAGGCAAGUUUUCUGCUCCUGGCUAACUAUUCUUUAUGGACAAUGGAUCGAAUAUUGUGUUUGUUGCCUGUGUUUUAAAGGAGAUUUUUGCUACUUCAAACAUUGCAACAGGACUUUUGCUGUUUUGAAUUAAAUAGAUGAGGGUUUGAAUUUAAUCUUUUCAAUGUGAAUCAUGAAGGAUCUAUUCAAAAUAAAAGUGAUAAAGAUUAAGAAAGAACUUAAGAAACUAAGAGCUUUUAGAAGUCUUUGAAGAAAUAAUAUCAAUUUGAUAGGAAAAGAAUUUAAAAUGAAGAAAAAAGAUAAUUGAUAAGAAGUAAGACUAACUGUACAUCUGAUUGAGGAACAGGCUUGUUAAUUCAAACUAUUAUAACCAAUUGGGAAUUGAAUUAAGUUAACAGUUAACUCGUAAUUGAAUGUCUAAACUAACAAUGUAUACAAUUACAGAUGAGACUAUAAAAUUGCAAAGAUACUGCUGAUUGUGAAUCAAUUUGAACAUGCCAAUCCUUAGGAAUUCCUUUCAGUAUCAUGGGAUUUAGAUCUCAAUUAUCUUUUUUUAUUUGAGUACGGUGACAUCCCGAACUAUCAAAAAUACCCACUUGUCCAUACAUGCCUAUGUCCACUUUAUCAUUUAUUUAUGAAAUGUUCUAAUUAAAUGGGCAAGUCCAUAUAAUACAAUCAUUUUCAAUUGCCCAGCAUUUGGAAUACAGAUGCUUUGUUUCCUCGGUUUUUAAUUUUUUGUUCUUUUUUAUUUACUUGAUACAACUAAUAAGUAAAUUCAUGGCAUUUUCUAUCACCUCUUUUUUUGUUGGGAGUAUUAGUAAAUCAACUCUGUAAUUCUCUGCCUCUUUACCAUAAAAGCUGCAUUUUAAUGGCAUCAGCUUACAGUUAUGUGUGCUAAGUAAAACAAUUCUUUAUUGAGACAUUUUCAUCCUCCAGAAAAUACAUAAAUAAAAGACCAAACCAUCGUUAUUUUGAUUUCAUAACAGCAUCAUCCAUCACUUUCCCAUCACUUUCCUACAAGUUUUUGUUAGGAAAUUGAUGGGUGAAGCAGACACGUAGUUAAAAUAAAAUUAGAAGAAAAUAAAGAACAAACACAAUAGAGGACACCAGAAAAUUACGUGGUUCGACUUUUAGCCUAUAUUCACGGGCGAAAACAAAAGUAAAAUAUUUCACUAGUGAUAUGAGGAUUACAAGUAUUAUAAUAUUUUGGCUCACUUCUUAGAACCCCAAUACACUCAAUCUCUCAAUCUCUCACUCACUAAACUCACAAGAGCUUUAUAAUUUUAAGUUCUGAAAAUUACUCAAGCUCUUUAUUUUUCUCUCUCACAAAAUUGAAUGCGAAAACGAAAAGGAGGAGCCUCCUUUUAUAGCUAAAACUAGGAAAUGGAAUCGCACUUCGUGCGGCUUUAAAAAAAAAUUAGUAUUAUCUUUUUUUAUUACUUUGCACUUGAUGAAAUUGAUAAAAAAUAUGAAUUUUUUUUUUUUUAAAGAUGACGUAACCUUAUAAAACUAAUGUUAUUUAUGAAAGUUAAUUAUUUUUUUGUUAACAUUAAAAAUAUAUAUUAAUGUGUAUAGUUAAGUGUACACAACUACACAACUUUUUCAUCAAUAAAAAUUAUGUUCACACUAAUCAACUCUCUAUUUUUCUUGGUAUUAACAGAUUCCCACGUCUUACAAAGUCUAACCCUUGUCAUCAAACUAUCUUUAUCAUUGUUUAACUCAUGAAGAAAAGAGUACUCCAUGAAGCACACAAUACUAAAACUUUAAAUAAGUCAAAAAAUAAAAACACAAGAACAUUUCUAAAGAGGAUGUUGGUUAAAUAAUAAAAAAAAACCCAAACAUAACAAAUCUUAAAUGCUUAAUAUUUAUAGAGUUUGAAGAAACCAAAAGACACUAAAUAAAAGGUUGCAUAAUUAAAUAUGGGAUUAUGACAUUAAAAUUAGGUCCUAGUGGCAUUAGUGAGGAAAGAUGAAGGAACCUUCCUUCUUAUAUUAAUUAGUUGAUGUAUUUUAAACCACUAAAGUUUAGUUGUUGGCUUAAUAAAAUAAAUGAAUGUUUCAAAACUUAUAAUUAAUUUAUUAUUAAUGGUUACAUAUUGUUGAAUUUAAAUAGAAAGAGGAAGAGACAUGUAAUUUUUGUAAUCUAUUAAUUAUUUUCUAUUUUUAAUAUUUUGUAAUGUAAUUAUUUUUUAAUCUCAACCAAUAGAUUAGAUAAUAGAAAAUAUAAAAAGAUGAGAAAUAAUAAUGUCACAAAUCUUAACUACUUAAUAUUUAUAGAGUUUGAAGAAGCCAAAUGGCACUAAACAAAAGGUUGCAUAAUUAAAUAUGAGAUUAUAGCAUUAAAAUUAGACUCUAAUGACAUUAUUGAGGGAAGAUGAAGGAACAUUCCUUCUUAUAUUAAUUAAUUGAUAUAUUUAAGCCACUAAAGUUUAAUUAUUGGCAUAAUAAAAUAAAUAAAUAUUUCAAGAUUUAUAAUUAAUUAUUAUUAAUGGUUACAUAUUAUUGAAUUUAAAUAGAAAGAGGAAGAGACAUGUAACUUUUAUAAUUUAAUAAUUAUUUUUUAUUUUUAAUAUUUUGUAAUGUAAUUAUUUUUUUAAUAUAAACCAAUUUAUUAGAUAAUAGAGAAUACAAGAAGAUGAGAAAUAGUGAUACCACAUCACCUUCUCUAGUCCCAACUUUAUAUAUAUAUAUAUAUAUAUAUAGAUAAAUAGAUAUAGAUUUUUAAUAUUUUGUAAUGUAAUUAUUUUUUAAUCUCAACCAAUAUAUUAGAUAAUAGAGAAUAAAAAAAUAUGAGAAAUAAUAAUGACACAAAUCUUAAAUAUUUAAUGUUUAUGAAGUUUGAAGAAGCCAAAAGGCACUAAACAAAAGAUUGAAUAAUUAAAUAUGGGAUUAUGACAUUAAAAUUAGGCUCUAAUGGUAUUAUUGAGAGAAGAUGAAGGAACCUUCCUUCCUAUAUUAAUUAAUUGAUGUAUUUUAAGUCACUAAAAUUUAAUUGUUGGCAUAAUAAAAUAAAUGAAUGUUUCAAGACUUAUAAUUAAUUAUUAUUAAUGGUUACAUAUUGUUGAAUUUAAAUAGAAAGAGGAAAAGACAUGUAAUCAUUUAUAAUCUAAUAAUUAUUUUUUAUUUUUAAUAUUUUGUAAUGUAAUUAUUUUUUUAAUAUAAACCAAUUUAUUAGAUAAUAGAGAAUACAAGAAGAUGAGAAAUAGUGAUGCCACAUCACAUUCUCUAGUCCCAACUUUAUAUAUAUAUAUAUAUAUAUAUAUAGAUAGAUAUAGAUUUUUAAUAUUUUGUAAUGUAAUUAUUUUUUAAUCUCAACCAAUAUAUUAGAUAAUAGAGAAUAAAAAAAAGAUGAGAAAUAAUGACGACACAAAUCUUAAAUAUUUAAUGUUUAUGGAGUUUGAAGAAGCCAAAAGGCACUAAACAAAAGAUUGAAUAAUUAAAUAUGGGAUUAUGACAUUAAAAUUAGACUCUAAUGGUAUUGUUGAGAGAAGAUGAAGGAACCUUCCUUCCUAAAUUCAUUAAUUGAAGUAUUUUAAGUCACUAAAAUUUAAUUGUUGGCAUAAUAAAAUAAAUGAAUGUUUCAAGACUUAUAAUUAAUUAUUAUUAAUGGUUACAUAUUGUUGAAUUUAAAUAGAAAGAGGAAAAGACAUGUAAUCAUUUAUAAUCUAAUAAUUAUUUUCUAUUUUAAUAUUUUAUAAUGUAAUUAUUUUUUAAUUUCAACCAAUUUAUUAGAUAAUAGAAAAUAUGAAAUGAUAAGAAAUUGUGAUGCCACAUCACCUCUUGUAGUCCCAACUUUAUAUAUAUAUAUAGAUAGGCUAUUGUUAAUUUAAUAUUUAAUUAUUAUUAUUAUUUUAUUAAUUUUUCUUUUCUUUUCCUUCUUCGCCCGGCAUCUCCUUUUUCUUCUCUCUUUCUUAUUUUCUUUGGGCGGCACCAAAUCCUUCUUCUUUUGUUUUCUUUUCCAACUAAAGAUGGUGUUGACCAUCUAGAUAGCCAAUUUUUUUAACAGCUUUAGAAGGCCGGAGGCUGAAGCACAAUCAAUUGAGUUGUUAUUGCAUUUCUUACAGCAUGAGUGCGGCAAUUCAAUUGACUUUUUGGCACUUUUGAUGGACGGAGUUAAAUGGUGGGUUUCGGCUUGCAGUCACUUGUGUUUGUUAAAUUUUAUUUUUGUUAAAAUCCAUGAAUAUUAAUUACUAUCUUAUUCACUGUUCAGUAAAAAUAAAACAACACCAGAAAAAGAUUUUUGCUAUAUAACAACAGUGUUUUUUUUUUUUUUUCAAUCGAACACUAUUGUGUUAGAAUAUACUUCCCAGUUAAGGUAGAUAGAAAAAACCAAAUUUCAAUCAGUAUUGGGAUUCUGUCCCAAAACAAGCACUUACUGAUCACAACUUUAACAAAUUUAUUUUUCCACCACACAAUUUGCUCAACUUUUAUAUAUACCACACAUUUUAACUGCCACUAACUUAAGCUACUUGGCUAACAUAUUAUAGAAACUAACAUCCCAGAUUUUUCUUAAGAUAUUUCUACAGAGGAGAGGGCUACCUUACAGAUUCUGUAAGGUACAGCCCUCACAUGAAUACUGUUUGAUUGUGGGUCCGUGUGGGACCCACAACCAAGUUUGUGAGUCAGCUGUAACUUACCGAUUCUGUAAGUUAGUAAGCUCCUUCUACAGAUAUUUUAACGUUUUAGAUUGUAAAUUACUUUUCAACACUUGAUUUAAUCACUGAUUGUUGACGAUAACGUAGCUGGCAAAUUUGUUUCGUUGUGCUAACCGGACAAGCGAUAAGGACUUCACAAGAGUACAAAACAGAGCCCCGAUCUAAUAAUAUUACUGAACAUAGCAUUUUUGUUUCCUUAUUAAUGGAGAGAGGCAGUUCUGUUUUUGCAGUGAUUAAGCGCAUAGAAGAUAUUAAUGGCUUUACUUAUCAUCAUCAACUUCCUUUUGUGUCUCCCCUUCUUCCUCUUCUUCUUUGCUUUGCAAAGGCUCAUAACCUCAAGAAAUAAUACUAAAUUACCACCCGGCCCCUGGGGCCUUCCCUUAAUCGGUAACUUACACCAGUUUGAUGUCUCAAAGCCUCAAGUGUCAUUUUGGGAGCUGUCACGGAAAUAUGGCCCCCUCAUGUCCUUGCGUCUUGGUUUUGUGCCAUCCCUAGUAGUUUCCUCAGCAAAAAUGGCUAAAGAGAUAUUAAAAACCCAUGAUCUUCAAUUUUGUAGCAGGCCAGCCUUGGUAGGACAACAAAAGUUAUCUUACAAUGGUCUUGAUUUGGUAUUUUCACCCUAUGAUGAAUAUUGGAGAGAGAUAAGAAAAAUUUGUGUCAUUCAUCUCUUUAACUCUAAUAGGGUACAAAAUUUUCGACCCAUUAGAGAAGAUGAAGUUUCAAGAAUGAUUGAAAAGAUUUCAAAAUCAGUUGCUGCUUCUAAUCCCGUAAACUUAAGUGAGGUAAUGAUGUCUCUUACCAGCACCAUUAUUUGUAGAAUUGGUUUUGGCAAGAGGUACGAUGAAGAUAAAGCAACAAGUGGAAGAAGUAGAUUCCAUGCCAUGCUUAAUGAAACUCAAGCCUUGUUUGUAAGCUUUUUUGUUACAGAUUAUUUUCCUUUCAUGGGCUGGAUUGAUAAGCUCACAGGAAUGAUGCAACGCCUGCAAAAUAACUUCCAAGAAUUCGAUAGAUUCUACCAGGAACUCAUCAACGAGCAUUUGGAUCCAAACAGAACUAAAUCAGAAUUGCCGCAACCGGAGGAUAUAAUUGAUAUUUUACUUCAAAUACGAAAAGAUCGUGGAUUUAAAGUUGACUUGACUUUGGAUCACAUCAAAGCAGUGCUCAUGGUGAAUAAUUUUAUAAAUAGUUAUAUGUAGACUCGUGCUUAGGCGCAGACUCAAAAUUUUGCGCAGAUACCCAAUUUUACAGUCUUGUAAAAUGUUUUAUAAUGCUGUAAAGUGCCCUUUGACGUCCACCUGAGCAUGAUUAAUUUAAUAUAAUUUUAUUUGCUUUUAAGUAAUUUAAUAUGUAUAUAUGUAUGUUGUUUGUUUUGCAGAACGUAUUCGUUGCUGGAACAGACACGAGUGCAGCAACUGUGGUUUGGGCCAUGACUUACCUAAUGAAGAAUCCUAGAGCAAUGAAAAAAGUUCAACAGGAAAUCAGAUCGUUGAUUGGGGGUAACAAAGGCUUUGUAAAUGAAGAUGAUGUUCAAGAACUACAUUAUCUUAAAGCGGUAGUGAAGGAGACAAUGAGAUUGCAACCCACAGUGCCAUUACUAGUCCCAAGAGAAACAAUUGAAAAGUGCGUAAUAGAUGGGUAUGAAAUACCAGCUAAAACACUUGUCUUUGUAAAUGCAUGGGCGAUAGGAAGAGACCCUGAAGCUUGGGAGAAUCCGGAGGAAUUUUAUCCGGAGAGAUUCGUUGAUAGCUUUAUUGACUUUAAAGGGCAACACUUUGAGUUAAUACCGUUUGGUGCUGGCAGAAGAAUUUGUCCUGGGUUGAAUAUGGGAAUCGCAACUGUGGAUCUUGCACUUGCUAAUCUUCUUUACAAAUUUGAUUGGGAAAUGCCGCCUGGAAUGAAGAGCCAAGACUUGGACUUUGAUGUUCUGCCUGGAAUUACUAUGCAUAAGAAGAAUGCUCUCUCUCUUUUGGCCAAGUAUCAUGAGUAGGUAAAUUAAGGCACCUUGGUCAAUAAGAGUUUGAUCUAAACUAAAUGUAUGUUAUAGAGAUUGCAUGUAUGUCCUCAAUUGUGCUUCUCAUGUUUCCUUUCUUUCUUCUUAUGUAUAAUGAAUGUUGAUGUCUAUGUGCCCAUAGGCUGAGUGGUUUUUAAUAAUUAAAUUUCUUUUAGUUCAAAAUUUUGGGAGGUAAGGACUAGAGAAUAAUGGUUACUCUGCUCACUCUCCUAUACUAAUAAAAAAAAAAGUUGAUAUGAAUGUGAAUAUUAAUCUACUACAUUCAUUUCGUCUCAUAUUUUUUCCCCUAUAUUUUUUGCUUUAGAUUUAACUUCUAUCACUUAAACUGCUAUCUUUUUAUAUGAUUGGAUAGAGAUUGAAAUUUUUGCUGUUCCAUCUCAAUGUUAAUGCUAAUUUUAUCUUCACACCUUUACUGUAAUUUUCUACUUUUACUAUUAGAUGCUGAUAGGGUCUUUUCUUGGAGAUUACUUUACCAAAAAAAGUCUGAAAGAAGAUUUUAUAUCGAUCGGAUAGCAAGCUUGUCCAUAUAGUUUAUGGAUUAUCUGCAAGAGCUCUUUUUAGUGCGCAUACGGUUGUCCCUUCAUGUUAGCAUAUUUAUUCUGUCAUCAAUGAACUUUUGCAUUUAAAUGGUAUCAGUUCAAGUGAUGAAUGAAUUUUACCUAUUGCCUAUCUUGGACUAAAUUUAAUUUCAAAAAAUGAGCUUCCAGCUUAUGACUUAUACGUAUCUUGAACUUUGGUUUUACGAUCACCGUUGGAUGGAAGAGUGGCUUGAGUUUGUUAAUUGCUUCAGUCCCAGGACUAGUGUUUGGAAACAUAAAAUUUAACACUCCCCAAAAUAAUUCAAUAUACAACCAACUCCGAUGAUCAACAUCCUCAACCAAAAUUCUAAGUUUUACUCAAGAUAUCUCCAGAGUCUCAAAAGAUAAUAUUAUAACUAAUAUUAAUAUACCUCAGUUUAUUCUUAAUCCCAAAAGAAUAAUAUAACAAAAUUAUACAAUCUAAAAAGAACAAGAUAACUAUGAUAUCCUAAUAAAAAAAAUCAUCUAUAUCUUCUAACACCAUCACGUGGCCAAGAUUCAAAAUAUAUUUACAGUCGCUGGGUCGGUUUGGUGUACCUGCAACCUCCUGGUGGGAGGAGGGAAUAGAAUAAAAGCGGGAUGAGUAUAAAACUCAGUGAGAUCAGUGAGUGGAUAGUAGUUUUCGAAAAAUUAAUUCUUACUUUAAAAGAAAUAAUUAUAUCAUUUCCAAACACGAUUUCAUCAAACCAUAUGCGAGAAACCAAUAAUAAAUCAUUUAACAUUUAAAUCAGAUUACUAAUCAUGAAAAUCAUAUAUAAUAUCAUGCCUAAUAACUAUGGAAAUCAUAUCACAAUAUCAUAUAAAAUACACAAAUCUGAAAAUCAUCACCAAACAAGUACCCAAGGGAAAAAUCUCGUCGUAUCCGGACCUCAACGGACGGGCAAUGACGUACUAUCUAGGUACUACCAUGCCCCAGAGCUACAUGGAUAGACAUGAAAAUACCAUCUCAUAUCUCAUCAUAUCUCAUUAUAUCUGUGCAUGCAUAAUCUAGUCCCCAAAGGAUAAAAUCGCCCAAGCACACGGCCCAAAGCCUCUGUGUGUACUCAGACGAAUUCCAAAGGCAUGUAUCUCAUCUAUAUCAUAUGUAUCUCAAUAUAUGUCUGUAUCUCAUAUUUGUAUCUCUAUAAUCAUCAUACCGCAUGCAUAUGCCCCCAAAAAGCAAAAGCGCCAAAACACACGGCCCAAAAUCUCUAUGUGUGUUUAGAUAGGCCCCAAAUGCCUCUUAUCUCAUCUGUAUCACUGUAUCUGGAGGGAAGGAUAUUGUCCAAUGAUUUUAAAAACAAUCUCUAUACUCAUAUUCAUAUACAUUCUAAUUAUACAUUUCUUUCUUUAUCACAUCUAAAUAUAUUUUUCUCAUCUUUAAAAUACUGUCAUAUUUUAUUCAAUGUUGAUACGAAAAAUCAUUAACCAAACAUUUUAAUAUAAUAUCAAUGCGUGUAUAAAAUCCAUUAUGAGGAAAUCAUUAAAUCAGAACAUUUAAAAUACUAUUUUCGCAAACGUGAUUUACUAUCAUAAUUAAUUAUGAAAAUAUGUUUUGUAUAUUUUACUCACAGCGACAGUGUUCACGCUCGGUUAUCGUCCACGUCUGCGAAUCGGUUCUCGCUCACAGAUCCUCCUAAAUAAAAGAAACGGCAUAAUUAUUUUCUGUAAAUCAGAAUUAAGACUAAAUUUAUGCAAUAAACUCGAAACGAACAUCUAUCCAUAAUUUACAACUCCCGUAUCGAUAGAAUUACUGAAAUACCCUCAAAUAUGUAAAUCGUUAAAAUACUCCAAAAUCGUAAAUUAUCGAAUUACCCUCGGAAUCGUAAUUACACCCAAUCCUCAAUUUCAGAAAUUACUAAAAUAUCCACAAGCUCAAAAAUUACAAAAUUACCCUCAGAGUGUGAAAUUACUGAAAUGUCAUUGUCGGUCAACGGUCACUGGAAUUUAGUCAACGCUGUCCGGGAAGCUCAAGUAUAAAAGUUCCAAUAACGCUGAGUCUAAUAGUGCCGGCGGUGAGGUCCCACAUGCGGCAACGACGCCGUGAAUUUCCAACAAUUGGCCGGCGGCGAAACAGUGACUCCCGGUGACUGUAGAUGGUCAGGAAUUGAAGAGGGAGUUGUGGGGAACAAAAGUGAGGUGGUGGCGUGGUCAAAUUCCAAUAGAAUCAACGGCAAUGGUAUGGGUUUUGGCCGCGGUUUCUCAAGCUUGAAACGGCGACGAUCCCGUCUGCUUUCAGCGACAAUGACGACUGGGUAUGAUGGCCGGUCUUCAAGCUUCAGAUUGGUACCAAGCUUGACCGGUGGGGUGGCCAGAAUCGCAAGAUAUGGCCGGGUCAAUUUCGGGUCAAAACGGUCGGGUUUUUGGGUCGGUUUUGACAGCUUCUCUCUCACUCUCUCACACGUGUGUCUCUGUUUCCCCUGUUUUCCAGCUUCCUCUUUCAUUUAUUUUAACUUUUUAACCGCCUCAUUUUUUUAUUUACUUUUUCACAUAUGUUACAGAAUAACUUAAUCUUUUGCUAUUUUAUUACGUUCAGUUUAUAUACAGCUGAUUCAUUGUAACAAAUGUUAUCAUAAAUAACCACUCGGGCAGUAGCCCGAGUGGCCAGGGCUGCUGCCCUCCAACAAGUUGGAGGGCAGCAGUUCGAACCCCCACAAAAAUAUUGUGGGGGUAUUUCUUUCCUCAAUUAAUUUGAGUGAAGGUAGUCUUCUCUCUUACCCAUGAGUGAGGAGUAGACAUCCCUCGAAUAUUUGUGAGGGUUAAAAUCUGGGCAGAGCUCCAUUAGCAUUGAUGUCAGUUGGUCCCAGUAAUAGUCUGAUUUGUAAAUAUCAGUAAUAGUCUCAUGUAUAUGAGUUGUAAUCUGAGCAAUAGUCUCAUGUAAUCAAAAAAAAAAAAUGUUAUCAUAAAUGAUUCUCGAGUAAUUUCAUUUAUUUACUUUUUCUUCUUUCACAGUUGGCCUGUACGGUAUCAUUUACUUUUAUCUUUUUUCAAAUUUCUUUUAAUCUAGAGAAUGUUUGUUUUAGUCCUGAUCUUGGGUUACUGAAAUGUUUCAUUCCCUUUUCCUAAGUAUUUUUGUUGCUUGUUUAGCGGGCAAUACUGCAACAGUGAUUUCAAUUCACAAAAUUCUGUAAAUACUUAUUAUUCUUAGUGUGGUUUUAAGGUAGAGUGAACUUAAUAUUAUCAUAAUGGCUUACAUCCCUCCACAUAUGAGGCAUACUACGGACCCCCAGAGGCCAUCUCCAGUUCCAGAGAUGAUUGUGCCUAAAUUCAACAGAAAAUUAAACUUGGGAUCAUCCAAGCAUAAUGCAGACAUGAGUGGAAAGAUCGUGUAUGCAGACCCUGCCAUACACAGGUUCUUCAUAUGUGGCUUGGAUAAUGAUAGCAGCACUCCUUCUGUCCGCUUUGUGGAGUUUUCAGACGACCCUGUUGAGCAUAAAAGAUCGACGACCAUUAAUCUGGCUCGAGGUUACUGAUCUGCAUUUGUAAUUUUAUCUUAAAUAUGUUCUACUUUCUUUCUUUAUUUAUAUCCGGUGCUAACUUUAGUUAUAAUGACAUUUGGAUUUUGGGUUGGUAGAUAACGAUAAAUUAUGUGGGAAUACGUCAAGAAGCCCGUGGGAAUCGAUGGCAGAAAAUGUAUGGCCAGAUGUAUUGAGUGCUUGUAACAUUGUCAAGAACGAAAUGGAGGAAAAGCCAACAAUGGUUGCUAGAUUUGGCCAUCAUCUUUUCCGUGAGUAUGUGAUCUGGUUCCAUUGCUGUAACAGCUUGAACUUUUUAUUAGGUCAUUCCUUUUCUUUGGACUUUGAAAUUAAAGCAGCAAAAAUGCAUGUUCAUACUAAAUUCUGACAGAAAUCUUAUGGUCAUAUAAGUGCUGGCAGCUAAAAUUAUGAGCUUUACCAUUAACCCUACCACCAGCUGUGGAUGACUGUAUAUCGGACCUCCAAGCCGGGGACAAAAGUUAAAAUUGCUUUUAAAAGCCAAAGAGGAAAAGAUUUGUAGAAAGAAGGAAAAAGAAAAUGGCAAUUUAUAGUGCAUGCACUUCUUUCAGACUUGUAUCUCAUAGAAGCUUUCAUGGCAUCUAGAAUUUGGCUUUGGCUUUGCGUAGGACAUUUCAAUUGUUGCUGGUGGAAACAAAUAUAUCCAUUGUCUUAGUAUUGCUUGAUUUCCGGUGCAAGAAACAAAUAAAUUUGUUGCCGUGGCCAAGUUUUGUUGUUUGAUAUUUCAUUGGGACAACAAAGUAUACCACUGCUUCGCCUAUUUCUUACAUCUUUGCAUCAUAUAUUUCCAUUCUUCUAUCACAUCUUUGAAGCUUCUACUAGUUCUCAUAUUAGAAGCGCCUCAAAGAAAUAAUUAUUAUAUUAUUCGUCUUAAUGAAGGAGUGACAUACUGAGCUUAGAAAAUGCAAAAGAAGGUCAGGUUGCUGAAUCUGCUUUGAGCCCACUGAGGAGAUGCUUUUACACUGGUGUCCCUCCUACAUACAUGGGAAAAAUUGUAAAUGAAGUUGUGCCAAAAAUUGGGGUUGGUUUUGUAGAGAACAAGGAUAUAUACCAUGUCAAGGUAGUUCUCCUGCAGUCCUGCUAAAUACUUUAGUAGUCAUCACCAAGUUUCUUUUAUCUCUCACUUAAUUAGCCAUUGAUUCCCCCCCUUCUUUUUCUUGUGUAGUUGUCUGAUGGCACACGACAAAUUACGUGCAAAUGUACUGUUAAAGAAGAUCAAAAGCUUCAUCUCUAUAAGGCAAGUCUUUUGCUACUGGCUGAGUAUUAUUUAUGGACAACGGGUCCAAGUUUAUAAGUUGCCUCUUGUGUUAAGGAGACUUUUGCUAGUGGAAACAUUGAAACAAGACUUAUGAUGUUUUGAAUUGAAUGAUAUAAUCUUUUCACUGUGAAUUAUGAAGGAGAUGUCGAAUAUAAGCGAUAGAUAUCAAGAAAGAGACGAAACCUUUGUGUCUCAAAAGAACCUUUUAGAAGUCUCUCCAGGAAUAAUCUCAGUUAAGAGGAAAAGAAUUAAAAUGAAAAGAAGGAAGAAAAUUCUCAAGAAGUAAGACUAAUUCUACAUCUAAUUGAGGAACAGGCUUGUUAAUUUAACAAGGAAAGCUCCAGUAGCUAUUUAUUAUAAACCAAUUAAAAAUUGAAUUAAAUUAAUAGUUAACUUGUAAUUGAAUGUCUAAUCCAACAAACUAUGCAUAAGAUUACAGAUGUAACUAUGUAAUACAAAAAACCUCUGCUUAUCGUAGACCAAAGUGAAUAUGCCAAUAUUUAGGAAUUUCUUUCAGCAUCAUGGGAUUUAGAUCCCUAUAAUUUUUUUUAUUUUAGUGUAGUGACAUCCGGAAGACCAGAAUUAUCACGUACCUCGUAGUAGUCAUUUUAUGUCUUUUAAAGCGCCACAUUAUUUCCCAUACAGUCAUAAUAUAUCUAUUUGUUGUUUAUUUAUUGUUGUCGUGUGUGGAGUCUCAUCUUGAAUAUGAACAUUUUUCCGGAAGGUCGAGCUGAACUCUGUUCGUCACAUGGUAGCAGACAUGUUAUGCGUUCAUAAAAAUCUAGACCUGAGGUUGGCACUAUGUUCAAAGAGUACCUUAUCUGCUCUCUCGGUAAGUCAAUCUGCUACUCUGUGCAUGUUUAGCUGGACUUUUAAGUUACGCCUUCUUUUUUCCCCUUUUUAUUUUUUUUUGGUCAUUUGCUUGUUGGAAUCAUCAUCAUUACAGAAUGAGGAAGAAAAAUUCAAGACCAGGGGAAAUAAGGAAAUAUUAAACUUAUAGCUUUUGUUUUAUCAUAGAAAGUUUACUUUCAAGGGGUUGAGAAAAAAAAAAAAUUAUAUAUAUAUAUAUAUAUAUAUAUAUAUAUACACAUACAUAUAUAUAUAUAGGGAUGGCAAAAUCCGGGUCUGGGUCCGGGUUUAGCCUUCCCGGUUCCGGACCCGGACGCCAUUUUCUUUCUCUCGGUCCCGGAUUAAAACCCGGUUUUUUCACUUCGGGUCCGGUACGGGUUCAACCCGAAAAAAUCCGGGUUUUGAACCCGGAUCAAUGAAUUAAUUUCUAUAAUUCCAAAAAUAAAAUCUUCAUAUGAAGAUGGCGAUUUUUCACUGGAACCAGAGAAAAUAUUUAUGGCACCUGGAGGGAGUUCCCUCUGUUUUGCAGAUCAUUUAUACAGAACAAAAUGAUUAAAUACCCAAAAAGGAGGAUCACAUGUCUGCAGAUUUGGCCCGCGGAAAAGAUUCAACACAAUCUCCAAAACCAUUUUAGAAUCCGCGAUGGUGAAGAUGCGUUGUCACAACUCAAACAACGACAGCCGAUGAUGAUGAAUACAGGAGCUACAAGGUUGCGACGGUGGUGAACCCAAGAGAACGAGUUGCGACGGUGGCGAACCAAGCUUGCGACGGUGGUGAACCCAAGAGAACGAGUUGCGACAGUGGCGAACCAAGCUUGCGACGGUGGUGAACCCAAGAGAACGAGUGGCGACGGCGGCAAACCAAGCUUGCGACGGUAGCAGCUUGGAUCGUAUGGUUGUUUGGUUGCAGCAAGCGGCAGCUUCAAUGUGUGAAUGUGAGUAUGUAAAUUAGGGUUUUUGUUAUGUUUGUAUUUAUAUUAAAUAAUAAAUAUAAUUAAAAAAUAAUAUUAAAAUAAGAUAUCCGGGUCCGGGUUCCGGAUAUACGGGUUACUCUAAACUCGGAAUCGGACCCGGAUCUAUCCGGGUCGUUAAAAUUCAUUCCGGAUCCGGAUUUUUUUACACUCCGGUACGGGUUCAACCCGGUCCGGAUUAUCCGGAUUCGUCCGGGUCCGAUCCGGGUCCGGGUUAUUCUGCCAUCCCUAUAUAUAUACAUACACACACGACAACAAUACAUAUAUAUACAAAAUUGUGAUAUCGUGCCACAGUUGCACUCAACCGUUGGAUUUCUAUGGACCCCACCUAUCUAAAUGGAUCCAACGGCUGGAUGCAACUGUGGCACGGUACCAUAGUUGCACCGUAGCCAGACCCUGCAAAAGUAUAUUGAAGUUUUUUUCUGGCCUUUUAUGUAAUCACACCCGCCAGUAAUGAGAUAAUUUACAAAAAGGUCCUUGAUGUUUUGGUUAAAUUUAAUUAAAUUAGUAAAUUCAUCCAAAACGGCAUCGUUUUGAAUGUGUUUUUAUUAAGAUUUAUCCAGCAUUUCGUACAUAUAUCAGUGCUUUUUUUUUUUUGUUUAAUUUUUAUAAAGUGUUGGUUAGAAGGCAAACAUCUUACAUUAAAAUGGAGUCUUCUUGCGGCGGCCAAAGGAGAUAUAUAUAUAUAUAUAGGCACACACACAUACACUAGAGUUUUGUUUAAGUUAUAUUUCACAUGGAUUAAGUUGUAGAUGACAGAUCUCUAAAAGCAUCUUGUAAAAUUGUACAUUAAAAAAUAAUAGUUCUAGUAGUGUUAAAGGCAGCUGCUGAAAACAGUUUCUACUUAUGCUGCGUUUACUAAACUGGAAUCGGAAUGAGUUGGAAUCAGAAUGGACGGGAAUCGAAAUGAGCUGGAAUGAGAAUCAAAAUAAGUUGUUUACUUGAACUGUAGGAAUCGAAAUCGGAAUGAGCUGGGUUGCCAUUAAUGUGUUUACUUUGUCUUGAAUCGGAAUCAGAAUGAGUUAGAUUGUAACAAAUUACUAAAAAAUACUUAAUGAAUUAUUGUCAUAAUUAUUAUUAUUAACUAAUUUUAAAUUUUUUAUCAAAUUAUUAUAAUUAUAUUAACAAUUAUUAUAAAAAUAUAUUAACAAAUAAUAUUAAUAUUCAAAAAUUAUAAUUAUUAAUAAUUAUUGUUAAAAAUAUAUUAAUAUAUUAAUUAGUACUAAUAAUUAUAUUAUUUAAUUAAUUAUAAUAACUAUAUUAAUAAUUAUUAUAAUAACAUGUUAAUUAAUUAUUUACAAUAAUAAUAUAUUAAUUAUUGUGAUUAUUUACUCAAGAACAAUAAUUAUUAAUAUAUUAUUGUUAAUAAUAUAUUAUUAUAUUAUUUAAUAGUGAUAAUUAUAUUAAUUAAUAAUAAUAUAUGAAUUAAUUCUAAUAAUUAUAAUAGUAAUUAUUAUAAUAAUAUAUUAAUUAAUUACAAUAAUAAUAUAUUAACUAUUGUGAUUAUUUAUUCAGAAAUUAUAAUUAUUAAUAAUUAUUGUUAAUAAUAUAUUAAUAUAUUAAUUAGUAGUAAUAAAUAUAUAAUUUAAUUAAUAAUAAUAUAUGAAUUAAUUAUAUUAAUAAUUAUUAUAACAGUAUAUUAAUUAAUUAUAAUAAAAAUAACAAUAAAUUAAUUAUUGUGAUUAUUUAUUCAAAAAUUAUAAUUAUUAAUAAUUAUUGUUAAUACUAUGUUAAUAUAUUAAUUAACAGUAAUAAUUAUAUUAAUUAAUAAUAAUAAUAUAUGAAUUAAUUAUAGUAAUAAUAUUGAUAAUUACUAUAAUAGCAUAUUAAUUAAUCAACUAAAAUAAUAAUAUAUUAAUUAUUGUGAUUAUUUAUUCAAGAACUAUAAUUAUAGUUAAUAAUAUAUUAAUUAAUCAUAAUAUUUAUUUAAUUAAUUAUAAUAAUAUAUUAAUUAAUUAUAACUGAGGACAAAGUGGGUAUUUUUAGUUUUGGGGGAUGGCAAAAUGGGAAUUCUUGGGAUGGGAGAUUGAUUCCCACCUCCCCCAUGGGAAUCAAUCUCCCAUUCCCCAUUCCCAAAUAGUUGUGGGCCCCACCAUUUUGAUUUCCAUUCCUGCUUCAUUUUUGCGAAGUAAACGCGUCAAUCAUUCCGAUUCCAGAUUUCGAUUCCCCAAUUCGGGAAGUAAACGCACCAUUAGUUUCUAGUAUAUCCAUAUAUAUUUACCUAAAAAAGAAGGAGGUAAACGUCUUUUGUUUUUUUUUUUUUUUUAAAAGAGAGAGAGCGAGAGAGAGAACAUUUUCUACUGUGUUCACUGACACACCCCGCCCCGACUUAUAUGUUGGAUCCGAGGCGAAUCAUGCGGUCUAGUAACUAAAACUCGUGGCACUAACUUAAUUCAUGUAUAUAUAUUAAUAGUUUUCUGGUUAGGGAAUUGUAAGCUUUUAAAGCCGUGCAGUUUUAAAGUUUUCCCAGACUUUCCCGCACUUUAAAAUUCCAGACUGGAACAUUUAUAUAUAUAUAUAUAUGACCUUUACUAUAAACACAUAACAACCUUUGUGUCUCCUCCGAAAAUAUAUAUGUAUUCAAAACUUGCACAGUUCAUGUCUCAUUAUACAUACUUACAUUACAAGUAUAUAUACAAAAAAAACAUAAACAACAUAAAUGUGCUCAAAAUGCAAGACAUGCAACAAUGCGUCUCGUGGGCCCACCCCAAUUGACUGGAACUGAUCUGCACGAAAUCCUGCGGAAUCCUGGGAAAAAAAAUAGAUAAAUAAGAAAAUAAUGAGCUUGCGGCUCAGUGAGUGGAUAUAAUUUAUAUAUAGAAAAAUAUAGUAGCGUACUAGGAUAUAUACAUAAUUAUGUGACAUAAUUCCGCACUGAAUGUAAUGCAUCAACAAACAUGAAAAUCAUACACACAUGACAAAAUUGUACCAAAUAGUACCCAGGGGAAAUAACUCUCAAUACUUGCUGGGAUCAUCGUCGCACGAGAAGAGCGGGAAAACUCUCAAUACCCAGCGGAAUUUAACUAAAUCGCACGAGUAGAGUAGCCUAACUCUCAAUAUGCAUGCGUAGAGCCUAUGGAGAAGGGUACAUAUAUGGUGACUGACAAUCACAUCUCAUGACUCAAUCAAACAUAUAAUAUGCAAAUAUAUAAUCAUGAUAUUAAAUCAUAUUAUCAAAUAUAAAUGCUUCACGAAAUUCAUAUUAGUAAUAAUAGUAUCCACUCACAAAUCAUGUUUCACUUCGGGGUGUUUGUUGGGGCUCCUAUGGGUUCUUGAAUUCUUGAGUUCCUCCUAAAAUAUAAGAUUAAAAAAUUAACUAUUAAAACUGAUAUAAAAAUUGAUACGUAUCACAAAAACUGUAAUAUAACUGUUCAAACUUCAUAUAUCUAUUACCCAUUAAUUCAUUGGAUAUUAAUGUAAGUGUUUAAUUUCAUUUCCUAUAACAUUCCCUCUCAAUUUAUCUUUUAAAUUUCUUUUCCCACUCUUGGCUUCUUCCUUUCUUUUAUUUUUUUUCUUUCCUCUUCUCUUUUGCUCUCAGUUUUUCUUCUUUUUCUUCUCUGUCUCACUUCAAAAAAUGAUGCAAAAUGAGAGCUGGUUUCAAUUCCUUCAAAUUCAUAUAUGUCCACCGACUCAAGCACACAAGUAGAGCAUACGGGUGAAGCAUGCACGUGCCUUGCAUGAAGCUGGUAGCUUGCUGCUGCUUUGAUAAUUAGCCACGUUUGGCUUAUAAAGAAGCGGUGAAGCAUGCACGGUGCAUUACAUUCAUGCUAUCUACGGAAUGAUAAAAACUAAACUUCAAGUACAGCGGAGUAAAACCUGUGCACACAGCUUAACAUUUUAUGUGGCAACUCUGGAAGAAAUCUCACAAUGAAAAUAAAAAUUACAGGCGAAUGUUGCAAGUAUAUUUCAUUCAUAUGUCAAUUUUUGAAAACCUUGCUCUGUAAGUAAACCAACCAAUCUAUUUGUGACAAAUGGGAACAAGACAGUAACCUCCUUAUUUGAUGAUAUGCAGCAUUUGCAGAAGCUGAAACAGUAAACAUGGGAAUGAAAGGAUUAGAAUCAUUUGAUAUAUUUUUUUUUAACUAGAAUUACUUCCACCGUAACUGAUAUAAUUAAAUAAGAGAGAAUUUACAAACUAAUUUUUUAAAUUCUCUCAAAUAAGUAAGCAUAUUAAUUAAAAAAAUUAAAUUAAAAGUAUUUCAUUUAAUUAUUUUUUUAUUGAAAACUAAUAAUUAAUACAUAUGCAUUCUCUACAGGUUUAAUCAGGUUUUGUUGUUGUACACAUUAGUAUAAUAAGUUUAAAUGAAGUUUAAACUUUGAUAAUUUAAAUUAAAAUUCUCACAAUUAUUUGAAGAUUGUGGUUCGGUGAAAUGAAGUUUAUCCAGUAUAACAUACCAAAAAGGGGGCGGCUAAGGAGGCAGCCAGGAGGCAACCGAGAGUUAGCAAAAGAGGCAAGAAAAAGGCAACAAGCCAACAAUGAAGUCAAAAGCUCAAGAAGGGAAGCGGUGAAGCAAAUCCGACAAACGCAAGCAAGAGUUAAGCUGGCUGUUUCGCAUGACACAUGUGAAGCUUCAUCACAAGCUGGCUGUUUCGCAUGACACAUGUGAAGCUUCAUCACAAGCUGGCUGUUUCGCAUGACACGUCUAUGCUAUUUUUCUUCUGGAUUUAAUCUAUCAUUGUCGACGACGACGAUUUGCUAACCUCACAAGUGAUAAGGACUCUACAAGAGUACAAAACAGAGACUCGUAAUAUUACUGAAUAUAGCAUUUCUGUUUCCUUAUUAAUGGAGAAAGGCAGUUAUGUUUUUGCAGCGGUCAAGGGCAUUGAAGAUAUUAUGGCUUUACUUAUCAUCGUUAGCUUCCUUCUGUGUCUCCCAUUCUUCCUCUUCUUCUUUGUUUUGCAAAGGCACAAAACCUCGAAAAAUAAUACUAAAUUACCACCAGGCCCCCGGGGCCUUCCCUUCAUCGGUAACUUACAUCAGUUUGAUGUCUCAAAGCCUCAUGUGUCAUUUUGGGAACUAUCGAAAAAAUAUGGCCCCCUCAUGUCCUUGCGUCUUGGUUUUGUGCCGUCCUUAGUAGUUUCCUCAGCAAAAAUGGCUAAAGAGAUAUUGAAAACCCAUGACCUUCAAUUUUGUAGCAGGCCAGCCUUGGUAGGGCAACAAAAGUUAUCUUACAAUGGUCUUGAUUUGGCUUUUUCACCCUAUGAUGAAUAUUGGAGAGAGAUUAGAAAAAUUUGUGUCAUUCAUCUCUUAAACUCUAAUAAGGUACAAAAUUUUCGACCCAUUAGAGAAGAUGAAGUUUCAAGAAUGAUUGAAAAGAUUUCAAAAUCAGUUGCUGCUUCUAAGCUCGUAAACUUAAGUGAGGUAAUGAUGUCUCUUACUAGCACUAUUAUUUGUAGAAUUGGUUUUGGCAAGAGGUACGAUGAAGAUGAAGCAACAAGUGCAAGAAGUAGAUUCCAAGCCUUGCUUAAUGAAACUCAAGCCUUGUUUGUAAGCUUUUUUGUUACAGAUUAUUUUCCUUUCAUGGGCUGGAUUGAUAAGUUCACAGGAAAGAUGCAACGUCUGCAAAAUAACUUCCAAGAACUUGAUAGAUUCUACCAGGAACUCAUCGACGAGCAUUUGGAUCCAAACAGAACAAAAUCAAAAUUGCCGCAACAGGAGGAUAUAAUUGAUGUUUUACUUCAAAUAAGAAAAGAUCGUGGAUUUAAAGUUGACCUGACUUUGGAUAACAUCAAAGCAGUGCUCAUGGUGGAUAAUUUUAUAAAUAGUUAUAUGUAGACUCGUGCUUAGGCGCAGACUCAAAAUUUUGUGCAGAUGCCCAAUUUUACAGUGUUGUAAAACGUUUUAUAAUGCUGUAAAGUGCUCUUUGACGUCUCCGCCUGAGCAUGAUUAAUUUAAUAUAAUUUUAUUCGCUUUAACUAAUUUAAUAUGUAUAUUGUUUGCUUUGCAGAACGUAUUCGUUGCUGGAACAGACACAAGUGCAGCAACUGUGGUUUGGGCCAUGACCUAUCUAACGAAGAAUCCUAGAGCAAUGAAAAAAGUUCAACUGGAAAUUAGAUCGUUGAUUGGGGGCAACAAAGGCUUUGUAAAUGAAGAUGAUGUUCAAGAACUACAUUAUCUUAAAGCCGUAGUGAAGGAGACAAUGAGAUUGCAACCUACAGUGCCGUUACUACUUCCAAGAGAAGCAAUUCAAAAGUGCAUAGUAGAAGGGUAUGAAAUACCAGCUAAAACACGUGUUUUUGUAAAUGCAUGGGCGAUAGGGAGAGAUCCUGAAGCUUGGCAGAAUCCUGAGGAAUUUUAUCCGGAGAGAUUUGUUGAUAGUUGUAUUGACUUUAAAGGGCAAAACUUUGAGUUAAUACCGUUUGGUGCUGGCAGAAGAAUUUGUCCUGGGUUGAAUAUGGGAAUUGUAACUGUGGAGCUUGCACUUGCUAAUCUUCUUUACAAAUUUGAUUGGGAAAUGCCGCCUGGAUUGAAGAGCCAUGACUUUGAUGUUCUGCCCGGACUUGCCAUGCAUAAGAAGAACGUUCUUUCUCUUCGGGCUAAGUAUCAUGUUGAGUAGGUAAAUUAAGGCACCUCCAUCAAUAAGAAGGUAAAUUAAGGCACCUCCAUUAAUAAGGGUUUGAUCUAGCUAAAGGAAAUAUAUGUUAUGCGUCCUCAAUUGUGCUUCUCAAUGUUUUCUUUCUUUCUUCUUAUGUAUAAUGGAUGUUUACGCGAAUGGUUUUUAGUAAGUAAUUUUCUUUUAGUUCAAAAUUUUGGGAGGUAAGGGCUAGAAGAUAAUAGGGACUCUGCCCACUCUCUUAUACCUUUAAAAAAAUGAUAUGAAUGUGAGUAUCAAUUUAUCACAUUUAUUUUGUCUUACAUUUUUCUCUCUCCAAUUUCAAAUUAUAAAUGUAUAUAUAAAUACACGAAACGACCAAUCAAUAUUAUUUACUUGAUAUAACUAAUAAGUAAAUUCAUGGCUUUUUCUAUCACCCCUUUUUUUGUUAGGAGUAUCAGUAAAAUCAGCUCUGUAAUGCUCUACAUCUUUACCGUGAAAGCUGCAUUUUUAUGGAAUCAGCUUACAGUUAUGUACUAACCAAAAAAAAAGAAAAAGAAUAUUACAUCAAUUCUUCAUUGAGAUUUGAGACAUUUUCUUCCUCCAGAAAGUAUACAAGUUAAAAAAACUACACAUCAUUGUGAUUUCAUAACAGCAUCAUCCAUCACUUUCCUAUGAGCUUUUUAUGAGGCCGGAGGCUAAAGCACAAUCAGUUGAGCUGUUAUUGCAUUUCCCACAGCAAGACUGUGGCAAAUCAGUUGACUUUUGACGUUAAAUGGUGGUUUCGGCUUGCAGUCACUUGUGUUUGUUCAAUUUCAAUAAAGGAAAUUUCAUUUUUGUUAAAAUCCAUGAAUAUUAAUUACUACCUUGUUCGCUGUUCAGUAAAACUAAAACAACACCAAAACUUAAAUAUUUUCGCUAUAUCACAAACUUAAAUAUUUUUUUUUUCCCCCUAUACAUCCCUAGUAAGGUUGACAGAAAAAAACCAAAUUUCAAUCGGUAUUGGGAUCCCCUCCCGAAUGAUAGGGGAUUUGGCACUAAUUUUUAAAAUCGAUUCGAUACUAAUUUUAACAAACACUUGCUUUAAACCAACUUAUUCUUCUACCACAUAAUUUACUUAACUUUCAUUACAUGAAAAAUAGUCAUUUUUUUUACCUAACUUGUUCGACAAUAGUUAAAUAUGUUGGUGAGAGGGCAGUUUUCAAUUGUAAAAAUCAAGACAUCGAGAAAAACUAAAAUGGCUAUUUGGUUUUUCUAAUGAAAAACUAAAACAACUAUAUGGUUUAGCGUGAAAUUUUAGCUUCAUUGGUAUUUAUGACGAUUGUAACUAACCAUUAAAAAUGCAUAAUUAUUUUCUACCUGUAGUGAUUUAGGUGCUGUAGAAUUCGAUUAGCAACCUAAGCACUGCCCAAGAUCACAAACCAGAUCCACUAGAUGCUAAGAACCCAAACAAUCAAGCUUUAAGUUUCAACAAAACCUUUAACGAAAAUGGCUUAAUCAGAACACACUCAGAACAAGAAUUAGAAACCAAUCACACCCAAAAGAAAGAGAAAUAUUUACGUGGUUCGAUUGUGCAAAGAAGCACAAUCUACAUCCACGGGAGAAGCCCACAGAGCAAGCUUUAUUGAUGAUUCAAGUAAUCUUUACAGAGCAAUACAAGAGCUAACUACUAGGAUCAAGACGAAGCUUUCUCUCUAUCUUAACUCUCUCUAUCACGCUCUCAGAUCAUCCAUGAAACUGCUUCUUUAACCAGCUUAUAUAGCAGCUGAUAAAGAACCCAGAAGUUGCAGAUUUCCGCCACCUGGACUAACAGCUUCUAACUGAUUUGAUUCUCCACCCCCCGUGCACUUCACAUGUUUCACUUAAGCCUUUUGCCGAAACGUCUCCAGCUCCUGCCGUUUUGAACUUAAGUGAAUCACAUGCCAUGCUCGUGACUCCUGAGUAUAUUAAACAUAUUCCAAACGUUGUCGUUUAACAUGCUCAAGUUUUGGAUUCAACAUUUUAGUCCACACUACCGUUUCAAAAACAUAGUCGAAAAUAAAAUAAUAUUUUCAAUUAUUGUAAUUUUUAAUCAAAAAUAGGAAAAUAUUUUUAAACGUAACUAGGAGUUGGUUGAAAAAACCAUUAAAAAGAUAUAAAAUUUUAACAGACAACAUGGGCACCAAUAAUGUUUUUCACUACUAUAACUUGCAAGGUUGGUCAAAGCAAAAGCUGUAAGGGUAAGUAAAUAUAAUAUAAAAUUAUAUAUCAUCUAAAAGAAAAGUAAUUGUACGUUUUUUUUUCUUAGUUUACUAUUUUUUUUAUCAAACAUGAACUAGAUAAUUAAAUAAUUAAUUAAUUAAUGUAUUUUUUUUAUAGAAUUAAUUAAUGUACUUAAUUGAAAAUAAAAUUAACUUCUACGAUGCAAACAGAAUUUGAGCCCUCAACUGAAAAGAUAAAAUAUGAAAGUGCCUACCACUGGAGCAAGAAAUAAUUUUCAGUAAAUUAUAAAUUAAAUAAUUAUGAAAGGAUUGAUUUUUUCUAAAGGUUUUACUAGGUGCAACAAUGGAAUUGAAUUACCUUAUUUAACUUAGAAGAUAUUGAUUGAUUACAGCAUAGAUAUAAUGUAUGAUAUCUUAAAUUAAACAUCAAUUAACUUCGAAAUUAUAUUGUAGUUCAAAUAAACUCGAUAAUAUUUAUGAUCACAUUCUAUCUUAUACACAAACUUGAAACUUAUGUUAUUGAUUAAGUCUCAACUAUUUUAAUCAUUAUCAUUGAAUCAAUUUAGAAAUUGAUUAUCGAACUAGCUGGUAUUUUAUAGUUAAGUAUUUAAAGAAAUAAUGUCUAUGAUUGAUCAUAAUUAUUGUUGAAUCAAUUUGGAGACUAGCUAAUUUUCAAAUUAAUGUAAUUAUCUAGUGGUCAAUUUCAAUAAAUAGAGUCUAAUAGUUUUCAUAGUUGUAUUAUACUCAUAAUUGUGGAACAUGGAACGUAUACUUCAUACUUAAAACUUAUUGCAUAUAUUAAAAAAAAUAGAUGAUUAGUAAUUAACAUUUAAUUAUAGUUGAAAUAUUAAUUAUUAAAUUAGUCUAAUUGUCUAAGAACAGUCAUACAAUUAAUUUCAAUAGAUAACAAGAACUAUUGCAAUAAUUUUUUUAUAUUUUAAAACAUAUCUCAACUAUGAAUUAUUAAAACUAAUAUAGCUUCAUAGUUUUUAGGCCAAUAUCUAUUUUCAUCUUUUGUUUAUCUUAUUAAUUUAAAUUUAAAAUCUAUGUUAAAUAAUAAAGAUGUUCUAUCAAUCAAUUUAGGCUAUAGAUUAAUUAAACAAUCUAGUAAUCACAUAAUAGGUAUUACAUAUAAUUGUUCAAUUAUAAUAAACUUUAAAUUUGCAUUAAUGAGAUAAGAAGUUUUGUUUUGCAAUUAAUCGAAUCGUAUGCUAAUAAUUUUCAAUAUUUAUUAUUAUUUCAAUAUUUAUUAGUAUGAAAUAACUAACUUAGGAUAAAUAAAUUGAUUGAUUGAUUUUUUCUUAAAUUUUAAUAUCUUGUAUUAUCUCUAUUAACUAUUUGGUCCACUGCCACCUAACUAAAGUUUUUAGUGCAAGUGUAUGUGUACCUAUUCUCCACUCUCUCUAACAAAUAUCUCAAUUAGCCACCGAAUCAAAUCUAAUAAUAGAAUAAAUAAAUAAAAGCCACCGAUAUUAAGCGCAACGGAUGAAUUCAUCUCCUCUUCUUUUGUAUAUUCUCUCCAAAGCUUUCAACUCUAUUUUGGGGUCAUUUUCUUAAUUUUUUUUAAUUAAACUAUAUAGAAACUGGGGAGAUGUUUUCAGAUAUUUAUUAAUUUUUAUCCUUCACCUUUAAUUUCUUAAGUUUGACAUCAGUUAUUGUUGGCCUCACUCUCACAUGGUUGGUUUGAAGCUUUUCUAUCAUGUAGUUCGGUGAAAAUUAUUUGAUUAAUCGUGACUUGCAGGUAAGAAUUAUAUUAUUAUUUUGUGUUAUGUUUUUAAUUUAUUAGAUUUUAAUUCACAAUUUAUUUGAUAACAAGUGAAAGAGAUGUUAAUUAGGAUAGAUUCAUUUUCUUGUUUAGUAUAUAGGAUUUUCUACUUUAAUUUAAUUGUAUCUUAAUAUUUUUUUUAUUGUUAUCAAGGGAAUUAAGAGCCUAGGAAGAAAAAAUUAUGAUAUUCAACUUUCAUAAGGAUUCAGUUGCUCAAUCCACAUUGAUUCUAUCUUUUAUCAACAGCAAAAUAUCAUUGCAAGAGUGCCAUGUAGCCUUUGGUGUAUUUUAUUUUAUUUAAAUAUUUGUCAUGGAUUCAAUGAUUAAUACGUAUUUAUUUUAUCUUUUAGUAGCAUUAAGUUAUUGUAAUAGCAUCAUGUAGCUUUAAGUCAUUGUAAUGGUGUCUUGUAGCACUUGUACUUUGUUUGAGUUGCACAUGUAUUUGUUGAAAUUAUUUAUAAAAGGAUAUUUGUCGAUUGAUUCAUUGAUUUUUUUCUCCUGAGGCAAUUAAUAAAACCAUUUUCAGCCAUAUAUAUUUGUCUACUAAUUCAUCAUUUUUUUUCCUAGAGGCGAUUAAUAAAAUGAUUAUUUUAACGAUGAAGUAGAAUCAAAUGAAUUUCAAUAAUCAUCUUCUUGGAAAUACUAAGAUUCAAUUAGAACUAAUAUUUAUUCGACUAUAAUUUAUUUUUUCCAACUGUUUUUACCCCUAAAAAAUAGUGUAUUUUUAAUGGUAAUUAGUUAGUUGAAAUUGAUAUUGCAAAUACAACUGCUAUCGAAAAUACUCUUUUUUACUACUUAAGGUGGUCAUAAAUAUCAGUCAUUAGUCACAUGUCCAUAUUAAUUUUCAAUCUAUAUUUAUGUAUUUAUGAUUGUCAAUUUCGCACCAAAUAAGCAUAUUUACGGCGGCCAAUCGGUAAAAGUGUGUUUCUAACCUGGGUAUUAGCGAUUACCAGCGACUGAUUAAGGCCAUUGGAAAAACAUAUUUUCAACAGUAUAGCACUUGUUUCAACUGCAUUCAGCAGUUAUAAAAAGUUAUUUUUCUUGUAGUAUAUUUAUACCGCACAUUUUGACUACCACUAAUUUAAGUUGCCUGAUGAACAUAUUUACCACACAUAAAAACUAAAAUAUCUGAGAUAUUUCUUUAGAUAUUUCUAUAGAUAUUUUAACAUUUUAGAUUACAAUAUUUUUCAACACUUGAUUUAAUCACCAAUCGUUGACUAUGAUGACGACAAAAAAUCUAUUUCAUUGUGCUAACCUCACAAGUGAAAAGGACUCCACAAGAGUACAAAACAGAGCCUUGAUCUAAUAAUAUUACCGAAUAUAGCAUUUUGUUUCCUUAUAAAUGGAGAGAGGUUCUGUCUUUGCACUGCAUAACAGAUAUUAAUGGCUUUACUUAUCGUCAUCAACUUCCUUAUGUGUCUCUCAAUCUUCGUCAUCUUCUUUGUUUUGACAUCAAUUUUGUUGGCCUCACCCUUGGCUGAAAGCUUUUUCUGUCAUGUAGAACGGUGAAAAUUAUUUGAUUAAUUGUGGCUCGUAGGUAAGAAUAAUUAUUGUUUUUUGUGUUCAUGUUUUUAAUUUAUUGGAUUUUAAUUCACAAUUUAUUUUAUAACAACUGAAAGAGAUUUUAUUUAGGAUAGAUUCAUUUUCUUGUUUAGUAUAUAGGAAUUUCUACUUUAAUUUAAUUGUAUCGUAAUUUUUUUUUUAUAUAUAUUGUUAUGCGGUGAAUCAAGAGACCUAGGAAGAAAAAAUUAUGGUAUUCAACUUUCAUAAGGAUUCAAUUGCUCAGUCCAUAUUAAUUCUAUCUUUUAUCAACACCAAAAUAUCAUUGCAAGAGUGCCGUGUAGCUUUUGGUGUAUUAUUUUUUAUUUAAGUAUUUGUCAAAGAUUCAAUGACUAAUACAUAUUUAUUUUAUCUUUUAGCAAUAUUAAGUCAUUGUAGUAGUAUUGUGCAAUAGGGAUGACAAAACCCCGGGCCGGGUCCGGGUAUUGCAAUGACCGGACCCUACCCGGAUGCAACCGGUCCGGGUCCAGGUCUGGGCCGGGUUUUAAUCCGAGUACCCGAAUUUUAUAUUUUUUAAUAUUAUAUGUGUAUAUAUUUUUUAUUUUUUGGUAAUUUUAUAAGUUUUAAAUUUAUUUCAAUAAAAUUUGACAUGAAAAUAUAAACUUUAAGUGUUUAAAACUUUAUAUAUGUAUAAUAAAUUAGUCAAAUAAAUAUAAAUAUUUAAAAUAAUAUAUAUUUUAUAAUAUUUUUGUAAUAAAAUCCGGGUUCUGGGUUUAUCAAGUGAUGUCCAAGACCGACCCGGCUUCAUACCCGGCCCAUAACGCCCGGGUACGGUUCGGGUCCAGACCGGGCGGGUAUUUUUGCCACCUCUAUCUUACAUCUUUAAGUCAUUGUAGUAGUGUGGUGUAGGAUUUGUAUUUUGUUUAAGUUGCACAUGUAUUUGUUGAAAUUAUUUAUAAAAGAAUAUUAUUCCACUAAUCCAUUGAUUUUUCUUUUUUCUAUGGGGCAAUUAAUAAAAUCAAUUUGGGCCAUAUAUUUGUCAAUUAAUUCAUUGAUCAUUUUCCUAGGGGUCCAGCUACCUUGCGUCAUGGGUUUGGUACCGCAGUUGUUUGUCUCUUAGCGAAUGACCCUUUAGAUUGUACUGAAUGCAUUCUGCACUAUGGUCCAAUAAUUCUCUUUCAAAUACACUUAGGUCCCCAAAUCAAUAGCUCAAUUCUUCACAUUCAAUUUAAAGCUUUUUUUAACUUCAUUAUCAUUUAUUUAUCAAACAUCACAUACCUGAUGCAGAUCCACCAGGUGUUGAGUUUCUACCAGCAUUCACUCUUGAGCUUGAUGUUGUUUCCAAGUUCUUGCAACGCUUCUGCUUGGCACAGAGAAGUAAAUUUUGUAAGUAAGUACACUCAAUCAAAUACUUCAUACUUAACAUUGAUUGCAUAUAUUAAAAAAAAUGUUAGAUGAUUAGUAAUUAACAUUUAAUUAUAGUUGAAAUAUUGUUUAUUAAAUUAGUCUAAUUGUCUAAGAACGGUCAUACAAUUAAUUUCAACAUAUAAAAAAACUAUUGCAAUAAUUUAUUUAUAUUUUGAAACAUAGCUCAACUAUGAAUUAUUAAAACUAAUAUAGCUUCACAGUUUUUGCAUCAAUAUCUCUUUUCAUCUUUCGCUUAUCUUAUCAAUUUAAAUUUAAAAUCUAUGUUAAAGAUGUUCUGUCAAUCAAUUUAGGCUAGAGAUUAAUUAAACAAUCUAGUAAGCACAUAAUAGGUAUUAUUAUUAAUUGUUCAAUUAUAAUAAACUUUCAAAUUGCAUUAAUGUGAUAAGAAGUUAUAUUUUGCAAUUAAUCGAAUCAUAUGCUAAUAAUUUGCAAUAUUUAUCAGUAUGAAAUAACUAACUUAGAAUAAAUUAAUUAAUUGAUUGAUUUUUUCUUAAAUUUGAAUAUCUUGUAUUAUCUCUAGUAACUGUUUGGUCCACUUAAUUACUAAAAUCCCACCUAACUAAAGUUUUUUGUGCAAAUGUAUAUUUACCGUAACCCACGUUCUCCAUGCUCUCUAACAAAUCUCUCAAUUAGCCACCGAAUCAUAUCCAUUAAUAGAAUAAAAAUAAAAGCCACCGAUAUUAAGCACAAUGGAUGAAUUCAUCUCUACUUCUUUUGUAUAUUCUCUCUAAAGCUUCAAACUCUAUUUUAGGGUUAUUUUCUUAAUUCUUUUGAAUCAAGCUAUAUAGAAUCUGGGGAGAUGUUUUCAAAUAUUUAUUGAAACGACCCGCCCCGAAUCAACCCAGACGAGUUUAUCUAGUCUCAUCAAAACGGACUUGAUAAUAAUUUUAUUCGUAAAGAUUCUGCCGAAAAUUCGGCAGAGUCUCCUUUAUAUAUAUAACACUCCCAAUCUACAAAUAUGAAUAUAACACUCUCAAUACAAGUCAAUAUACAACAAACUCUAGUGCUCAACAUCCUCAACCAAAAUGCUGAGUUUUAUAUCUCCAGAGUCUCAAAAGAUAAUAUUAUAACUAAUAUUAAUAUCUCAAUUUAUUCUUAAUCCCAAAAAGAAUAAUAUAACAAAAGUAUACAAUCCCAAAAGAACAAGAUGACCAAGAUAUCCUAACAAAAACAUUUAUAUCUUCUAACACCAUCACGUGACCAAGACUCAAAAUAUAUUUACAGUCGCUGGGUCGGUCUGGUGUACCUGCAACCUCCUGGUGAGGGGGGAAAAAUAUAAUAAAAACGGGAUGAGUCUAAAACUCAGUGAGAUCAGUGAGUGGAUAGUAGUUUUGAAAAUUAAUUCUUACUUUAAAAGAAAUAAUCAUAUCAUUUCCAAACAUGAUUGCACUAAACCAUAAGCGAGAAACCAGAAAUAAAUAAUUAAACAUUUAAAUCAGAUUACUAACCAUGGAAAUCAUAUCACAAUAUCAUAUAGAAUUCACAAAUCUGAAAAUCAUCACCAAACAAGUACCCAGGGAAAUAAUCUCGUCAUAUCCGGACCUCAACGGACGAGCAAUGACGUACUAUCUGGGUAACGUCACGCCCCGGAGCUACACGGAUAGACAGGGAAAUACCAUCUCAUAUCUCAUCAUAUCCGUGCAUGCAUAAUCUAGUCCCCAAAUGACAAAAACACCCAAGCACAUGGCCCAAAGCCUAUGUGUGUACUCAGACGGGCCCCAAAGGCCUGUAUCUCAUCUGUAUCAUUUGUAUCUCAAUAUCUGUUUGUAUCUUAUAUCUGUAUCUCUGUAAUCAUCAUACCGCAUGCAUAUGCCCCCAAAAGGCAAAAACGCCCAAACACAUGGCCCAAAGCCUCUAUGUGUGUUCAGACGGGCCCCAAAGGCCUCUCAUCUCAUAUCACCUGUAUUACUGUAUCUGGAGGAGAAGGAUACUGUCUAAUGAUUUCAAAAACAAUCAUUAUACUCAUAUUCACAUACCUUUUAAUCAUACUUUAAAUCAUACCACAUUCAAAUCCACUUUUCUUAUCUUUAAAAUAUUAUCAUGCUUUAUUCAAAGUCGAUACGCAAAAUCAAUAACCAAACAUUUUAAUAAAAUACCAAUGCGUGAAUAAAAAUCCAUUUCGAGGAAAUCAUUAAAUCAGAACAUUUAAAAUACUUAUUUCACAAACAUGCAUUACUAUCAUAAUUAACUAUGAAAAUAGGUUUUGUAUAUUCCACUCACAGUGACGGUGUUCACGGUCGGUUAUCGUCCACGUCCGCGGACCGGUUCUCGCUCGCGGAUCCUCCUAAAUCAAGGAAACGACAUAAUUAUUUUCCGUAAAUCGGAAUUACGGCUAAAUUUAUGCAAUAAACUCGAAACGAACAUCUAUCCAUAAUUGACAACUCCCGUGUCCAUAAAAUUACUAAAAUGCCCUUGAGUCCGUAAAUCAUUAACACAUACUCUGAAAUUGUACAACACCGAAUUACCCUCGGAAUCGUAAUUACACCCACUCCUCAAUUCUAGGAAUUACUAAAAUAUCCACAGGCUCAGAAAUUACAAAAUUGCUCUCAUAGUGUGAAAUUACCAAAAUGCCCUUGCCGGUCAACGGUCACAGGAAUUUGGUCAACGCUGGUUAGGAAGCUCAAAUCUGAAAGUUCAAAUCACGCUGAGUUCAAUGGUACCGGCGGUGAGCUCCAUGCGCGGCAACGGCGCCGGAAUCGAGCUCGACAGCCGUGAAUUCCAACAAUCGACCGGCGGCAAAAUAGUGACUCUCGGUGCCUAUGGAUGGUCGGAAAUGGAAGAGGGAGUCGUGGGGAACAAGAUCCAACCGGUGGUGUCACCCAAAACCGGCGAAAAUCCCGGCGGAGUAAAGUGAAACAAUCGCGGGUUCAAGCUUCAAUUGCCGGCGUUCCGGUUGGUUUUCGGCGGCGAGGAUGGCACGGGAACGACGGUCGGCUUCUAAGCUUCAGAUUGGUACCAAGCUCGGCUGAAACGGUGGCCGGAAAUGGGAGAUAUGGUCGGGUCAAGGUCGCCGGUUCCGGGUCGAGUUUUCGGGUCCGUAGUUGGAUCGGUUUGGCAGUUUCCCUUCACUCUCUCUCACACGUGCAUGUUUUUACCCUGUUUCCAGCUUAUUCUUUUACUUAUAAACUCCUUAACCGCCUCAUUUUCAUUUUGAAAUUCACAUAUGUUACAUUUAUUACCUUUUGUCCUUCACCUUUAAUUUCUUAAGUUUGACAUCAGUUUUGUUGGCCUCACCCUUGGCUGAAAGCUUUUUCCGUCACGUAGAUCGGUGAAAAUGAUUUGAUUAAUUGUGGCUCGUAGGUAAGAAUAAUUGAUGGUUGUCGAAGUCAGUAAAAAUAAAUACUUACUCUAAAUAAAUUGUGUAUAGUGAUUGAGCAGGGUCGUGUCCACAGAGAUCGGUAAUAUUUAAAUCUUUUUUAAAAUGUAAAUUGCAAAAUGGGGGGAUUGUUGAUAAUAAUAAAAAUCAAAUUAAAAUUGGGAAAAGCUUUAGUUGAAGGAAUUAACUCAGCUUGAUUCGACUACUGAUCAUUAAUUCAAAUAUAAAUCAUUACUACUUAUGAAUAGACCGGUUAUAGCUACUGAGACCCUCUAAUAGCUAAUCUCUCAUUAACUAGUCGAUAACCAAGGUACGACCAUUGGUUAUUUCCCUAAUCAAUAGAUAACCCUAGAUACGAUCAUAAAAUUUAAUCAAUUGACAGCCUGAAAAAUCAGAGAGACCCAAAUCCUAAUCAACAAACGCAUACGAUGGUUCAUUUAAAUUAGAUUGUUUAUUCUCAUAACACAACGCACUACUAUGCUAUUUGUCACAAAUAUUAAAAUCUUCAUACGAUGAAUCCUUUAAUUGACAAUAGAUUAAGUUGAUAAUUAAAUAGUGGCCAAUUAUCUAAUUAACAAACAUAAUCAUGACAAUAAUUUAGAGAAUAAACAAAUACCCAAAAAGUAAUAAAAUAAUUAAAGCAUAAGAAAGAUCUCACAGUAAUGAUGAAUCAAAGCUUCAUUAAUCUUCAACCAGAAUAAUAGGUUUAGUUAUUCACAGAGAAAAGAGAAAAAUUUAGAUCUAGGGUUUUUUUUUUACAAUAGAUUCCCCCCUUUAAUUCUCUCUCCCCUCUUCUCCUCUAGAGUUCUUUUUAAAAUAAAAUACUAAUAUCUAUUAUCUAAAUAUUAAAUUCGGAAUUACAAAAAUAACCAAAAAGAUAAAACACGUUAAACUAAUAACUGCAGAUCCGUAGUUGACAAUACGCGUCCACGCCUUAUCAACAAAGUUCUUCUGAAGCUCAUAAUUUCUCCAGGAAAACAAUCAUCCUAAAAAAUCAUCUUGUAGCUCAACUUUAUUACCAAUCAAUAGAAUUACACCUACAGAAAUAAAACACAAGUAAAUCACUAUUAUUAAGUGCAAAACAUCGAUAUUAAAGAAAGUAAACAAUGCAAAACUAGAGCAUAAAUUGCACUCUAACAAUAAUUAUUGUUUUUUUGUGUUCAUGUUUUUAAUUUAUUGGAUUUAGUUCACAAUUUAUUUUACAACAACUGAAAUAGAUGUUAAUUAGGAUAGAUUCAUUUUCUUGUUUAGUAUAUAGAAUUUUCUACUUUAAUUUAAUUGUAUCUUAAUUUUUUUUUUUGUUUAUAUAUUGUUAUGCAGUGAAUCAAGAGACCUAGGAAGAAAAAAUUAUGGUAUUCAACUUUCAUAAGGAUUCAAUUGCUCAGUCCACAUUAAUUCUAUCUUUUGUCAACACCAAAAUAUCAUUGGAAAGAGUGCCGCGUAGCUUUUGGUGUAUUAUCUUUUAUUUAAUUUUUUGUCAAGGAUUCAAUGACUAAUACAUAUUUAUUUUAUCUUUUAGCAACAUUAAGUCAUUGUAGUAGCAUCAUGCGGCUUUAAGUCAUUGUAGUAGUGUCGUGUAGGAUUUGUAUUUUGUUUAAGUUGCACAUGUGUUUGUUGAAAUUAUUUAUAAAAGAAUAUUAUUCCACUAAUCCAUUGAUUUUUCUUUUUUCCAUGGGGCAAUUAAUAAAAUCAAUUUGGGCCAUAUAUUUGUCAAUUAAUUCACUGAUCAUUUUCCUAGAGGGGAUUAAUAAAAUGAUAAUUUUAACGAUGAAGUAGAAUAAAAUGAGUUUCAAUAAUCAUUUUCUUCGAAAUACUAAAAUUUAAUUAGAAAUAUAAAUUUUUUCAAACUAAAAUAACAUAUUUUCAAUUGCAUAACCAAUUAGAACUAAUAUUUUUCCGAUUUUUUUUCAUCUGUUUUUACCCCUAGAAAAUAGUGUAUUUUUAAGAGUAAUCAGUUAGUUGAAAUUGAUAUUGCAAAUACAACCGCAAUCGAGAAUUCUCUCCUUUACUACUUAAACUAGAAAAUAGAACCGCGUUUCACGCGGCUUUGAAAAAAUUUAGUAUUAUCUUUUUUUCUUACUUUACACUUGAUGAAAUUGAUAAAAAAUAUGAAUUGAUUUUUUUUUUAAGAUGAGGCGGCCUUAUAAAAAAUAAAAAAAGAUAUUAGCCAGCAAUACAAAUAAAGAAGCAACGCAAGAUAAAGAAUAAAAUGAGAUAAUAUAUUAUAGAGUGAUUUUAUUCAUUCUAAUUGUGUGUGUACAAAAUAAAAAGAUGAGCUCUCCUUUUUAUAGUUACAUAAUCACUCCAUGAAAUUAAUGAAAAAUUAUGGAUCAUAAUUCAUUGUGAGAUAGUGGGAGUUAUAGGGAAGCUAAAGGUUGCUAAUGGGAGAUAGUGGGGAGACUAAGAGAUAUAUGUUAUGAACAUCUACAUUUAUUUUAAUAAAUUCAUAACACUCCCCCUUGGAUGUUCAUUACAAAGAAUAUGCCUCAUUAAAAUCUUUACAUAAUUGUUAUUGUGUAAUAACAAUCAAAUUAAUUAUGAAAAGAUGAAAAGCCAAAUCUAAAAGAAAAUUUAUCUAUUUAUUAGAUAAUAGAGAAUAUACAAAGAUGAGAAAUUGUGAUGCCACAUCACCUCCUCAAAUCCCAACUUUAUAUAUAUAUAUAGAUUGGUCAUGAAUAUGAGUCCUCAGUCACAUGUCCAUAUUAAUUUUGAGAAAUUUAUAAAAAUGACCAUAGAACUUUUACGUUUUUCAACUUUAACCCCCCAAAAUUUUUUCUAUCAUAACUAGCCAAAUAUCUUAUUUUUGGACUAGAUUACCCUCAUCACUUUCAUCAAAUUCACAAAGGUAUGCCACUUUUUCAAUUCCAGCACCACUAAAUACGAAUCUUCCUCAACAACUUAACAAACCUUCAUCACUCUCAACAAACUUCAUCACUCUCAAUAAAUCAACAAAUUCCAUCAAACAAACAUUGCAUAAUUGAAGAUACAAUCAUCAAUUGGAGAGCUUCUUAAAAUUAGUUUAUGCUCUUACACAAUGUAAACCUUUAAUCUAUUGAUUUUAUCAACUAAGUUCGAAAUUAAAGUGGGUUUUGUUGCAAAUGUUGUUAUUUUUCAUUCAUAAAACAAUGUGAUUUGUUAAAGUACUUAGUUUGAGUUGAGAAAUGAAGAAAAAUCAUUAAAAAUACAGAAAAAUCGGGCAAAAAAUGAAGUCCAAAACAAGUGAGACAAGCAGUGAGACAUGUGUCUGUCUCACAUAAACCCACUGAUUUUAUGGAAUAUAUGAUUUUGGAUUUGAUUUGUCUCGUCGUAAGCUUCGAAACGGUAUAAUUAUUACAAUAUUUUGGCUCACUACUCCGAACCCCAAUACACAUAAUCUCUCAAAUCACUAGAACAAGAGCUUUUAUUAUUUAAGCUCUACAAAACUCUCUGCUCUACAGGAAAUGCUUCUCACAAAAUUGGAUGCAGAAAUGAGGAGGAGGAACCUCUUUUUAUACCAAAACUUGGCUACUGUUCAUGCUUUAUUUAAUUAUUAUUUUUUUUCUUCUUCCUUUUCGGUCCGGCAUUCAUUUUUUCUUCCUCUUUUGUCUUCUUUCUUCUUUUCUUUUGUUCCGGUCAAAGAAGCAACCAAUGCAUUCUUCUUCAAAAUCAGUGGGCCCACCUUCUAGAAGGGUGGUGCCCACAUGCCAUUUUCAUCAUUAAAUAGAUGAGGGUUGGAAUAGAAUCUUUUCAAUGUGAAUCAUGAAGGAUCUAUUCAAAAUAAAAGUGAUAAAGAUUAAGAAAGAACUUAAGAAGCUAAGAGCUUUUAGAAGUCUUUGAAGAAAUAAUAUUAAUUUGAAAGGAAAAGAAUUUAAAAUGAAGAAGAAAAAGAUAAUUGAUAAGAAGUAAGACUAACUGUACAUCUGAUUGAGGAACAGGCUUGUUAAUUCAAACUAUUAUAACCAAUUGGGAAUUGAAUUAAGUUAACAGUUAACUCGUAAUUGAAUGUCUAAACUAACAAUGUAUACAAUUACAGAUGAGACUAUAAAAUUGCAAAAAUACUGCUGAUUGUGAAUCAAUUUGAACAUGCCAAUCCUUAGGAAUUCCUUUCAGUAUCAUGGGAUUUAGAUCUCAAUUACCUUUUUUAUUUGAGUACGAUGACAUCCCGAACUAUCAAAAAUACCCACUUGUCCAAACGUGCCUAUGUCCACUUUAUCAUUUAUAUAUGAAAUGUUCUAAUUAAAUGGAGCAAGUCCACAUAAUACAAUCAUUUUCAAUUACCCAGCAUUUGGAAUACAGAUGCUUUGUUUCUUCGUUUUUUUUAUUUUUUGUUCUUUUUUAUUUACUUGAUACAACUAAUAAGUAAACUCAUAGCAUUUUCUAUCACCUCUUUUUUUUUUGGGAGUAUUAGUAAAUCAACUCUGUAAUGCUCUGCCUCUUUACCAUAAAAGCUGCAUUUUAAUGGCAUCAGCUUACAGUUAUGUGUACUAAGUAAAACAAUUCUUUAUUGUGACAUUUUCAUCCUCCAGAAAAUACAUAAAUAAAAUAAAGGAAAUUUUAUUUUUGUUAAAAUCCAUGAAUAUUAAUUACUACCUUGUUCACUGUUCAGUAAAAAUAAAACAACAGUUUUUUUUUUUUUUAAUUUAACAAUAUUGUGUUAGAAUAUACUUCCCAGGUAAGGUUGAUAGAAAAAACCAAAUUUCAAUCAGUAUUGGGAUUCUGUCCCAAAACAAGCACUUACUUAUUACAACUUUUACUAACUUAUUUUUCCACCACACAAUUUACUCAAUUUUUAUUUAUACCACACAAUUUAACUUAUUUUAACUACCACUAACUUAAGUUACUUGGCUAGGGUAAAAUUAUGUUGCAACUGUGGUAUGAUACCACAAUUACAAUCAAUCAUUAAAUUUACAGUUGUACAAUUGUAUUUAUUGGACCUAAUGAUUAAAAGUAACUGUGGUAUCUUGCAACAUAAUUGGACCUACUUUGCUAACAUAUUAUAGAAACCAACAUCCCAGAUUUUUCUUAAGAUAUUUCUACAGAUAUUUUAACAUUUUAGAUUAUAAAUUACUUUUCAACACUUAAUUUAAUCACUGAUUGUUGACGACGACGAAGCCAACAAAUUUGUUUCGUUGUGCUAAUCGGACAAGCGAUAAGGACUUCACAAGAGUACAAAACAGAGCCUCGAUCUAAUAAUAUUACUGAACAUAGCAUUUUUGUUUCCUUAUUAAUGGAUUUGUUUCCUUAUUAAUGGAGAGAAGCAGUUCUGUUUUUGCAGUGAUUAAGCGCAUAGAAGAUAUUAAUGGCUUUACUUAUCAUCAUCAACUUCCUUUUGUGUCUCCCCUUCUUCCUCUUCUUCUUUGCUUUGCAAAGGCUCAUAACCUCAAGAAAUAAUACUAAAUUACCACCCGGCCCCUGGGGCCUUCCCUUAAUCGGUAACUUACACCAGUUUGAUGUCUCAAAGCCUCAAGUGUCAUUUUGGGAGCUGUCACGGAAAUAUGGCCCCCUCAUGUCCUUGCGUCUUGGUUUUGUGCCAUCCCUAGUAGUUUCCUCAGCAAAACUGGCUAAAGAGAUAUUAAAAACCCAUGACCUUCAAUUUUGUAGCAGGCCAGCCUUGGUAGGACAACAAAAGUUAUCUUACAAUGGUCUUGAUUUGGCGUUUUCACCCUAUGAUGGUUAUUGGAGAGAGAUAAGAAAAAUUUGUGUCAUUCAUCUCUUUAACUCUAACAGGGUAGAAAAUUUUCGACCCAUUAGAGAAGAUGAAGUUUCAAGAAUGAUUGAAAAGAUUUCAAAAUCAGUUGCUGCUUCUAAUCCCGUAAACUUAAGCGAGGUAAUGAUGUCUCUUACCAGCACCAUUAUUUGUAGAAUUGGAUUUGGCAAGAGGUAUGAUGACGAUAAAGCAACAAGUGCAAGAAGUAGAUUCCAUGCCCUGCUUAAUGAAACUCAAGCCUUGUUUGUAAGCUUUUUUGUUACAGAUUAUUUUCCUUUCAUGGGCUGGAUUGAUAAGCUCACAGGAAUGAUGCAACGCCUGCAAAAUAACUUCCAAGAACUCGAUAGAUUCUACCAGGAACUCAUCGACGAGCAUUUGGAUCCAAACAGAACAAAAUCAGAAUUGGCGCAACAGGAGGAUAUAAUUGAUGUUUUACUUCAAAUACGAAAAGAUCGUGGAUUUAAAGUUGACUUGACUUUGGACCACAUCAAAGCGGUGCUCAUGGUGAAUAAUUUUAUAAAUAGUUAUAUGUAGACUCGUGCUCAGGCGCAGACUUAAAAUUUUGUGCAGAUACCCAAUUUUACAGUCUUGUAAAAUGGUUUAUAAUGCUGUAAAGUGCCUUUGAUGUCCGCCUGAACAUGAUUAAUUUAAUGUAAUUUUAUUUGCUUUUAACUAAUUUACUAUGUAUGUAUGUAUGUUGUUUGUUUUGCAGAACGUACUCGUUGCUGGAACAGACACGAGUGCAGCAACUGUGGUUUGGGCCAUGACUUACCUAAUGAAGAAUCCUAGAGCAAUGAAAAAAGUUCAACUGGAAAUCAGAUCGUUGAUUGGGUGCAACAAAGGCUUUGUAAAUGAAGAUGAUGUUCAAGAACUGCAUUAUCUUAAAGCGGUAGUGAAGGAGACAAUGAGAUUGCAACCCACAGUACCAUUACUAAUCCCAAGAGAAACAAUUCAAAAGUGCGUAAUAGAUGGGUAUGAAAUACCAGCUAAAACACUUGUCUUUGUAAAUGCAUGGGCGAUAGGAAGAGACCCUGAAGCUUGGGAGAAUCCGGAGGAAUUUUAUCCGGAGAGAUUCGUUGAUAGCUGUAUUGACUUUAAAGGGCAACACUUUGAAUUAAUACCGUUUGGUGCUGGCAGAAGAAUUUGUCCUGGGUUGAAUAUGGGAAUCGCAACUGUGGAUCUCGCACUUGCUAAUCUUCUUUACAAAUUUGAUUGGGAAAUGCCGCCUGGAAUGAAGAGCCAAGACUUGGACUUUGAUGUUCUGCCGGGAAUUACUAUGCAUAAGAAGAAUGCUCUCUCUCUUUCGGCUAAGUAUCAUGAGUAGGUAAAUUAAGGCACCUCGGACAAUAAGAGUUUGAUCUGAACUAAAUAUAUGUUAUAGAGAUUGCAUGUAUGUCCUGAAUUGUGCUUCUCAUGUUUCCUUUCUUUCUUCUUAUGUAUAAUGAAUGUUGAUGUCUAAGUGCCCAUAGGCUGAGUGGUUUUUAAUAAUUAAAUUUCUUUUAGUUCAAAAUUUUGGGAGGUAAGGACUAGAGAAUAAUAGUUACUCUGCUCACUCUCCUAUACUAAAAAAAAAAGGUUGAUAUGAAUGUGAAUAUUAAUCUAGUACGUUCAUUUCAUCUCAUAUUUUUUCUCCUAUAUUUUUUUCUUUAAAUUUAACUUCUAUCACUUAACCUGCUAUCUUUUUAUAUGAUUGGAUAGAGAUUGAAAUUUUUGCUGUUCCAUCUCAAUGUUAAUGCUUAUAUUAUCUUCACACCUUUACUGUAAUUUUUUACUUUUACUAUUAGAUGCUGAUAGGGUCUUUUCUUGGAGAUUGCUUCACAAAAAAAAUUCUGAAAGAAGAUUUUGUUGAUCGGAUAGCAAGCUUAUCCAUAUAGUUUAAUGGAUUAUCUGCAAGAGCUCUUUUUAGUGCGCAUACAGUUGUCCCUUCAUGUUAGCAUAUUCAUUCUGUCGUCAAUGAACUUUUGCAUUUAAAUGGUAUCAGUUCAAGUGAUGAAUGAAUUUUACCUAUUGCCUAUCUUGGACUAAAUUUAAUUUCAAAAAAUGAGCUUCCAGCUUAUGACUUAUACGUAUCUUGCACUUUGGUUUUACGAUCACCAUUGGAUGGAAGAGUGGCUCGAGUUUGUUAAUUGCUUCAGUCCCAGGACUAGUGUUUGGAAACAUAAAAUUUCUCAGUUCAGCAGCUAUAAAUCUGUUUCAUGAUUGUUAUUGCACACUAUUUCCUAUAUUUUUGUCUCCAUGCUCAUACUGAAUUAGUGGUGCAUUUGUCAUCUUUCGCCUCUCAUUAAAAUGUGCUUAUUAUUUUUUAUUUCAAUCGUAGGAUGGGAAGAUUGAUACUGAUUCCAUCUACAAUGGGUUUAAAGACAACGUGAGGUUAAUGUGGGAGCGUUUCUUGUCAUCCCAGCAAAUGUUGACAUAAACAACAGACUGCAAGCUUCCCCUACUCUCUGUUCAUAUUUGCAUUUGUGUGCAUCUUGUACUUGUUGUUGCAGAAAGAUGAAUAUGUAAGAAUAAGAUCGUGUUUGUAUGCAAUGGUCAAAUGUUUUUGCAAAAAAUGUCGUUGCUUGAGUUCCUCAAUUCUCAUUCUGAACUUCAAAUUUUGUACAUUUCUUUAACUUAAUUUUUUUUUUUUCUGUGUAAUAGUAGUAUAAGUUUGGUAUCAAAAUUAAGCUAGUGACAUACUUGGAUCACUUGGGAUCCACUUGCAAAUGUAUUUUGAAGAAAAGUUUUCUCCCCGCCUUUUAUGUAAUCACACCCACCAGUAAUAUGGUAAUUUAUUGAAAGGUCCUUGAUGCCCGGUAAAAGUUAUAAUUAAAUUAAUAAACUUAUCUUUUUAAAUUAAUAAACUCAUCUUUUUGAAUAAGUUCAUCAUUUUGUACGUAUAUUAGUUUUUUUUUUUUAAAUUCCUUUUAUUUCUAAACUAUUGGUUGGAAGCAAAUAUUUCACUGUAAUCUCCUGUCGACCAAAGGAGAUGCCUUUCCCAAAGCAAGAAAAGAAAACACAAAAAGCCCACUUCAAAAACUUGUGCAAGAAGGAGAUGUGAUUACGCUGUCUUUCUGUUUCUUGGUGCGUGUAUAGAUAUAUACAUACACACAUAAGUCUGAGGACCAGCUGGCCAACAGCCCACUAGGAAGCAAUUUUAAAAUUUUUGGUCAGUAUUGUUCUUUAUAUCUUAUGAAUUUUUCCUUCAAUUAUUAUAUUUUCACUCAGUUUUGUUUUUGGGCACGCGUUAUGUGAUUUUCUUUUGAUGAUUUCCGUGGCUUCUUUUUAGCUCUUAUUUUACUGUUUCUACUGGUUAGUUUAGCUACUGUCUACUGAGAUAAAAUUAUUUGCUUGAAUAACUUAAUCUUUUGCUAUUUUAUUACGUUCAGUUUAUAUACAGUUGAUUCAUUGUAACAAAUGUUAUCAUAAAUGAUUCUUGAGUAAUUUCAUUUAUUUACUUUUUCUUCUUUCAUAGUUGGCCUGUACGGUAUCAUUUACUUUUAUCUUUUUUCAAAUUUCUUUUAAUCUACAGAAUGUUUGUUUUAGUCCUGAUCUUGGGUUACUGAAAUGUUUCAUUCCCUUUUCCUAAGUAUUUUUGUUGCUUGUUUAUCGGGCAAUACUGCAACAGUGAUUUUAAUUCACAAAAUUCUGUAAAUACUUAUUAUUCUUAGUGUGGUUUUAAGGUAGAGUGAAGUUAAUAUUAUCAUAAUGGCUUACAUUCCUCCACAUAUGAGGCAUACGAAGGACCCCCAGAGGCCAUCUCCAGUUCCAGAGAUGAUUGUGCCUAAAUUCAACAGAAAAUUAAACUUGGGAUCAUCCAAGCAUAAUGCAGACAUAAGUGGAAAGAUCGUGUAUGCAGAUCCUGCCAUACACAGGUGGUUCAUUUGUGGCUUGGAUAAUGAUAGCAGCAGUCCUUCUGUCCGCUUUGUGGAGUUUUCAGACGACCCUGUUGAGCAUAAAAAAUCGACGACCAUUAAUCUGGCUCGAGGUUACUGAUCUGCAUUUGUAAUUUUAUCUUAAAUAUGUUCUACUUUCUUUCUUUAUUUAUAUCUGGUGCUAACUUUAGUUAUAUUGACAUUUGGAUUUUGGGUUGGUAGAUAACGAUAAAUUGUGUGGGAAUACAUCAAGAAGCCCAUGGGAAUCGAUAGCAGAAAAUGUAUGGCCAGAUGUAUUGAGUGCUUGUAAUAUUGUCAAGAACGAAAUGGAGGAAAAGCCAACAAUGGUUGCUAGAUUUGGCCAUCAUCUUUUCCGUGAGUAUGUGAUCUGGUUCCAUUGCUGUAACAGCUUGAAUUUUUUAUUAGGUCAUUCCUUUUCUUUGGACUUUGAAAUUAAAGCAGCAAAAAUGCAUAUUCAUACUUAAUUCUGACAGAAAUCUUAUGGUCAUAUAAGUGGUGGCAGCUAAAAUUAUGAGCUUUACCAUUAACCCUACCACCAGCUGUGGAUGACUGUAAAUCGGAUCUCUAAACCAGGGACAAAAGUUAAAAUUGCUUUUAAAAGCCAAAGAGGAAAAUGGCAAUUUAUAGUGCAUGCACUUCUUUCAGACUUGUAUCUCAUAGAAGCUUUCAUGGCAUCUGGAAUUUGGCUUUGGCUUUGCGUAGGACAUUUCAAUUGUUGCUGGUGGAAACAAAUAUAUCCAUUGUCUUAGUUUUGCUUGAUUUCCGGUGCAAGAAACAAAUAAAUUUGUUGCCGUGGCCAAGUUUUGUUGUUUGAUAUUUCAUUGGGACAACAAAGUAUACCACUGCUUCGCCUAUUUCUUACAUCUUUGCAUCAUAUAUUUCCAUUCUUCUAUCACAUCUUUGAAGCUUCUACUAGUUCUCAUAUUAGAAGCGCCUCAAAGAAAUAAUUAUUAUAUUAUUCGUCUUAAUGAAGGAGUGACAUACUGAGCUUAGAAAAUGCGAAAGAAGGUCAGGUUGCUGAAUCUGCUUUGAGCCCACUGAGGAGAUGCUUUUACACUGGUGUCCCUCCUACAUACAUGGGAAAAAUUGUAAAUGAAGUUGUGCCAAAAAUUGGGGUUGGUUUUGUAGAGAACAAGGAUAUAUACCAUGUCAAGGUAGUUCUCCUGCAGUCCUGCUAAAUACUUUAGUAGUCAUGACCAAGUUUCUUUUAUCUCUCAAUUAAUUAGCCAUUGAUUCCCCCCCCCCCUUUCUUUUUCUUGUGUAGUUGUCUGAUGGCACACGACAAAUUACGUGCAAAUGUACUGUUAAAGAAGAUCAAAAGCUUCAUCUCUAUAAGGCAAGUCUUUUGCUACUGGCUGAGUAUUAUUUAUGGACAACGGGUCCAAGUUUAUAAGUUGCCUCUUGUGUUAAGGAGACUUUUGCUAGUGGAAACAUUGAAACAAGACUUAUGAUGUUUUGAUUUGAAUGAUAUAAUCUUUUCACUGUGAAUUAUGAAGGAGAUGUCGAAUAUAAGCGAUAGAUAUCAAGAAAGAGACGAAACCUUUGUGUCUCAAAAGAACCUUUUAGAAGUCUCUCCAGGAAUAAUCUCAGUUAAGAGGAAAAGAAUUUAAAAUGAAAAGAAGGAAGAAAAUUCUCAAGAAGUAAGACUAAUUCUACAUCUAAUUGAGGAACAGGCUUGUUAAUUUAACAAGGAAAGCUCCAGUAGCUAUUUAUUAUAAACCAAUUAAAAAUUGAAUUAAAUUAAUAGUUAACUUGUAAUUGAAUGUCUAAUCCAACAAACUAUGCAUAAGAUUACAGACGUAACUAUGUAAUACAAAAAACCUCUGCUUAUUGUAGACCAAAGUGAAUAUGCCAAUAUUUAGGAAUUUCUUUCAGCAUCAUGGGAUUUAGAUCCCUAUAAUCUUUUUUUAUUUUAGUGUAGUGACGUCCGGAAGACCAGAAUUAUCACGUACCUCGUACUAGUCGUUUUAUUUAUUUUGUCUUUUAAAGCGCCACAUUAUUUCCCAUACAGUCAUAAUAUAUCUAUUUUUUGUUUAUUUAUCGUUGCCGUGUGUGGAGUCUCAUCUUGAAUAUGAACAUUUUUCCGGUAGGUCGAACUGAACUCUGUUCGUCACAUGGUAGCAGACAUGUUAUGCGUUCAUAAAAAUCUAGACCUGAGGUUGGCACUAUGUUCAAAGAGUACCUUAUCUGCUCUCUCGGUAAGUCAAUCUGCUCCUCCGUGCAUGUUUUAGCUGGACUUUUAAGUUACGCCUUCUUUUUUCCCCUUUUUAUUUUAUUUGGUCAUUUGCUUGUUGGAAUCAUCAUCAUUACAGAAUGAUGAAGAAAAAUUCAAGACCAGGGGAAAUAAGGAAAUAUUAAACUUAUAGCUUUUGUUUUAUCAUAGAAAGUUUACUUUCAAGGGGUUGAGAAAAAAUUUAUAUAUAUAUAUAUACACACACACAUACACACACACACACACACACACACGACAAGCUUAAAACGGUUAAACAUUAGCAUGCAUGAUCCUUUUCUUCAAAACUGAAACUUUACAAAUGUUAAAAAUAGAAUAACAAAUAAAUUAUUAGAUUUCCAAAAUCAGUUACCGUUAUGCAGGCUUAAAACAAAAGUUAAAUAUAAGCUCUUUUUUUUUUUUUUGGGGGGGGGGGGGGGGGGGGGGCGUGUGUGCCUAUGAGUAGUCCCAGCAAAUGAAUUCUAUGAUCAAACUGAAAUUUUUGAAUUUUCAGGAUGAUGAAAUGAACAGCAUUAGAAUUCUGAUUAAUUCAGCCAUUCCGGAUCCGGAAGUCAAGGGUGGGUUAAGAUGGCCCAUGGGGAAGUCAUAUUCAGGGGAUUACACAAUUGUUGGGGUUUGGCACAAUGAAUUUAAAUCAUAUAAAAGCCCAUCACUAAAGCUUAAGGUAAGAAAUGUUGAUCGAUUUAUUUUCAAGACUGGAACUGGGGAAGCUACGAUUGAGAUUAAUCUAAAGUUGAGAAGACUAGUUUCAGAGAUUCAGGUACUUGCUGCUUUUUGCUUUAACUUUUAUCACAAAACCUACUAUCUUUGUGCAUGAUUACAUGGAUCUUGAAAUUCUUGCUGUUAUGUCAUAAUGUUAAUGCAUAUUUUGUCUUCACGCAUUUCUUACUGAACUUGUGUCUUGAGCUGUAAUUGUAAUUUCCAAUUUUUACUAUUAGAUGGGUAUUUUAUUGGGGAUUUCUUUACUUAAAAAAAAAAUAUGUUUGACAGAGAAUAUUUUAACGAUGAGAUUGCAAUAUUGUAAUAGAUAAUCUUCAGGAACUCUUUUUACCUUUUAGUAGUUAUGCAGUUGCUCCUCUGUGUUAGCUUAUUUAUUCUAUCAUAUGUAACGAAUGACUUUUUACCAAAUUUGAUUUCAAAGCUGAGCUUCCAGCUUAUGACUAAUAUUUGUGUCUUGCACUUUUGUUUUACAAUCACCAUUAGAUGGAAGAGUGCUUAGAGUUAGUUAAUUGAUUCAAUCCCAGGAUUAGUCUUUUGAAACAUAAAAUUUAUCGGCUAAGCUAUAUAAAUCUGUUUCAUGUUUCUUAUCGCACACUAUUUCGUAUGGCUUUGUCUCCAUGCUCAUACAAAAUUAGUGUUGUAUUAGAUGUCUUCUGUCUUUCAUUCACAUGUACUUAUUACUUUUUCUUUCAAUCGUCAGGAUGGGGAGAUUGAUACUGAUUCCAUCUACAAUGGGUUUAACGACAACUUGAGGUUAAUAUGGGACCAUUUCUUGUCAUGGGAGUCAUAACUUUUGACAAAAACAACAGAUUGCAUGCUCUCCCCGCUCGGUUCAUAUUUGCGUUUGUGUGCAUCCUGCAGUUGAAGAUGUAGAAUGAUGUAAAUGCAAGAAUAAGAGCAUGUUCGUAUCCAAUGGUAAAAUGUUUUUGCUAAAAUGUAUGGACUUGUAACAGCUUGUUGCGUGAGUUUCUCAAUCUCCUGAACCUCAAAUUUUGUCCUAUUUUCACCCCGGCUUUUUCCCCCCGUCCUCUGUAAUAGUUAUAUUUGGUAUAAGUUUGGCAGUUCCUGUGUAAAGUGUUUCAUAUUCAUGUGUGGAAUAAAUAUCAACAUCCAGAUACAAGAAAGUUUGAUUUUAUUUGUAAGACCUGUCUCUCAAAGUUAAUCUAGUGACAUGCUUGAAGCACUUGGGAUCCACUAGUUGGAUGUAUUUUUGUUAAGAUUUAUUUAGCAUUUUGUAUGUGUAUCAGUGCCUUUUUUUUUUGUUGUUAAACCGUUGGUUAGAGGGCAAAUAUUUCACAUUAAAGUGGGGUCUGCUUGCCACCAAGGGAGAUGCCUUUCCCAAAGCAAGAAACGAAAACUCAAAAGCCCACUUCAUAACUUGUGUAAGAAGGAGAUGUAAUUGACAUAUGCUGUCCUUUUUCUUGGUGCGUGUAUGUGUGUGUAUACACACUUAAUUCCGAAGAUCAACUGAGCCAACAGCCAAAACUUGAAAGCAAUUUUAAAAUUUUCGGUUAGUAUUGUACUUUAUAUCUUUUGAAUUUCUCUUUAAUUUAUUAUAUUUUCACUUUAGUUUUGUUUCUGGGUACUCUUUAUGGGCCACAAUUAUGGUACCACUGUGGUACCAUACCACAGCUGGAUCCAGCCAUUGGAUCCGGCCUACAGUGGUCCCCAUAGCUGGAUCCAAUGGCUGGAUCCAGCUGUGGUAUGGUACCACAGUGGUACCAUAGCCGGACCCCUCUUUAUGUGCUUUUCUUCGAUGAUUUUGGUGAGCUCAUAUUUUACUGUUUCCACUGGUUAGUUUAGUUAUUGUCUACUAAGAUAAAAUUAUUUGCUUCAAUAACAUAGAGUAUUGAGGUGUUGUAAUUUAAAAUUUUAGAAAAAAAUAUAUUUAUAAAAUAAAAGUUAAUAGUAUGUGGUAAAUAUAAUUUUAAAAUAAUAAUUUUAAUAAAAUUAGUAAAGAUAUAAUAGAUUUUCAUCAUAUAAAAGUAAAAUCAAAUCAACUUAAUUUCUAAACUACAUAAAUUAAUUUUUAUAAAACACUUUAGUGCUGUAACUACCCAACCUCAAUCUAAAGUAUAGCCUUAAUUGUUUGCUAUUUUAUUAUGUGAUUGUAUAUAGAGUUAAUUAAUUGUAUCAAAUGUCAUUAUAAAUGAUGCAUGAGCAAUUUCAUAUUGUUUUUCUUUCCUUCAUUGAUAAUUGGCUUGUCGGAUAUCUUUGAACUUUUUUUUUUCGCCUCAAAGUUCUUUUAGUCUGCAGAAUGUUGGUUUUAGUUUCGAUCUUGGUUACUGCAAUAUUUCAUUCAUUCUUUCUAAGCAUAGUGGGUUCAUUUCACAAAAUUCUGUAAUAAGUACUUAUUGUAGUUUAAGGUAGCGCGAAGUAAUAUUAUCGUAAUGUCUUACAUUCCACCACAUAAGCAGCAGUUUGUAAUCAAGACUGCAGAGAAUCUUGCAGAUAUAUUGACUAAGGUGGUGACGACAAUUAAGUUUGAGCAUUAUCUAAACUUGAUCAAUAUCUUACAAGUUUGAAAAUAGUCAGAGAAGACAGAGACUGGAGGAUGGUUUGUUGAUAGUCGGCUCAGAUUUACUAAAUUUUCGUUAAGGUAGAGAAUUGUUGAAAAAUCAAGCAUGCUUGCAUGAGCUAGCUAGCAUGCAAAUUUCAAGCCCACCAAUGUUCAGCUAGCGUGAUCCAAUUGCAUGUGCUAGCAUGAUCUCUUCGUCAAAAGUCACACCAAAGCCAUUAAAAUUGAAAAUGGCCAAAGUUUUUUUUUCAUGCAUUUAUAUUGUAAGAUUUGCCUAUAAAUAGAGGAGUAGAAUGCAUUUGUAAAGCAUCCCAAUUUGUGAGAAGUAGAGAGCAAUUGCAAGUGAGCUCUUUGAGAGAAUUUGAGAGAGCUUCCACUUGAGUGUUCUAGUUGUUGUGCAAAUUUUAAUGUACUCGCAAGCGCACGAAUCUAUUGUAGUAUAGAUCAAUGGUGACGAGUGUCGAUCCCACGAGGAGGUGGAUUUUAAUUGUGUAUAGAAUUAAUUUUGUAAAUGGGUGGUUGGAUCUGUGGUGGAAAUGAAUUGGAAUAUGCUAAAACUUAAAUUAAAAUGGCGAGAAUAAAUUCUAAAAUUGGAAUUGCAAUGGCGAGAAUAAAUUGAAGAGAAAUGUAUUGAAAUGACGUACUUGGGUAUCUGGAUCCGUAUCAACAUGCAUCAUGGGCUAAAUAAUCCGUAUUAAUGCCAAUUAAAUCAUGAGGGGGGAAUCCACACCUCAUGAACCACGCUCUAAUCAAUAUGGUGCUAAGGGCUUAUCGUGCCAAAUAAUAAUAACCUUAUACUAGAGAGCCGGUGUAACCAAGGCGGUAUCUAGACAAGAUCAGUAUUAUUUGUCGACGAUAAGUCAAAUCAUCCACAAAAACUAGAGGGGAAAAGAAAAUAAAUUUACCAAAUAAAGCCCAUGACACAUGUUGAGACUUCACCUUCAACCCAAGCUUGAAAGGAAAUUAGCUACUCAUAAUUGAACUAGGGGCAAAAUGAAAAUUUAUUAAAAUACGAAGAAAAUACAAGAUGGAGAAGGAAUUACAGAAAAUGGAUCCCAAAAAUGGAUUCAGAGAUAUCAAAUUAGGGGGGGGAGGCCCCUUUUUUAUAGAUACAUGGAGUAAAUCAUGGCCAUCGGAUUAAAAACAGUUUGGACGCUCAGGAUUGCGCCACGUCAUCAGUCAACAGUCCACGGUUUGACCACGCGGAUGAACAGUAACACGGUUUGACCACGCGGAUGAACAGUAACGCGGUUUGGUUGAAAAUAAUCCUGUGUGAUGCAUGCACCGUACGCGAGAUUUUUCGUCCACUGAUAUGCUGCCACGUCACCAUCAACAGUACAUAAGAAUUUUAGUCCAACAGGAUCGUGACACCUCAUCAGUCAAUGCCACAUCAUCGGUCAAUGCCACGUCAUCGAUCCGUCUAUGUGAACAGUGUCGUGAACAGUAACGUAGACAGUACCGUAUACGUGAAUAGUACCGUACAUGUGAAUAGUGCCAUUUUUCUUUUUAUGCCCCUCCUAAGGUUUUCGACCGUCCUGAGUUCAAAAGUGAUGUCCGUUUUGCCAUCUGAUCUCUCCUUUAUUGUGAAAUAACUAUAAUGCCCCUAAAAUACAUAAAAUACUUAAUUAAAAUAAAACACAUGUAAUUAAAUCACAAGAAGGUUAAAUACAUAAAAGUAAGGGUUUUUAAUAAGACUUGAAAUGUAAAAUGACGGUUUUCUCCUUUAUAAAUAUGCAUUUUCUAACACUCAACACACCCCCCAACCAGCUUAUUGCUAGUCCCUAGCAAAUAAAGCGAAAACAAAAUUCAAAUUCAAAAUGAUUUUUUUUUUUUUUUUGAACUACUCGUGUUUAUUCAAUCAGAUUAAUGAUAGCAAUCAAAUAAAAGUAUAAGCAUUAUCUCCAGUCUAAAGCAACAUCACACCCACAUCAACCAUCCACAUGAAUUAGCCCAGUAGACUUUGUUAUAGCUACUUUCAAGAAUGACAUGUCAAACCCCAAAAUCUCACUUGAAGUAGUGACACUCUCACAAAGAAAUUAAAACCCAAUAAACAUAGUCACUCCAAUGAAUGGUAAUUGAGAGAGAAAAUAAUAAAGAAAUGAUAUCACAUGCUCUCACCAAGAUGAAAUAAAUAUGCCCUCAGCUUAGAAAUAAUGCGAUCUCAAGUCAAAUAAAAUGUUAGUCAACCCACUUUAUUUAUCUUUUUUUUUUAUUAUUAUUAUGCAUCACUACAUCUUUUUAGCCCAUAUAACUAGCUUCUACUUCAAACUAUAGUUCCCUAAAAUCAAGAAGGACUUUUAUUAGGACGUAACGUAGGCUAGGGAUAUGGCUAACAAAGAAAGGAAAUAAGGAAAACAAAGUGUAUGUUUGAAAAAAAUGCAGAAUUUUUUUUUUUUUUUUUUUUUUGGAACUUGCAAGGUGGAUUUCACCUAUUAUUGUUAUUUUUAUUCUUUUGAAACAACAACUUUUGUUUUUGUUUUUGUUUUUUUUGUUUUUUUUUUUUGCUUUUAUUUGGCAUAACUUCACUGAACAACAUAAUUAUUUACAUUUUCUCAAACAUAAAUAGGUGAUGGAACUUAAAAGACAUUGGGUAAUACUCCAAAUCGGAGUGGGUCAAGAUGAUAAGUUGACAAAGAAAAGGUUUUUGUUCUUUUUUUUUUUUUUUUUUUUUUUUUUUUUUUUAAGGCUCAAAAGGGGUAACUAUGGAUAUUUAAUAAAAGGGAUGGCUAGAAAGGCUCAAACGGAUCAAAGAUGGCCUUUCUAUCGUCUUUUAGGGCUCUAAAUAAUUAUCCAUAUCUACUAGUUAGAUGGGCCUCCCAAUGUAGCAACACACAUUUUUUUCUUUUUUCUUUUUUUUUUUAAUUUUACCAUAUUUUUUUUUUUUUAAAAGGGUUAACUUAAAAGAAAUCUAGAGAUCGUGUAUAAAAUAAUAAACUGCUAAGCUGUAUAGAGAAUGGGUAAAAGGGUUACUCUCCAAGAAAAUGAUAGGCUCAACUACUCACUUGGCACUUAUUUAUGACAUGUUCAUUCCUUCAAGCAACUCAUAUUUGUCUCCGACAUCAACAUGUAAAGUAGCAAACAUAGCGUAACAUCACUUAAGACCAAAGAUAAUACAAAUACUAAAAUUUGAAAUUAGUCAUGUCAUCCAAUGUUAAAACAAAUAACACAAUUUUUUUUAAACAACAUUCUACCCCCCAACCUAUUCUAAACAUGAAAGGAAAAUAUGCAUGCAGAAAUGUGAAAAUGAUGUAGAAAAAUUAAUUAGAAAAAGAAUUUUUUUUUUUUUUUUUAAACUAAGAAGAUGCGUUUCUAGAGGCACUACACUCCAUAUUCAGCCAUCUUCGACUCAAAAAUUUGAAACUACAUAUUUAUAAAGGAGAAAGAGGAAGAAAACAGGUUUUUUUUUUUUUUUUUUUUAAAACGAUGAAGAUGCGUUUCUAGAGUAACUACACUCCAUAUUCAGCCAUCUUCAACAUAAAAUGUUAGCAACAGUUAGUUUCUACAACAAAAAAUCAGUAAAAACUUAACCAAGAUUCCACAAUUGUCGACUAUUCCCUUCCCCCAACUAGAACGAAACAUUGUCCUCAAUGUUUUAAAGGAAAGAAGUAGAGUUUAGAAGACAUCACCUGGGUGGUGCAACACAGAAGAAAAUAUUUACAAGCGGAGAGUUAAAUCUAAUUUGUACUUCUUACUGCGGCUACUGUUACCAUCAUUAUUUGGUCGCUCCAACACAAAGGUCCAGGGGUCUGGCUCCGGUUUAUAAGCUUGUAACAUAUCAAGUAGCUCAUUAGCAGUGUGAGCACAAAUAAAGAGUUUUUUCACAUUAGAAGGAAUGAAAUAGUUUUUUAUUGCAUGGUUAAGAAAUGCGAUAAAGUCAUCAUAAAAGUUAUUGACAUUUAACAAACCGAUAGGUUUCUGGUGGAUGUGCAGAUGGGCCCAAGAUGCUAGUGUCAUAAGUGCCUCUAGUGUUGCAAGAUCUCCUGGAAGGAAAAUAAAAGCAUCAGCAUGAUUAAGCAUUUCAGUUAUUCUUUCUUGCAUACCUGAGACGACUAACUCUUCUCCAGUUGAUGAGUCAGACGAACUGCCCAAUGGUUUUAGGACUCUUGGGAUGAUGCCUAACACUUGACUUCCUCUGAUAAAAGCUGCUUCUGAGACCAUUUUUGAUAACCCUCGGUUACCUCCUCCAUACACCAAAUGUAAUUUUCUCGCUGCUAUGCUUCGACCAAGAUCUAUGGCUGCCUCAACGAACUCUUUAUGUUUGCCAUAGGUAAAUCCAGAAAGCACACAAAUGUUCUUGAAUUGUCUAUUGGGAGUAGCGGCCAUUGUGAUACUUCUCAAAAAUAAUUUGUGAGUGCUUGACAAAAAAUAGAUCACAUUUAAGAAUCUUGGUGACAGUGGAUCACAGCUGUGAAUGAGGUAACAUGUCAGUGUGAAAUAACGCGUGAAGCACAUGGCUUGCGAGUCAAAAAGGAAACAGUAAAAAGGAAAAAGCAAACAGUAAUAAAAUUAUUAAAGACAAUAAUGCAAACAAUAAAACAACAGUGAAAUGAAAUAAAAUAACAGUAAAGUAAAAUGAUAUUUACACGUAGUUGCGACUGUGGCUCACAUCUUCCUCUGGUUUUACGUCCAGAAACGGCUUGAACGCCCUCUAUGGGUCGAGGAUGGGCUUCCCAUCCAGUUUUCUUAUAAACUGGCAAACAGGGUCGUUUAUAGUCAGAUUCCCGAGACUAUAUCGUGCAUGCUCUUUCUGGAAUAAUGGCCAUAACCGGAGAAUCGCUCCUUGCACAUAUCCACUGGGAUGCGUUUCAAGAGACAAAAGGAUAUCAUCCAAUGACUCCUUAUUCAAGCCAUCCCUAAUGAAUUGAAUCUUAUCUUCCCUGUUAUCAGACACCAUUCCUAAAGAACAUGGGUUUCUAUCGCAACUCAUUCUGGCACACUUAUGACAAGCAACAGAAAUUCUUCGAGCUCGUCGUUUUCUUGCAUAAUUGCCUUUACCACAACCAGGCAUGUAUGCAAUAAAUUUAUGAGGUAACUCACCUGCCAAUCGUACUUUAGCCUCGAUUAACCAACGGAUGUCUGCAGGUAUGUUAUUCCUCAUGAGCAAUCGCAUGCGUUCAGACCGGGCUUUAUAGAUUGUAAGGAGGGCAUUCUGAGGAAGUGAAGGGAAUCGCUUGUGAAGCUUUGCUAAAAUCUCGUUUCUAUCCAUACCUUCGCCUCAGAAUAUCAGUUAUUAUGGGAAACUGAAGUUAACCGACUUGAUUGUCACGGAGUACCGUUAUCCGCCACUUCACCGGGGUAACAAACUAAAGCACACAAACAGAAAAACAAAUUAAAACACACAAAGAAAAUUAAAAUCGUCCUCUUAUUGAAUUUACCUCAAGCUCCAACUGGAUGUCGUAAACACUUCUCUCAAUGUCUCUGAGUUGGCGUUCUAAACCCUCAACAUAGGCUACUAACUCUGGUGGUUGUAGAGCCCAAAUGCGUUGUGUUUUACAAAAUAGAAUCUGCCUUUUGAGAUGAGUUUUGACACGUUGAAGUGGUUUAAGAAUGUUCAGGAGGAACGGUCUAAGUAUGAGACUCAUGAUUAAAAAUGAUAAGAGAAAACUUAAUUGUUAAACAAACACACUUAUGCAAAAAUAAUUUCAAUUAGCAAAAGAAUAAUAAAAAGAAAGAAAGAAAAAUCAAAUCAAUAAAAAGAGAAAAAAAAAAUUAAUUCAAAUCUGGUGGGUCACUCAAAUUUAUUUCGGUGUCUUCUUCAUGUGGUUGGUACUCUAGAUAUGGCUUUAAUCUUUGACCAUUAACUUUAAACGUGACACCGUUCUUUGGGUCUUUAAUUUCAAUUGCCCCAUGUGGAAAAACAGUAUGAACAAUAAAGGGACCAGACCAUCGAGAGCGUAACUUACCUGGGAAUAGGUGCAAGCGAGAAUUGAAUAAAAGCACUUUCUGACCUGGAGUGAACGAUUUUCUCAUAAUUUGCUUAUCAUGGAAGACUUUCAUUCGUUGCUUGUAAAUCUUGGCAUUUUCGUAUGCAUCAUUGCGAAUUUCUUCAAGUUCUGCCAGCUGUAAUCUUCUUUCUGAGCUGGCUUGCUGCAUGUCAAAGUUGAAUUUCUUGAUGGCCCAAUAUGCACGAUGCUCGAGUUCCACAGGUAGGUGGCAAGCUUUUCCAUACACUAGCCUGUAGGGUGACAUCCCAAUCGGGGUCUUGAAAGCCGUUCUAUAUGCCCAUAAUGCAUCAUCAAGUCGUAAUGACCAAUCUUUUCUGUCUGGCCUCACCGUUUUUUCUAAUAUGUGCUUGAUUUCUCGAUUGGAGAUCUCAACUUGGCCACUGGUUUGCGGAUGAUACGGGGUCGCCACUUUGUGUGUGAUUGAAUACUUUGUCAAAAGAGCUUUGAAUGUUUUGUUACAAAAGUGGGCACCACCAUCACUGAUUAUCGCUCGAGGGAAUCCAAAGCGUGAAACAAUGUUGCUUUUCAAAAAUCCUAUCACCACUUUGUGAUCAUUGGUUCUGCAUGGAAUUGCUUCCACCCAUUUCGAUACGUAGUCAACACCAACCAAUAUGUAUUGAUGGCCAAAAGAAGGGGGAAAGGGUCCCAUGAAGUCGAUACCCCAUACGUCAAAAAUCUCAACCACUAAAAUUGGAUUUAGUGGCAUCAUGUUCCUUCGUGUAAUGCUCCCCAUUCGUUGACACCUAUCACAUGAAGAACAGAAAGUGUAAGCGUCUCGAAAUAUAGUUGGCCAAUAGAAACCACAUUGUAAAACUUUUGUAGCUGUUUUCUUAGCACUAAAAUGGCCUCCACACGCUUGUUCAUGGCAGAAUGAAAGGAUAUUUUGAAUUUCACUUUCUGGGACACAUCGCCUAACAAUUUGAUCUGCACAAUACUUGAACAAAUACGGGUCAUCCCAAAAGAAAUUCUUUAUUUCCGCAAAGAAUUUAGCCUUGUCUUGCUUGGUCCAAUGCUCUGGAAGUUUACCUGUAACAAGAUAAUUAACUAUAUCAGCAUACCAAGGUAAUACUUCCACAUUCAUUAAUUGUUCAUCUGGAAAUGACUCAUUCAAUAUUAAUGGAUCUGUAAUUGUGUCAAAAUGGAGACGAGAGAGGUGGUCCGCCACAACAUUUUCUGUGCCUUUCUUAUCCUUGAAUUCCAAGUCGAAUUCCUGCAAAAGUAACACCCAACGAAUUAGUCUAGCUUUUGCAUCUUUCUUUGUGAGAAGAUAUUUAAGAGCAGCAUGAUCUGUGAAUAUAAUUAUUUUACAACCAAUGAGAUAAGAUCGAAAUUUCUCUAAUGCAAACACUACUGCUAGCAUUUCUUUUUCAGUAGUUGAAUAAUUCAACUGUGCAUCAUUCAAUGUCAUACUAGCAUAGUAAAUAACGUGGGGAAUUCGAUCAACUCUUUGUCCUAAUACUGCUCCUACUGUAUAAUCAGAUGCAUCACACAUGAGCUCAAAUGGUAAGUUCCAGUUUGGGGCCUGAAUGAUGGGUGAUGAUGUCAACAACUGCUUUAAUUUUUCAAACGCCAUGAGACAUGAAUCAUUAAAGAUAAAAGGUACAUCCUUAGCAAGUAAAUUGCAUAAGGGUCUAGAAACUUUGCUAAAAUCUUUAAUGAAACGUCUAUAAAAACCAGCAUGUCCAAGGAAAGAUCUUACUUCUCUGACUGUUUUAGGUGGAGGAAGAUUAGAAAUGAGAUCCACCUUGGCUUUGUCAACCUCAAUACCUUUGCUCGAAAUGAUGUGACCGAGAACAAUACCUUGUUUUACCAUAAAAUGGCACUUCUCCCAAUUCAAGACUAAGUUCUUCUCGGUACAUCUCUGCAGAACUAGCGUUAGAUGAUGUAAACAUUGAUCAAACGAGUCACCAAAGAUAGAAAAAUCAUCCAUAAAGACUUCAAGGAAUCGUUCAACCAUAUCAGAAAAAAUGCUCAACAUGCAUCGUUGGAAUGUAGCAGGUGCAUUACAUAAUCCAAAUGGCAUUCUCCUAUAUGCAAAAGUGCCAAAAGGGCAAGUGAAAGUAGUUUUCUCCUGAUCUUUUGGUGCUAUGGGAAUCUGAUUAUAUCCUGAGUAGCCAUCUAGAAAGCAAUAAAAUUCAUGGCCUGCUAAUCUAUCAAGCAUUUGAUCAAUAAAUGGUAAAGGAAAAUGGUCUUUACGUGUGACAGAAUUCAACUUUCUAUAAUCAAUGCAUACACGCCAUCCUGUAGUUACUCUAGUUGGUAUCAAUUCAUUAUCAGCAUUGGUAACUACUGUGACUCCUGACUUUUUGGGGACGACUUGUACAGGACUGACCCAUGAACUAUCAGAAAUUGGGUAAAUGAUACCUGCAUCUAAUAGCUUAAGGACUUCAGUUCUAACAACUUCUUUCAUGUUAGGAUUUAACCGACGUUGCAUCUCCCUAGUAGUUUUAGCAUUUUCAUCAAGGUGAAUGUAAUGCAUGCAGUCUACUGGAUUUAUACCUUUUAUGUCUGCUAUGGUCCAUCCUAAUGCCCCUUUGUGCUCUUUUAACACAUCCAACAACUUACCUUUUUGUUCGUCAUUUAGGGAUGAUGAGAUGAUUACCGGUAGAGUGCUUUCUUCUCCCAAAAACGCAUAUUCCAAUGUGUUGGGCAAUUGUUUGAGCUCGAGUUUUGGUGGUGAUUCUGAUGAUGGGAUGAGUUUCUUUUCUGACGGUGCUAGUUGUUCUACUCUUGACUUCCAUUUAUUAGUGUCCAUGGAUGGUGCUGAGUCAAGUAGGGCGUUGACCUCUUCGACCGAUCUAUCAAUAUCAAAAUCCAAACCAAAGUGAGUUAAGCAUGUUUGUAAAGGAUCAUCACUAAGGUUUGAAAGAAAAGUAUUAUCAACUAUUGUUUCUAUUAAAUCCACAUCAACAAUUCCAUCAUCUGCACUGUGAGGUUGUUUGGCAAUGUUAAAGAUGUUUAGCUCCAUAGUCAUGUUGCCGAAGGACAAUUGCAUAUUUCCGGUCCUACAUUGAAUAUGAGCAUCUGCAGUUGCCAAGAAAGGUCGGCCUAGAAUAAUGGGGAUGUGCUUCCUUGAGUCCUGUAUUGGUUGAGUGUCAAUUACAAUGAAAUCAACAGGAAAAUAAAACUUGUCUACCUGGAUAAGCACGUCCUCCACAAUACCACGAGGUAUUUUUGUGGACCGAUCUGCAAGUUGUAACACCACUGGAGUUGGGUGUAAUUCUCCCAGUCCAAGUUUCACGAAUACAGAGUAAGGUAACAAAUUUACACUAGCUCCUAAAUCCAACAAAGCAUUCUCAAUUGUGUGGUUCCCUAUACUACAUGAGAUAGUGGGGGAGCCUGGGUCUUUGCAUUUUAAAGGAAUUUUAUGUUGGAGUAUAGAACUAACGUUUUCUGUUAAAAAUGCCUUCUUUUGAACAUGCAUAUUUCUCUUUUUAGUACAAAGGUCUUUAAGAAACUUGGCAUAAGAUGGAAUUUGUUUUAUAGCAUCAAGCAAAGGGAUAUUGACACUUACCUGUUUGAAGAUUUCGAGAAUCUCACCUGUGGAUUUUCCCUUCUUGCCUUUAGCUAACCUCUGAGGAAAUGGAGCUUUCGGAAUAUAUUCUCGUGGGUUGGUUUCUUCUCUCUCCUCCGGUGGUGAGUCCUCAGCAUUUACAGGUACAAUUUGAUUUUCUUUUGUCACCUGCAUCUCCACUUUAUUGUCGACUUCUUUUCUUUUUCUCAAGGUCAUUACUGCUUUGACCUCUCCAUGCUGCUGUGGUGAACUGGUACUUGCUUCAUGCACUCCUUUAGGAUUAGGCACUGGUUGACUCGGAAACUUGCCUUUCUCAACAGUCAUUGCCAAGGUCUGAACUGAAGAAGCAAGCUGUCCCACCAUCUUCUCGAGGCUUGAAACUGAUUGGGCUUGUGAAUUGAAGCCCGCUCUCAACUCAUUUCGUAGUCCAUCAAUGGUGCGAUUCUGUUGCUCAAUCGUGGAGUGAGUAACAUUCUUGAAAUUCUGGAAUGCAUCCUCCCAUGGUCUGGGUUGAGAGUAGUUCUGGUUUUGAUUGUAUGGUCUAAAUGGUGGCUGAGAGGCUUGAGGAUUUUGAGGAAUUGGUUGCAUUGGUGGAGCUGGAGCUGCUGGUCCAUUCUGUUGAAAUCCUUGAGACCAUGAAAAAUUGGGGUGGUCUCUCCAUCCAGGAUUAUAUGUGUUGGAGUAUGGGUUGUAAUUAGAUGGCUUUCUCAUUACACCUAUGGCAUUGGCUUGAUCGGAGUAUGAGUCAUGGUCAUGUGGUUCUGUUGAUUUAGCAGUCGAUAACGAUGCUAUUUGUCGAGCAAGACCUUCAACCAUCUCCUUGACUUCUUUGAUUCCCGAAGUUGACUCGCCAAUGUGAACCUCAUUCACUCCUUUAAUCCUUCUAGUAUUCCUGAGUGAUCGACUCCGUUGUUGGGAAUUAUCCGCUUGUCGCUGGAAGAAUUCCCAAAUCUCUGUUGCGCUUUUUGACAUUAGCUCUCCUCCACUUGUUGCCAUUAGCCAUUCUUGCACAUUCGGCAAUAAUCCCUCCAAAAAGUAUUGGCAUUGGUGCCAUUUUUCGUACCCAUGAUGUGGACACUUCAAGAGUAGUCCAUUGAAUCGCUCCCAAGUUUCGAAAAACUGCUCGUCCUCUCUUUGUGUAAACUCUGAAAUUUCCCUGCGAAUAGAAUUGGUUUUAUGCACUGGGAAAUAUUUAUUUAGAAAUUUUGUUACCAUUUGUUCCCAUGAUGAAAUGCUAUUGGCAGGCAAUGUAUUAAGCCAUGAACGAGCUCUAUCCUUUAAAGAAAAUGGGAAUAGUCUAAGUUUUACAUCAUCAUCUGAAAAAUUUUCAUAUUUAAAAGUUUGACAAAUAGCAUGAAAAUCAUUCAAAUGAUUAUAUGGGUCCUCAUUUUCUAGGCCAUAAAAUGUGGGGAGACAAUUUAGCACACUAGGUUUUAAUUCAAAACUCCUAGCAGCUACAUUUGGGUAUCUUAUGCAUGAUGUGCUCAAAUUAGCUAAGGGACUAAAAUAGUCCUUAAAUGGCCUCUCCUGUGGUGCUUGUAAAUCCAUUUUAUUUUUAACGUGUUUGUGUGUGCGAAGUGUUUUUUCUAAUUCAAGGUCUAUAGGUUCAAUAUUAGGUAAUAAUGACCUACGACCAUGCAUGCAAAAUAAAUAAAAUAAAAAUAAAGAUGCAAACAAAACAAAAAAUAAAGAUGGGAACAAAACAAAUAAAAAAUAAAGAUGAGAACAAAACAAAUAAAAAUAAAGAAGAGGGAGAAAUUACGAUACUAACCUCAUUGCGCUAUUACAACCUUACUAUAAAAAUACACAAAAAUAAAUACGUGAAAUAAAUUAACUAAAAAUUAAAUUAAUAAGAUAAACAAAAAUUACAAAGAAAAAAUAAAUUGAAAAUUAAAUUACAGAAUUUUAAAGAAGAGAAAAAGAAAAGAAAUACUAACCUUUAAAUGUAGAUUUACUCUUUUUUUUUAAAGAACAAAAAAAAAAAAAAAAUACAAGAAAACAAUUUAAAAUAAAUUAUUCACAAAAAUUAAUUCUAUGAAUUAAAACUACUUACCUCCCCGGCAACGGCGCCAAAAACUUGUUGUGCAAAUUUUAAUGUACUCGCAAGCGCACGAAUCUAUUGUAGUAUAGAUCAAUGGUGACGAGUGUCGAUCCCACGAGGAGGUGGAUUUUAAUUGUGUAUAGAAUUAAUUUUGUAAAUGGGUGGUUGGAUCUGUGGUGGAAAUGAAUUGGAAUAUGCUAAAACUUAAAUUAAAAUGGCGAGAAUAAAUUCUAAAAUUGGAAUUGCAAUGGCGAGAAUAAAUUGAAGAGAAAUGUAUUGAAAUGACGUACUUGGGUAUCUGGAUCCGUAUCAACAUGCAUCAUGGGCUAAAUAAUCCGUAUUAAUGCCAAUUAAAUCAUGAGGGGGGAAUCCACACCUCAUGAACCACGCUCUAAUCAAUAUGGUGCUAAGGGCUUAUCGUGCCAAAUAAUAAUAACCUUAUACUAGAGAGCCGGUGUAACCAAGGCGGUAUCUAGACAAGAUCAGUAUUAUUUGUCGACGAUAAGUCAAAUCAUCCACAAAAACUAGAGGGGAAAAGAAAAUAAAUUUACCAAAUAAAGCCCAUGACACAUGUUGAGACUUCACCUUCAACCCAAGCUUGAAAGGAAAUUAGCUACUCAUAAUUGAACUAGGGGCAAAAUGAAAAUUUAUUAAAAUACGAAGAAAAUACAAGAUGGAGAAGGAAUUACAGAAAAUGGAUCCCAAAAAUGGAUUCAGAGAUAUCAAAUUAGGGGGGGGAGGCCCCUUUUUUAUAGAUACAUGGAGUAAAUCAUGGCCAUCGGAUUAAAAACAGUUUGGACGCUCAGGAUUGCGCCACGUCAUCAGUCAACAGUCCACGGUUUGACCACGCGGAUGAACAGUAACACGGUUUGACCACGCGGAUGAACAGUAACGCGGUUUGGUUGAAAAUAAUCCUGUGUGAUGCAUGCACCGUACGCGAGAUUUUUCGUCCACUGAUAUGCUGCCACGUCACCAUCAACAGUACAUAAGAAUUUUAGUCCAACAGGAUCGUGACACCUCAUCAGUCAAUGCCACAUCAUCGGUCAAUGCCACGUCAUCGAUCCGUCUAUGUGAACAGUGUCGUGAACAGUAACGUAGACAGUACCGUAUACGUGAAUAGUACCGUACAUGUGAAUAGUGCCAUUUUUCUUUUUAUGCCCCUCCUAAGGUUUUCGACCGUCCUGAGUUCAAAAGUGAUGUCCGUUUUGCCAUCUGAUCUCUCCUUUAUUGUGAAAUAACUAUAAUGCCCCUAAAAUACAUAAAAUACUUAAUUAAAAUAAAACACAUGUAAUUAAAUCACAAGAAGGUUAAAUACAUAAAAGUAAGGGUUGUUAAUAAGACUUGAAAUGUAAAAUGACGGUUUUCUCCUUUAUAAAUAUGCAUUUUCUAACACUCAACACUAGUGAGGUUCCAUUUAGGUGUAUUGGGGUUGUGGGUUUUGUGAGUUUUUUCCACUUUUGUAAAUUCUCAUUAUUAGUAAAAUUAUCUUCCAAUCUUUGCCCGUGGACGUAGGCAUUAUGCCGAACCACGUAAAUUAUUGUGUUUAUAUUUUCUUUGUAUUUGUUUGGCACAUUUAUAUUUCUCCAAAAGUUACAUUCAUCGUAAUAUUGGUAAUUGCUCAACCUCGCACUUCCGCAACAAUUGGUAUCAGAGCAGAAGGUUCGUGCUUGGGGCAUACAACAUUGUUCACGUAUACGGAACUGUUCACAAAUACGGUAUUGUUCACGUAUACGGUAUUGUUCAUUGAUAUGGUGGAGAUGGUCAUUUAUACUUGGGAGACAGUCUAUUGAAAGUAGUGUGUAUUUUUUCAUGUCUAGGAAAGUCCUGUCAACAAGGCGAUAAAAGCUUAAGGAGUCUGGUUUUAAGUGGGACCGUUGUGACCCCUCCAUUCUCCUAGGAACUUUCCUGGUGCAUUUAUUCAUGCGAAAUAAAUAUCAUAGAGGCUAUUUUUCAAGUGUAAAUAGUUGUUGAAGAAACUGAUCAUUUGAGAUAAAAAUGAUGGCAGAGGCAUCGUCGUCGUCGUCGUCUUCAUCAGCAAGGACUACUGUGACUAAUGCAAAGUUUGAAGUGGAGAAAUUCAAUGAUACCAAUAAUUUUGGUAUGUGGCAAUGUGAGGUGUUGGAUGUCUUAUGUCAGUAAGAGUUGGACGUUACUCUUAAAGAAAAGCCUGACAUAAUGGAUGACAAGGAGUGGAUAAAGAUCAAUAAACAGGUAUGUGGUACUAUUCGCCUAUGUUUGGCUAAAGAUCAUAAAUACUUUGUUAUAAAGGAGACAUCGGCAAAGAAAUUGUAGGAGACAUUGGAAGAAAAAUAUAUGAAGAAAAGUAUAUAAAGAAAAGCCUUAAAAAUAAGCUUUAUAUGAAGAAGAAACUUUAUCUAUUCACAUAUACACCUGGCAUGUCGAUGAAUGACCAUGUAAAUUCAUUCAACAAAAUAUUGGCAGAUUCACUAAAUUUGGAUGAGAAAUUUGAAGAUGAAGAUAAGACACUGUUGUUUUUUAAUUCCCUUCCUGAUGAAUAUGAUCAUCUCACUACCAAUUUGCUUCAUGGGAAGGGCAGUGUCACAUUCGAUGUUGUAUGCAGUGCAUUGUAUAACUCUAAGAUCAGAAAGAAAGAUAGAAAAGAUCACAGAGAUACAGUUGUAGAAGCAUUAACAACUAAAAGUCGUUCACAAGGCUGUAAACUUGGAAAAAGAAGCAAGUCUAAAGGGAGACCUGCCAAAGAUGAGUGUGUUUUUUGUCGCGAGAAAGGACAUUGGAAAAAGAAUUAUCCUAAGUUACAAAAGGAUAAGGCUUCUUCUUAUGCAUGUGUAGCAGAGUAUGAUGAGGAGUCAGACUUUAGUCUGGUUGGCAUGACGUUGACAUGUUACUUAGAUGAGUGGUUUUUGUAUUCGAGUUGUGCUUAUCAUAUGUGUCCUAACAAGGGUUGGUUUUCUAACUUCAAGGAGCUGGACGGUGGAAUUGUUUUUAUGGGCAAUGACAAUGCCUGUAAAACCUUGGAAAUAGGUACAAUUCAAUUAAAAAAUCGUGACGGUUCAAUCAAAGUCUUGACGGAUGUUCACUACAUACCAAGUUUAAAGAAAAAUCUCAUCUCAUUAGGAGUCCUAGAAUCUAAAGGGCUCACAAUCACUCUGAGAGAUAGAUUAUUAAAGGUAGUAGCUGGCACACUAACGGUGAUGAAAGACACAAGAAGAAAUAACUUGUACUAUUUUCAAUGGAAUACAAUUAUUAGAUCAGCAUCAACAGUUUUUGGAAGAGAUGCAGAUUCAGAAGCAACCAAGUUGUGGCAUAUGCGUUUGGGACAUGCUGGUGAAAAAUCUUUACAGACUCUAGUGAAGCAAGGCUUAUUGAAAGGUGCAAAUUCUUACAAAUUAGAAUUUUGUGAACAUUGUGUUUUAGGCAAGCAGACAAUGGUAAUGUUUAGUUCAAUAAUUCACGAUACAAACUUCCUCGGGGGAGCAUUAAAACCUUCGAGCAGAUGUGCCAGGAAUUUGCAGAGCAGUUUCGUGGGGCAAUGGCACCAGAAGAUGCCAUGAUGGAAUUGAAAAACAUGAAGCAGGGGGAAUAAUAAACACUUCGGGAAUUCAUCAAGAGGUUUUACCAUGUUGUCCUUGAUUUGGGAGCCUUCAACCAUCCUCAGGCAUUAAGGGGACUGAAAGAAUGGGUGAAGAUAGGAAGACUGUGGUACAACUUGAGAAGCCCAGUUAUUCAGACGUACGCCGCCGCAUACAAGCAGGCUAAGAGGGACAUUGAGAUUGAAGUGGAAAAGGCAGCACGGAUCAAGACAGACCAGUUAGAUGGGUUGGGGAAGAAAGAGAAGAAAGCAUUGCCAGGGAACGGGCCGAUCAGGAGGAGAGACCUUCAGGCCUCAAGUAGUGGAGCAGGAGAUCGGGUAACUACUGGCCAUCCUCAUCAGAGGCCACCACAGUAUCGGCGCAGCAGGGCGCAACCUCCUCGUUCCCCAGCUAGGGAGCCUUGGAGAAGCCAUGACUCGGCAUAUGGUGGUCUUCAUCAACACUCCCACGGUAGUAGGGGGCAGACCAGAAGUGCUGCCACCGCCUCCAACUCAGAACGGAGCAAAUAGAGAAAAAGCAGUGCACCUGAUCGACCAGAACCAGGACUAUGGGCAGUACACUUCCUUAAAGAUGUUCCUGGACGAGGUGUACGAGGCCAUAAAGGAUCGAGGGUUGCUAUACCUCCCUGCCUCAAUAACAAAACUACCCAGCAGGAGGGAUAAGGGACGCUAUUGUAAGUUCUAUGGCGCGCAUGGCCGUACUACAACAGAAUGUAGAGAUCUAAAGACCCAGGUCGAAGAUUUGGUGAGAAAUCGAUACCUGGACGAGUUUAUAGAGGGGACUUUCCCGAUGGUGGCCUCGACAUGCGAGGGGGAGCAGAGUGGCAGAAAUUUGAGGCACGAGUAGCCUACAGUAAGGGUGAUUGCUGGGGGCCCGACAUUGGCUGGAGAUUCCAACAGAUCUAGGAAGAACUAUGCUAGAUACGCCAUGACUAGUAAAGAGGUAUUCUUCAACACCCCGGCAGCCAAACGAGCAAGAGUCAGGCAAGUGCCAAUCAUGUGGACAGACGAGGAUGAAAAAGGGAUUUUAUACCCACACGAGGAUGCCUUAGUCAUCAAGGCCACUGUUGCUAGCAGGAAGUUUGACCGGAUACUAGUCGAUAUAGGAAGCUCGGUUGAUGUGUUGUUCAAGUCCACUCUAGAGGAGAUGAGAAUAGCAGACCUGAGGUUGGAGCACACCAACACCUCCUUGAAGGGAUUUGGAGGAGGAAAGCUGGUCCCCCUGGGUGUGGUCGAGCUGCCUAUCACAAUCGGAAGCUCCCCGACAGAAAGGACUAUGAUACUAGAUUUUGUGGUGGUUGAUGAAGAGGGUCCUUACCAGAUAAUCCUAGGUCGGCUGUUUCUGAGGAUGAGUAAAGCAGUACUGUCCAACCAUUAUCUUGCUCUCAAGUACCGGGUGAAUGGGGUAGUUGGAGUGGUACGAGGAGACCAGAGAAUCGCACGAAGCUGUUACUCCUCGGCAGCAAAGGAAUCGAUACAGAUAACAUCCCUUGAUACCCGAGUGAAAGCCAGGAAUGGCAACUUAUUGGACUCGGAGUUUACAAGCUGGUUCGCAAGGACGGCCACGAGGUGAAAUGCCCAUGGAACGCAGCACACCUCCGAAAAUACUUCCAGUAAGACUUGUUCACAUUUGAAAGCUAUUUCUGCUCGUGUUCAUUAUCGUUUAUCUUUUAUGUUUUAUAUCCAAACAAUUUCAUGUAAGUCGAAUCCUGCCAUUAAUGGAACGUCGAGGAAUUUCAUUCGCUUGAAACUGUGAAAAUUUCCUAAGGCAUGCAAAGGCUCGUCAAGUCUCAAAGCCUGUUUAUGGCGAGACCAGAAGCCAAGCGUGCCAGGAUCUGCUCGGCCACGAGAAGGCGAGCAGAAUCCCAAGCUUUGAAGAAAUUACCUAAGGCAUGCAAAGGCUCGACAAAGUCUCAAAGCCUGUUUAUGGCGAGACCAGAAGCCAAGCGUGCCAGGAUGUGCUCGGCCACGAGAAGGCGAGCAGAAUCCCAAGCGUUGAAGAAAUUACCUAAGGCAUGCAAAGGCUCGUCAAGUCUCAAAGCCUGUUUAUGGCGAGACCAGAAGCCAAGCGUGCCAGGAUCUGUUCGGCCACGAGAAGGCGAGCAGAAUCCCAAGCGUUGAAGAAAUUACCUAAGGCAUGCAAAGGCUCGUCAAGUCUCAAAGCCUGUUUAUGGCGAGACCAGAAGCCAAGCGUGCCAGGAUCUGUUCGGCCACGAGAAGGCGAGCAGAAUCCCAAGCUUUGAAGAAAUUGCCUAAGGCAUGCAAAGGCUCGACAAAGUCUCAAAGCCUGUUUAUGGUGAGACCAGAAGCCAAGCGUGCCAGGAUCUGCUCGGCCACGAGAAGGCGAGCAGAAUCCCAAGCUUUGAAGAAAUUAUCUAAGGCAUGCAAAGGCUCGACAAAGUCUCAAAGCCUGUUUAUGGCGAGACCAGAAGCCAAGCGUGCCAGGAUCUGCUCGGCCACGAGAAGGCGAGCCGAAUCCCAAGCUUUGAAGAAAUUGCCUAAGGCAUGCAAAGGCUCGACAAAGUCUCAAAGCCUGUUUAUGGCGAGACCAGAAGCCAAGCGUGCUAGGAUGUGCUCGGCCACGAGAAGGCGAGCAGAAUCCCAAGCUUUGAAGAAAUUACCUUAGGCAUGCAAGGGCUCGACCAAGUCUCAAAGCCUGUUUAUGGCGAGAUCAGAAGCCAAGCGUGUCAGGAUCUGCUCGACCACGAGAAGGAGAACAGAAUCCCAAUCAUUGCAGAGAUUACCUAAGGCAUGCAAAGGCUCAUCAAGUCUCAAAGCCUGUUUUAUGGCGAGACAGAAGCCAAGCGUGCCAGGAUCUGCUCAACCACGAAAAGGUGAGCAGAAUCCCAAUCCUUGAAGAAUUGAAGGCAUGCAAAGGCUCGUCAAGUCUCAAAACCUGUUUAUGGCGAGACCAGAAGCCAAGCGUGCCAGGAUCUACUCGACCACGAGAAGGCGAGCAGACUCCAAAGCAUUCGAAAAAAUUCCUAAGGCAUGCAAAGACUCACCAAGUCUCAAAGCCUGUUUUAUGGCGAGACAGAAGCCAAGCGUGCCAGGAUGUGCUCGACCACGAGAAGGCGAGCAGACUCCGAAGCAUUCGAAAAAAAUUCCUAAGGCAUGCAAAGGCUCACCAAGUCUUAAAGCCUAUUUUAUGGCGAGACAGAAGCCAAGCGUGCCAGGAUCUGCUCAACCACGAGAAGGCGAGCAGACUCCGAAGCAUUCGAAAAAAUUCCUAAGGCAUGCAAAGGCUCACCAAGUCUCAAAGCCUGUUUUAUGGCGAGACAGAAGCCAAGCGUACCAGGAUCUGCUCGACAACUAGAAGGCGAGCAGACUCCGAAGCAUUUGAAAAAAUUCCUAAGGCAUGCAAAGGCUCACCAAGUCUCAAAGCCUGUUUUAUGGCGAGACUAGGAGCCAAGCAUGCUAGGGUCUGCUCGACCACGCGAAGGCGAGCAGAAUCCCAAGCAUUGAAGAAUUUUCAAAGGCAUGUGGCAAAACCAUGUGCCAAGCCAGAACCUGCUCGACCAGACAAAGACGAGCCGAUUCUCAAACGAAAAAUAACUCAUGAUUACGACACAAGAAAGUAAUCAAAAAUAUUUUUAUUAAUUUGUUAAUAAUUAACAGAGGAGAUAAUCUUCACAAACAUUGUUCAUUACAAUACAAGAAACAUAUUUAAGAAGAUGGUGGGUCCGCAAGCCGAGCAUCCUCAGUUAGAUGGUCCACCUCAGGUGCUGGGGGAGUAUCUCCAGUUGCGUCUGGGGGGGUACUCGCCUCACCAGCAUCAGCAGGGAUUACACGGGGAGGAGAGUUUUCCUCUUCUAUCACCAUUGGUGCCACCUCUUCGGCAUCCUCCUUUGCAGCCUCCUCGUCCAUAUGUUGGGCGACACCAGCUGCAAGGUCGUCCAUCUUUAGAUCAGGAUGCUGCUUCCCGAGGACGGCCAUGAUGCAACGAUAAGAAUGCCGAAGUCCCUGGUCGUACUGGUUGUCGGCCUCCUUCUCCAAGUUCUCGACCUGACCUCGGUGGGAAUCGCGGAGGGAUUCGAGCUGAGCCUCAUACAUAGCCUUCUGCCUUUGAAGAUCCUCCUUGACCUUGGCCAGCUCUUCCUCGAGAGUAAUAGCCUUGGCUUGAGCAAGAGAUUCUCGCUCAAUCAACUUCAGAUUCUCGAGGUUUAAGUCCCCUGCUUUCUUCUCAGCAACAUCAGCUCUGGUCGUCGCCGACUGAAUGUCCUCCUUCAUCUUCCUAUCAUAACGGCCAACCUUGGCCUUAUAGUAGGUGGUCAUGCAGCUGAGAUGGAAAGCGCUAUACUGCAUGGCCCCCACCAGCUCGCCUAAGGUGUAGCCAUCAAAGUCCUCGAGGUCCUUCUUGCUCACGAUUUUGGAAAGCUCGUUGAGAUAGGGGGCCAAGUGUUCUGCUCGGCUGUCAGGUAAACGAGAUCUAUGCCCGACAAGAGGCGAAGAGGAAGCAGGAUCAGUGGCUGCUCCACUGGUCUCGUCGAGUUUGGCAGAAAGAAGAGGUAAAGUCUUCAAGGGAGAGACCUGCUGCACGAUGUUGGCCCGCUUUGCAGUAGGGGCAUCCUUGUUCUGGUCCCUCUUCGUGGUUUGGGGUCGAGAACGUUUCCUGUUUAGAGCCCCAAUCACGGCGUCCUCCAUCUUAUGACCAGGGAGUAUCAAGCGAGACUCGAGCAAGUUGUAUGUAGUUAUCAGCUCCCGGCUCGAGCAGGAAUUGGCUAGCACAGCCUCGACCCGUUUGAGCUGGCCAGGUUUGAGCGAGAAAUGAACACCCCAAGAAACUACAACACAAACAGACACUUGGUUAGAGACAAACCAACAAAGCGAGAACAAUUACGGAUACAAGACAUCUAAAGCGAACAGGCAACCUGGGACCGUGAAACGGGGUGGAACGCGAUAAUCCUUCCCGUCUAUUUGUGCAACUUGACCCCAAGGACCCCCAGCAAAAAAGAAUUUCCUCUUCUAAUUCCCACCACCACCAGUAGGGAGGUCGGUUAUGGGUUUCCUGGUCUUGGUACUAGAUUGAAAGUAGUACCAGCCGGCAUCUUUGGGGCUGCUCUUUAGCUGGUACAGGUGCUUCACCUCAUCAACUGUGGACUCGCUUUGGCAACAUCUGUCCCACAAUAUGAACAGACCAGAAAGUACUCUCCAACCAUUUGGGUUCAGCUGACCAGGAGAUAGAUUCAGCCCGUUAAGUAUCCGGGCAAAGUAAGGUUGCACGGGACACCUCAGCCCAUACUUAAAACUAUCCAGAUACAGGGUAACGUAUCCCCUAGGAGGCCGGCUAGGAGUAUCCUUCUUUCCUGGGACCUUAAGAGGGAUUUCACCAGGAAUACUAUACCUAAGCCGGAGGUCAUUGAGCUCAUCAAACGUGGUUAUGCAUGUCAUGUAAUCAAUAGCGUAAUCCCGCGAUAGGGCUCUACCUCCUAUUGUACUCCGCCCUUCUGGUCGCGACGCUCCUGAUGGGGACACCUCGCCAGAAUCAUCUCCUCGGCCCUCACUCAGGGUGUUCUCCGAGCCAGAAGACCCCUCUUCAUCACUAUCUCUGCUCGAGGAGGUCGUUUACGGAGACAUCCUCCUAGCGCUAGUGCCGACACUAGAUCUAAUGGGCUCUAAGGGGAUCCCGGGGUCAAAAGCAGGAUCAGUGAGCAGACUAGGCAGGAAGUCCAACUCAUCGUCGUCAACCUCAAUGACCUUCUCUUUACCUUUCGACAUUCCCUAAACUCUAACCACAACACCACCACCAACUACUACCCGAACAAAAGAGAACAAAAAUUAUCUACAACUAUCCGAGACCAAGGAGAUAGAAGAAAUACCUGAAGUAAUGGUUCAGUCGGUGAAAGACAGAGAUGGAGGCCUUUAUGCCGGAACUUCUUUGCCGGAGAGACAGGGACGGAGACAGAGGGAAUGAUGAAUUUGCUGUUUGAAAGGAUUUAGGUUUCCUAAUGGGGACGGCCUCUUGGGUUGCCAGCAUUUAACGGCACCAAAUCCCAAGGGCCUCGUAACCGUUGGUUUGAAAUUCGAAUAGAGGGGCAGAUUUCUGCCACAUCACCUCGUCCGCAAUUAAAUGCGAUAUGACUCUUGGCAGCCUUUUCCAGUCCCACGCGACCAAGAACCGCUAAGUUUCUACUGCUGGUCCAUUACAUUACCCAACACCAGAAACUGGGGGACCGGUGUUUGAGGGAAAUACUCUGACGAGACCAGACGUGAUGAGCAGAUGUUUGGUGGUAGAAGUCUGCGAGCAGGUGUGUCCUGUAAGAGCCAGGUAGCAGGGGAACAGGGGCAGGAAUAUCCUGCUCAUCCACGAGCACGUCAUCCGCGAGGCCAAUUUCCUGUAAGAAGCAUAAAGCCAUUCCUGCUGUAUUCUUGCUAAGGGUUGAUUCGAGGAGACCCGGUCAACGACAGUUGGCGAGGCAUGCUCUCCAGCCCGAGAAUCUAGGCACGAAGGCCACGCAACCACCCACGACUACGGAAAUGGGGAAUCCACGUUCGAGAGGUGGGAGGAUAACGGACGUAGACUGCGGAAAACUGGGAUUCAGAGGAAGCCUAUAAAAAUGUAGCCAACGAAGGUAAAAUGGUUAGCAAUUUUGAGAUUAGAAGGGAGAUAAAGAAAUUCUAAAGAAGAGAAAACUACCCAAAAGCCAUAAGAUCUGUGGCAAGCGUUCCCCGAACCUUCAUAUCUGACUUGAGCGUCGGAGGGUUUGCGUCGGGAAAACAACCGGCGUACUCUGACUUGUCUGUGUGCGCAGGAACCUCUGGAGAAGAAGCUUUACGAGGAGAGAUCCUGGUCGUGGUGAAGUUGAUCGAGCAGAGACCCUGGUCGUAGAACGAGGAGAACCAGAAUCUCGCAUCAACAAAACGUGUAUUUCAACCUGAGUACUAGCGAUUACCAGUGACUGAUUAACACUUGUUUUAAUUGUAUUCAGCAGUCAUAAAAAUUUACUUUUUCUUGUUAUUUAUUUAUACCACACAUUUUGACUACCACAAACUUAAGUUGCUUGGCUGACGUAUUUACCACAAAUAAAAACUAACAUUCGAGGUUUUUCUUUCGACAUUUCUAUAGAUGUUUUAACAUUUUAGAUUACAAUAUUUUUCAAAACUUGAUUUAGUCACUGAUUGUUGACUACGACGACGACAAAAAAUCUAUUUCGUUGUGAAAAGGAAUCCACAAGAGUACAAGACGGAGCCUUGAUCCAGUAAUAUUACGGAAAAUGGUAUUUUGUUUCCUUACAAAUGAAGAGAGGUUCUGUCUUUGCAGUGGGUAAGGUGAGGGUAUAGAACAUAUUAAUGGCUUUACUUAUCAUCAUCAACUUCCUUCUGUGUCUCUCAAUCUUUGUCUUCUUCUUUGUUUUGCAAAGGAACAUAACCUCAAGAAAUAAUACUAAAUUACCACCAGGCCUCCGGGGCCUUCCUUUCAUCGGUAACGUGCACCAGCUUGAUGUCUCAAAGCCUCACGUGUUAUUUUGGGAACUGUCAAAAAAAUAUGGCCCCCUCAUGUCCUUGCGUCUUGGGUUUUCGCCAUCCUUAGUAGUUUCCUCGGCGAAAAUGGCUAAAGAGAUAUUACAAACCCAUGACCUUCAAUUUUGCAGCAGGCCAGCCUUGGUAGCACAACAAAAGUUAUCUUACAAUGGUCUUGAUUUAGCGUUUUCACCCUAUGAUGAAUAGUGGAGAGAGAUAAGAAAAAUUUGUGUCAUUCAUCUCUUUAACUCUAAUAGGGUACAAAAUUUUCGACCCAUUAGAGAAGAUGAAGUUUCAAGAAUGAUUGAAAAGAUUUCAAAAUCAGUUGGUGCUUCUAAUCCCGUAAACUUAAGUGAGGUAAUGAUGUCUCUUACCAGCACCAUUAUUUGUAGAAUUGGUUUUGGCAAGAGGUACGAUGAAGAUAAAGCAACAAGUGGAAGAAGUAGAUUCCAUGCCCUGCUUAAUGAAACUCAAGCCUUGUUUGUAAGCUUUUUUGUUACAGAUUAUUUUCCUUUCAUGGACUGGAUUGAUAACCUCAGAGGAAUGAUGAAACGCCUGCAAAAUAACUUCCAAGAACUCGAUGGAUUCUACCGGGAACUCAUCGACGAGCAUUUGGAUCCAAACAGAACUAAAUCAGAAUUGCCGCAACAGGAGGAUAUAAUUGAUAUUUUACUUCAAAUAAGAAAAGAUCGUGGAUUUAAAGCUGACUUGACUUUGGAUCACAUCAAAGCAGUGCUCAUGGUGAAUAAUUUUAUAAAUAGUUAUAUGUAGACCGGUGCUUAGGCACAGACUCAAAAUUUUGCGCAGAUACCCAAUUUUACAGUCUUGUAAAAUGUUUUAUAGUGCUGUCAAGUGCUCUCUGAUGUCCCCAUCUGAGCACGAUUAACUUAAUAUAGUUUUAUUUGCUUUAACUAAUCUUAUAUGUAUAUAUUUAUGUUCUUUUUUUUUUAAUUUGCUUUUUUAAGUAAUUUAAUAUGUAUAUAUGUAUGUUGUUUGUUUGGCAGAACGUAUUCGUUGCUGGAACAGACACGAGUGCUGCAACUGUGGUUUGGGCCAUGACCUAUCUAAUGAAGAAUCCUAGAGCAAUGAAAAAAGCUCAACUGGAAAUCAGAUCGCUGAUUGGGGGCAACAAAGGGUUUGUUAAUGAAGAUGAUGUUCAAGAACUACAUUAUCUUAAAGCAAUAGUGAAGGAGACGAUGAGAUUGCAACCCACAGGUCCAUUACUAAUCCCAAGAGAAUCAAUUCAAAAGUGCGUAAUAGAAGGGUAUGAAAUACCAGCUAAAACACUUGUCUUUGUAAAUGCAUGGGCAAUAGGAAGAGAUCCUGAAGUAUGGGAGAAUCCUGAGGAAUUUUAUCCGGAGAGAUUCGCUGAUAGUUCUAUUGACUUAAAAGGGCAACACUUUGAGUUAAUACCAUUUGGUGCUGGAAGAAGAAUUUGCCCUGGGUUGCAUAUGGGAAUUGCUACUGUGGAUCUUGCACUUGCUAAUCUUCUUUACAAUUUUGAUUGGGAAAUGCCGCUUGGAAUGAAGAGCCAUGACUUGGACUUUGAUGUUCUUCCUGGAAUUGCCAUGCAUAAGAAGAAUGCUCUUUCUCUUCUGCCUAAGCUAAGUAUCAUGAUGACUAGGUAAAUUAGGGUACCUCUACCAAUAAGUAGAUAAAAAAAUUAGGGAAAUUUACAACCGUCCACCUGUUUGUUUUGUCUUUUUCAAAAAUACACAAACACUUUUUUUUUUUUUCAGCGCGCCACCUGAAGUUCACUUUUUGUUGCAUUCUUCCACUUCCGUCUAAUUUCCGUUAGCAAAUUUAACGGAAUGACCUUUUUACCCCUCAAAAUUACAAUUUAACCCAAAAUAAAUAGAAAUUGGAGAUAAAUUGGAUGGAUUUAAUUUUUUUUCAAAGGUGGAUGCUAGAAAUUGGAGGAAAAUAAUGUUUGUUGCUUGCUAAAUUUAGAAAAUUUGUAUUUAUUUUUUUGGAGGAAAAUAGUGUUUAUUACUUGCUAGAUUUAGAAAAUUUGUAUUUAUUUUUUCUCUUUCAAAAAAAUAAAUACAAAUUUUCUAAAUUUAGCAAGCAACAAACACUAUUUUCCUCCAAUUUCUAGCAUCCACCUUUGAAAAAAUUUAAAUACAUCCAAUUUAUCUCCAAUUUCCAUUUAUUUUGGGUUAAAUUGUAAUUUUGAGGGUUAAAAAGGUCAUUUCGUUAACAUUCCGUUAAAUCUACUAACGGAAAUUAGACGGAAGUGGAAAAAUGCAACAAAAAGCAAACUUCAGGUGGCGCACUGAAAAAAAAAAAAGUGUUUGUGUAUUUUUGAAAAAGGCAAAACAAACAGGUGGACGAGUGUAAAUUUCCCAAAAAAUUAAGGCACCUCUAUCAAUAAGGGUUUGAUCUAAACGAAAUAUGUGUUAUAUGUCCGCAAUUAUGCUUCUCCUCUUCUCCCGUUUUUCUUUCUUUCUUCUUAUGUACAAUUAAUGAUGAUGCGAAUGGUGAUUAAUAAGCAAGUUUCUUUUAGUUCAAAAUUUUGGGAAGUAAAGGCUAGAAAAUAAUGGGAACUUUGCCCGCUCUCCUAUACCUUAAGAAAAGGGCGAAAAAAAAAAAGAUAUGAAUGUGAAUAUUAAUC